rnacentral:lncRNA from 1 species
ACCAACUUUGAUUUCAGACACUGAACUCCUAUCUGAAUUCUCACACCAUGUCCAAAACAUAGCUAGAAUCAAUAAUGGAAGCUUUGGUUGUUGCCCGAAGAGUGUUAUAUCAGCACAGCAGAAGUGGCAACUUGAGUUCCUCAAACAACCUGAUGACUUUUACUUCAAUCGGCUGAAAGAUGAGAUUUUGAAAUCCAGACUUGUGAUCAGAGACUUGGUCAAUGCUGACCAUGUUGAUGAAAUAUCAAUUGUUGAUAAUGCCACCACUGCUACAGCCAUUGUGUUGCAGAGUGUUGCUUGGGAAUUUUUGCAAGGGAAGUUUAACAAAGGUGAUGCUGUUGUCAUGCUUCAAUAUGCUUAUGGCGCUGUGAAAAAAUCUCUGGAAGCAUAUGUUACGCGUGCAGGUGGGUAUGUUAUUGAAGCUUGGUUUCUAUUUCCUGUUAAUUCUGAUGGUGAGAUUGUCAGUGAGUUUCGGAAAGCUUUAGAAAGAGGGAAAGCCAAUGGUAGGAAAGUCAGAUUGGCUAUGAUUGAUCAUGUGACGUCUAUUCCUAGUGUUCCGAUUCCGGUUAAAGAAUUGAUCAAGAUUUGUCGGGAAGAGGGUGUCGAUAAAGUAUUUGUUGAUGGUGCACAGGGGAUUGGGUGUGUUGAUGUUGACAUGAAAGAAAUUGGGGCUGAUUUUUACACUGGUACUUUGAACAAGUGGGUUUUUUGCCCGCCUGGGGCAGCGUUUUUGUAUUGUAGGAAAUCAAAUGAAAUUGAUGAUUUGCAUCACCCUGUGGUGUCUCAUGAGUAUGGAAAUGGGUUGGCUAUCGAGAGUGCUUGGAUUGGAACUAGGGAUUAUAGUGCCCAACUGGUGGUUCCUCAAGCUUUGGAGUUUGUUAACAGAUUUGAAGGGGGAAUUGAAGGAAUCAAGAAGAGGAAUCAUAAAGCUGUUGUUGAGAUGGGGGAGAUGUUGGCAAAAGCAUGGGGAACCCAUCUUGGGUCUCCUCCGGAGAUGUGUUCAAGCAUGAUCAUGGUUGGCUUGCCUGCUAUUUUGGGUAUUUCUAGUGAUUCCAUUGCUUUAAAGUUGAGAACCCACUUGAGGAAUAAUUUUUCUGUUGAAGUACCUAUCUAUUAUAGGGUACCGGGUGAUGGAGUGGUUAACCCAGUUACAGGAUACGCUCGAAUUUCUCAUCAUGUUUACAACAAGCCAGAUGAAUACUACAAGUUCAGAGAUGCAGUUAAUCAACUUGUUAAUGAUAAGUUCACUUGUGCACUUCUCGCAUGGUAAAGAGGUAUGUUUUAGAUUCACUGAUUGUAACAUUCUGUUAGCUAUUUUAGGUGGGAUCUAUUUUUAUAUGCCUGUUGGUUUUUGGUAAUUCAUUUCUCUUGGAUAACUGCAAUUAUGAGGCAGCAACCUAUGGUGAAUGUUAAACUAUGUAGAGUUAUUAUUUUUGAGGAUAUCGUGAUAAAGAACCUGCACAAGUUGUCAUAAAACCUGCACAAGUUGAGACAUUUUGAACUGCAAAUAGUAUCUUUUCAUUUGCCGGACAGAUUUACUCAUGGUCAAAUGCUAUGACUGUCCGAGCAAAGAUCAGGCCGUCAGAGACUUUUUGAGCAAUUAGCAAUAUUAUUGCUUUCAUUGAUUUGGAACCAAGAAUGAGGGUAAAUUAUUAUUGGCAAAAUUGUGAGCACUUUCUAUCGUUUUAGGUCAUUAUCAUUGUUCUGUGUUGACUCGUAUGUUCCAGGUCUUCUGUCAAGCAAUUUUUAGCAAGGUUCUUAGAAAUUCCUUAAACAAAGAAGAUAAUGAUUCUGUGAUCCAACUAUUUGCAGUACUUGUGAAACUAUUUUCUUAUUAUGUCAUAAGUUGUUUCUAACAUAUAGACUUGUCUGUUUCUCUGUAGUUGAAUGAUGUGCAGUAGCAAUCUUCCGCCAACUUACGAAUAAGGGCAAUUUGUCUCUCCCUGGAAGGCAUAAAUAUAUGUAUGUAUAAUACUAUAAUGUAAUGUAUCAGAGAAAUAAGAAGAGCAGAAAGAGUUUUCUUUUGCUUAUUUGCUGGGGCUCCAUGAGAGUUAUUCCUGUACAUGUUCAAAUAUCCAUUCUAGGAGGCAAACUAAUGGGAUCAUCUCACGGAACUCAGCAAGUGAUUAUUAUUAAGUGUAACUCUUGGGAUUAGGAUUCUCCUCUAAUCUUAAGCUUCUCUAAUCUUCUUUUAAUGAUUUGAUUUUGAUCCCUGUGUAAUUUUUAAAGAUUUUAUUUAUUUAUUUCUUAAUAAAUCUCAUUCAAGAUAGUUCUUGAUACAUUUUUACUUUUAGCUCAUAUGUUAUUUAACCAACGGUAAACAUAAAGCAUCUGUUCUCUAAAUUUAGUCAAUAUAAUCAGGCAUGAAGUGACCUUGCUUAUUGUCCAUUAGAGAAUUAAUUUGGGCGCUUAAUUUUUAUCAAUUGAAUCCGAUAAUACCCGUUCAUGCUAAAUUAAAUUCAUUAUAGUAAUUUUUUAAAAAAACUUAAUUUUAUUUUUUAUUUUUUAAGAUAAAGGGUGGGUAAAAUUUAAAUUUAUUUUUUAAUCCCUUCUUAAGACUCAAACUUAAAUGGCUAGUUAGAUAAAACUAUUUGAAGAAAGAGAAACAGCAUGUGAGAUCUUAAAACAAAUUGUUUGAAGAUAGAGAAAUAGCAUGUGAAUAGAGGUGGGCAUGGUUCGGUCCGGUUUGGUUCAGAUCGAAAUUAAGCGGUUAUUUUAUAAAAAGAACCAAAUAAGAACUGAAAUCAAUAAAAAUUUCGGAUCGGGCCUAUUUUGAAUUUCUAAAUUUUUAACCCAUUAGGUCUCAUGAAUAUAAUAAUUUUUUUCAACAAUUAAUUUAUCCUAAUUUCAUUACAAAUAUUAACAAUAAAUACAAAGUAUUCAAAACACAUUUUAUCACUAAUAUCUUACUAACUACUAAUAAGGUACUUAUAAAAUAUAAAAUAUUAAGAUUUCAAAAUACAUAAUCAAACUUCAAUACUCCAUCUACAUAAACAUAAUGUUGUAAAAACAAAUAAAAAUAACAAAAAUUAAAACUUACAACACAAAAUAAAAAGAAAAUUUGGAAACAAACACCAACAACAGUUUUUAAAUAUAUAUAUAUAUACCCGUAAUCGUGUGUGUGCAUGCCUAUUUUAGUUAUCUUACGCAACCAAUUUAAAUUUAAUAUGUGUCUAUUUAAAUAAAAUUUCAAGAAUAACCCGGUUUUUCGGUUCAGCUGAGUAAACCAAAUACCGAACCUGCAUUUCGUUUUUUUUCUACAAACCAUAUAUUUCGGUUAUUUUUUAAAAUUAAAACCGGUCCGAACGGAAUGGUUCGGAUCAGUUCAGUUCGGUUUUCUUUAAUGCACGGUUUUUUUGCCCAUCCCUACAUGUGAGAGUGAGACCCUAAAAAAAAUAAAUUCAAGUCAAACACUACAGAAGUGCUUUAGAGCAUAGACUCACCUGUACAAUGUGAUAAUGAUAUGGUCUAUUUUGUUUGCUUGAAGAUGAUGCCAAAUUGAGGCUGGUGAAAGUUGUGUGAAAAUCACCUUUAUCAGUAGGUGACAACUAAAGAAGGAAACUAGUUCCAUGUACAUUGUAGGUGACAACUAGGGAUGGACAAUCAAUUCAAUUACUAGCUAGAAUUUGAAGAAUGAUGGAUGAUAGCAACAAAAAUGACAAUUUGAGAUUGAGUGAUUGAAUCGACUUAUUUCAUUUUUCAAUAUAGGUAUUUUAUCAUUACAAACUAAAGAUGUAAAAUAGACCAGUCCGACGUGACACAAAUCUAGCAUAAAAAAAUUGACUUGCUAGCAUGACACGAGUGUUUAAAUGAAUCUACUCCAACCUCACAUUUUAAAUUUAUGUGUGAUUUGUUUGCUAUUAUUAUUGGAGAACUAUAGCUUAAAAAAGCCACGGACGUAAAAGAUGAGUGUUUCAACAAAACAUGAAUACUAAUGAGUCAAUGUUGUGCAGAGCCUGGAUCAACCCUUUAAAAAUUAAGCCCAACACGACGGUCUAUCAUCCAAGCUAUUCAAAACAUUUCUUCUACUGCAAAUUAUUAUUUAUUCAUGCAACUUCAAUUCCUCUAAUGCUUAGAGAAAGAACAGUCGAAAAUAACUAGCUAAUUAAUUAAAGCAGUAAGGCUCUUAAUUAAUAUAUUGAAUGUUGCUUCGCCGAUGUUUGAACUUUUCUCCCCUUUUAACACACUAUUGAAAAUAACUAACUGAACAUAAAUAAAAGAAAUCACAAUUUCAUUAUUUUUUACUUGAACAAAAUUUCUAUGAUUAUGUACAAUUUCAAUAUUUACAGCGUGUUGGCGCCUUUUGCAUUAGGAUAUAAUUAAGGUGUGUAGCUUUUUUAGCACACUUUUUUUUAAUUGGUUCAAGAAUAGUCUCCAUUUGUUUUUCUUUCGUUUUGAUUGUAGCAGUAUAGAAGAAAGACGCACCAUAAAGUAUAAUAACCAAAAAAAAAAGGAAAAAAAAAGAAAAAAAAAACAAUUAGAUUAGAGGUACCCAAAACACUAAAAACUCACCAAAAUUAUGUGUAAGUCACACAAAAGACCUGUUGCGCCAUUCACCAAAUUUUUUAACCUUUUUGAGUUGGUAAUUAAGCAAAUACUGGAAACAGAACGAAAACGAAGAAUCAAUAUGACAUGAACGGCCUAACUCGUCUGUCGGAUUUGAGAUAGAUCGCGUCGAAACUCAACGUAGUACUUAUCUCAUGCUCAUAUCUAAAAGCUUAUAUCAUAAAUUUAACCCAGGACUAUACAUAAAAUUGGUUUCGGUCUCUACCAUAAAUAUAAAAUAGCAUCUAUACCUCAUUCGAAAACAUAUUCAAAAUUUUCACAGUUCGAAUUUCAUUGUACAUACAUACACUUUAAAUCUAUACAUAUAAACAUAAACGUGCCCAAAAUGUAAGUUAUGUAGCAAUGUGUGUUACGUCCCAACCUUAACUAAUUGGAAACUAAACUGCACGAAAUCUUAUGGAAACCUAGGAGAAAUGGGUAAAUAAGAAAAUAAUGAGCUAGAGUUCAAUGAGUGGAUAUAAUUGAUAAGUGCAUAUUUUCUCUAUAUUUUACAAUUAAUUUCUCCAACUUUUUCUUGUUUUGGUGUUAAAUACUCUAAUUAUUUUAGUUUAUUUUAUUAUGUUAAUUUUUGUCUUACUUUUUAUAAUAUUUUAUUAUUGUAGAUUUUAUCCUUAAUUUAAUAUUUGCUAGUUAAUUAUAUUAUUUUAUUUGAUAGGGAAUUAAUUGGAGAUUAUGGAUAAAAAUGGCAUGAAGAAUUUCAAUUUGGGAAACAAUCAAGAUUAAAUUGGAAAUCAAUUGAAAGACAAGGGAAAAUAAACUCAAGAAGCCGUGGCCAACAAGAAUUUGAAGAGCAAAAGUUGCAAGUCAAUUUCGUCAAGCUUCGAAUGGACAUGCAUUAUUGGAAAAUAAACUAUUUACUUUGGCAAUUGCAUGUGCAUGGCAAUAAAAAAAGGGAAUGAAAAUCCUAAAUGUGAUUCUAAGUGCUUGCACGUACAUGGAUUCACUUGACCAAUUUAAAAAGAUUGUAUGUAUGUCUUGCCAAAGUUAGGAUGCACGUGCAUGGCAUUAAAUUAUGGAAAGCAAAGUGAAAAAAAAAAAGGAAACGGCGAUAUUUAAGCAUGCACAUGAAUUGCCAAAGAAAAGGUCGGUGGCGUAUGCAGAAUAAAAAGCCAACGUUUGGCUUUCGAAAAAAGGACAAUCGGCAGCCAAGAGGAAUUGAAGAGAAAGCAGCGGCAAGAAGAACGAAAAAAAAAUAGAGGAGGUGGCCUCUUGAAUUAAUCUCUAUGUCUCUUUUUAUUAAUUUUUUUUAUUUCUAAUUUAAUUAUGUUAGGCUAGAUUUUUUAUUUGGUUAAGGGUGAAUUCAGAACCCCAAACAUGUCAUAUGAUUAAUGUUCAAUUUCUAUCAUUCAAUUUAUUUAAUUGAGAUUGUUUAUGUUCUUCCAUAAUUAAUGUUUAUGAUUUUAUUCUUAUCUUAUUUGAGUGGCCAAUUAGAUAGGAUUUGAAUAAAUUCUAUUGCUAGAUUAAAAUUCUUGAUCCGUAAUUGUCUUGAUGUUUUAAUCAUUAGUAGCAUGUUAGAAUCAAUUAUUUCAAUUGGAGAACAUAACCUAGGUUAAAUAAUCCGAUCUUGUAUGUUUAUUACCUAGAUCAAUCUAAUAUCUUUCUCUACUUAAUACUUCUAUUAUCUUAAAUUUAAAGAACUUGUUUUAAAUUAUUUAAUGGUUAGAGAUUAGGUGAAGAGCUUGUUUUGCCUAACGAUACUCUAAGAAAAGAUUGAGACUAACUGAGCUUAUUGUUGUCUACGGUUGAUAGUUUCAAUAGAAAUUGAUGAUAUAAUUGAUAUAUUAUGUGCAUGUUUGGUGGUGACGAAUGAUUUUUUAACCACGGUUUUCAUCAUUAUUAUUUCUUUCUCCUUUAAUUGGAGUUUUUAUUAAAUUAUUGUUUUUGUAAUUUUAAUUUCUUUAUUUCUUGCUAUUUAUUUAAAAAUUCAUAAAACACCCCUUUUUAUUUAUAAUUGGAAUUUUCUUUAGUUAAAUUAAUUUAUAUUAUUAUUACUACUAUUAUUUUAUUUUAAAUCCUGCUUUAGAGUUGAUAAUAAAUACAACUAGUAUAGUCUUUGUGGAAUCGAUCCUUACUCGCUCUAUACUAGUUAUUAAUAUUAGUAGUAAGGUUUUAAAUUUUGUGCACCUUAACGACACUACCAAAUUUUUGGCGCCGUUGCCAAGGAUUAGCAUCUAGUUUCUUUAUUAUCACUCAUUUUAUUUUAUUAUUUUUACUUUUUUUUUCAUUUUAUUUGUUUAUUUUAAUUAGUUAUUUUCUGUUCUAUAUUUAGAUUUUUAUGGGUAUAGAGGACAUUCGAUUGAAACUCGAUCAUCUCAGAGCAACCUCAUCACAUUCAGAACUCGAUUUUUCCAUCCACAUUUCAUUCCUGAAGACAGAGCCAGGCAGCCUAGAACCUGAACCAAUAGCUCAGAACAACAAUCUAACACUUAAAGAGUUGGUAGCUCCUAACUUGGACCAGCAACCAUUAUGCAUUGAGAAUCCAAAUCCUCAGGUUAACUUUGAACUCAAGUCUAGGAUGAUUCAUCUUCUUCCUACUUUUCAUGAUUUUGAAGGAGAGGACCCAAAUAAGCACUUGAAGGAGUUCCAUGUGGUAUGUUCCACAAUGAAACCAGCUGGAGCUUCUGAAGAGCAAGUUAAGCUAAUGGCCUUCCCAUUUUCUUUGGCGGAUUCAACCAAGGAAUGGCUGUACUAUCUUCCCUCUGGUACUGUCACCACAUGGAAUGAGAUGCGUCAGGUAUAUUUGGAGAAAUACUUCUCAGCAUCAAAAGCUGGCAGCAUUUGAAAAGAAAUUUGUGGAAUCCGACAAUAUAAUGGAGAGUCACUCUACGACUACUGAGAACAAUUCAAAAAGCUAUGUGCUACCUGCCCCCACCAUCAGAUAAGUGAUUAACUCCUUAUUCAAUACUUUUAUGAGGGUUUACUUCCUAUGGAUAUGAGUAUGAUUGAUGUCGUUAGUGGAGGAACACUUGUGGAUAAGACACCAGAAGCAGCCCGAAAUAUCAUUGCUAACAUGACUGCUAAUUCCCAACAGUUCAACACUAGGAACGAUCUAUUGCCGCCACCUAAGUGAGUCAAUGGGGUAAGUACUACUUCCCUAGAACAACAAGUUUCAAAUCUUACUUCUUUGGUACAACAGUUAGCCUUAGGGCAACGGGUGAGACCGUGUGGCGUAUGUUCCAUGGUCGGGCAUGUGACUGAUAUGUGCCUUGUUCUCUAAAAGGGUCCCAUGAGCAGGCCAACAACGCAGUUGAGGGGUUCCUAAGCCAACCAAGACAAAUGUAUGAUCCAUACUCUAAUUUUUACAUUGAAGGGUGGAAUGAUCACCCUAAUAUUAUGUAUGGGAACCAACAACAAGGCAUUCCUAAUGUGGCACCAUCUCGACCACUGAGCUACCCUCAACAGCGGGUGCAACAGCCUUACCAAGUCUGGCCACCUUCACCUCCUCAAAGUCAAGGUACAUCUUUCGAAGAUCUUGUAAAAGCUCUCGCUACUAACCCUAUGCAGUUCCAAUAGACUACCUAGACACAACUCCAACACUUAGAGAAUCAAAUUGGCCAACUGGCCACAUCUAUGAGUAGGAUAGAGGCUAGAGUUUCAGGAAAAUUACCUUCUUAACUAGAAAUUAAUCCGAAGGAGAAUGCUAGUGCUAUGUCUCUUAGGUGUAGAAAGCAGUUGGAACCAUUAUUAGCCAAGCCAUCAAAGAUGUCUACAACAUCAUCGCACUUUGUGACCAAUCCCUCUCUUGAGACUAUUCCUUUAAUAAGGAAAGACGAUUCCUAUUCUACAUUGCCAGUUGACCCAUCUGGCCAGGUAAAUACCACCCACCUCGAAUUAAGACCCUUUCUAUUCCUCCACCAUUUCCUAGCUGGUUUAAAUAAUCCAAAAAAGAUGAACAAAAAAAGGAGAUCGUUGAGACCUUUCAUAAAGUAGAGGUAAAUAUUCAUCUACUUGCUGCUAUUAAAUAGGUGCCGUGUUAUGUAAAAUUUUUGAAGGAAUUAUGCAGCAACAAAUGAAAGAUGAACGACAAUGAAAAUGUAAGUGUAGGAGAAAAUGUAUUUGCUGUACUUCAAAGAAAACUUUCUCCUAAGUGCAAGGAUCUAGGUACUUUUACUAUCCCCUGCACUAUUGGCAAUACCAGAUUUGAAAGAUGUAUGCUAUAUUUAAGGGCCUCAAUUAAUGUUAUGCCAUAUUCGAUUUAUAACUCCUUGAAUUUAGGUCCAAUGGAAGAAACUGCUAUAAUUAUUCAAUUGGCUGAUAGAUCUAAUGCUUACCCAAAGGGGGUUGUGGAAGAUGUUCUUGUGCAGGUCAAUGAAUUGGUCUUUCCAGUUUUUUUUUAUAUCCUUGAAAUAGAGGAUGAGUCAUUGCCCAAUCCUACUCCUAUUCUGUUGGGGCGACCAUUCCUUAAGACAGCCCGAAGCAAGAUUUAUGUUCAUGAUCGAACCCUCACAAUGGAAUUCGAUGGUGAAAUGAUCUGUUUCAAUAUCUUUGAGGCAAUAAUGUAUCCUAGUAAUGUACAUUCUGUCUUUGCCAUAGAUGAUAUUAAUACUUUGGUGCAUGAUUUCUUUGAGUUAUCCGGUAAUGAUAGUUUUGAAACUGCCAUAAUAAAAAAUCUUACGAAAGAUGAUUCUAAGGAACAAAUAAAUUUGAUAAAGUUGGAUGAUGAGGUAGAGAAAGCUAUGAGGAUCUUAGAUGGAGCAACCCCAUUACGUACCAGUGGGUAUAAUGUUUCUUACCUUGAAUUGCCUUUUUCCAAUGAGAAACUUUUACCUUUAGUUAUGCGGGCACCUACCUUAGAACUUAAGCCACUCCUAGAGCACCUGUAAUAUAUUUACUUGGGUGAGAAUGAAACACUUCUUGUCAUAAUUGCUAAAACCCUCACUUCAAUUCAAUAAGAAAAGCUAAUUAGGGUGCUUCGGGAUCACAAGACGGUGAUUGGUUGGACCAUUGCCGACAUUAAAGGAAUUAGUCCUUACAUGUGUAUGCAUCAUAUUUUACAACACCGCCUUAAUCCACUAAUGAUGAAAAUCAUAAAAAAGGAGAUAUUGAAACUCUUUAAUGUGGGGAUUAUAUAUACCAUUUCUGAUAGUAAAUGGGUGAGUCCUGUGCAGGUAGUUCCAAAAAAAUCGAGCAUCAUAGUGGUCAAGAAUGAAGAAAACGAGCUUGUGCCAACUAAAGUCCAAAUUGGGAGGAGGGUUUGCAUUGACUACCGUAAACUGAAUGUGAUUAGUAUUAAAAAUUGUUUAAUUAUCAAGCGAUAAUAAUGUUAUUUUGUGCUUAUGUUAUAAUUUAUAUUUAUGUUUAUGCAAUAUAUUAGAAAUUAUUAAUUAUGUAUUAAAUAUAUCUAAUUUUGUGUGUUUAUUAGGUAAAAUAUUAAUUUCACGUAAUUCGAGGCUCCAAAUAGAUAAACGAAUGUCAAAUUUGGAUUUUGGAGUUCCGAAAACCUUCAGAUGAGUCAAGAUCAGCUUAUAAUUGGACUUGUGUAAAUAGAGUUGACUUUUUUCUGUUGACCGAGUAUUGAUUGAAUGAUAAAAUAAGCUUACAAUAGAUGAGUGCAUGGGAUAGCUAGCAAUUUUGACUAAAUCUCAACCGUUCAUGAUUCAAUGGCCAUGAUUAUGCCACGUGGUAAUGAUUGGUGAAGCAAGUUGUAGGAUCCGAAUCUUUGUAUUCGGGUCAACCCAAUCCAUCUAAACCUGCCAAAUCUCAAUUGUUCUUUGGCCAAAUCAGACGAGUCAAAUGAUGCCACGUGUAAUGUUGACUUUUGAAGUUUGAUCAGCCGUUGGAUCUUGAUCUAAUGGUUGUGAGGAGCGCAUGCAUGAAGCUUAUGAUGGACCGCAAAACACUAAAUUAUGAAUUUAUUUUUCUAUAAAUAAAACAUCAUUUUUAUGUUUUUAAUCAUCUCUCUACGUCUCUUUUCUUCUCAAAGUCUCUCAAUCUCUCUGUAAUCUUAUUUUCCAGGUGUGUUUUUAAUAUUUUGUAUAAUUAUUUUUAUAAAUAAAUUUAGUUUUAUUUUCAAUUUUAGUUGUUCUUAUUACUUUUAAUUAUAAGUAAUUUAAUUUUAAUAAUUCUUUUUAUUUCAAUUAUACUUAACUAAAUAAUAAUAGUUAGGGUAAGGUGAAACUCUUAGGAAUUUGCCUGUAAUGACUAAUUUUCGGGCUUUAUCUAUAAAAACUCAACUCCAACUUCAAUUUUAAGAUUCUAGCAAGCAUAAACAAGUUUGAAACAACAUAUUUUGAGCUUCCAAUUCGCAAAUUAUCAUAGAUUAAAUCUUCAUUGUGCUAUCAUUUGUAUAUUCACUCUAAAAGAGAGUUGUUUCUUGUAAUUUUCAUUUCUUUAUCAAAUUUGUGAGCGUUUGAGUGUGAGAAACACUUGAGUUAAGAGAUUGAGGGAUAAUCUCUUGUUGUAAAGGUUCAUUGACACCUUAGAAGUAAGGAUGGCAAAAUUAGGGUCCGGGUUCGGGUUUGGCCUUCCCGGUUCCGGACCUAGAUACUAAAAUUCUAUACCAGAUCUAGAUUUAAACCCGAUUUUUGUGACACUGGGUCUGGUACGAGUUAAACCCGGAAUAAUCCGGGUUUCCGGAUUGUGAAUUUUCAACCCGGAUCACAUACAAAUAAAAAAAUAAAAAAAUCAAAUACACUUUACAAAUUUGCAAAACCAUAUUCGACACAAAUCAAAUACAAAGCAAUAAACCAUUAUGAUUUUAAAUAUCAAAACAAUAAACCAUUUACAAAUACAAAUCCAUGACAUGACAUUCACAAAAUACAAAUUCAUGUCUACAACUCAAAAUCGUGAUUCACGAAUUUGGUUCACAAACUUCAACAAUCGGUGUUCGGCGAAGUAACGAACAACGGUGGCUGAUGAUAUGAUGAUGAUGAACACAUCACAGCCGCAAGCAUGAUUCGCAAAAGGCGAAUCAACGGCGGCUAAAACUAAGAUCGCGAUGGACAAACAACGGCCAAACAGAGGUUGGUGAUGAUAAUGAAGGUGAACACAGUGAAGCAAAGUGAUGAGGAGUGACGACGAUGAGUUGAUGAAGAGAAGAACUGAAGAGGGACGAACAUGGUGAUUUGAUGAAGAGAAAAGAAAGAGGUGAAGAAAGGCGGCUGUGAAAGGGUGAAAUGGAUUUAAGGCAUCAACAUUCUUUCCCCUUUUUUAUAUUAAAAUAUAAUUUAAAGAUUAUGCUAAAAUAAAGAUAUCCGGGUUCGGGUUCCGCAUAUGCGGGUUUAUGCGAACCCGGAAAUGUCUGGGUCGGUAAAAUCGUAUCUGGAUACUGGAUUAUUUCAAUCCGGUAUGGGUUAAACCUAGCCCGAAUUAUUUGGGUUAGACUGGGUCUUGGCCGGGUCCGGGUUAAAUUGCUAUCCCUACUUGGAAGUCAAUUGUAAACAUUUGAAACCUUGAGAGGCUUGGUUAGUGAAGUUCUCAAGCUUGGUUUGGUUGAAGGCGUGGACGUAUGCGAGGAUUGCCGAACCACGUAAAAAUCUUUGUGCUUCCUCUCUCUUCCCUUACUCUUUUAUUUUUUAGUAUUAUUAAAUUUAUUAUUUUUGAUUUUAGUAUUGUUAAAUUUAUUAUUUUUUAUUUCAUUAAGGCAUUAUAUUAAAUUGUUGUGCGAUUUAUUUAGCUUAAGUUUUAAAAACCCAAUUCACCCCCCUCUUGGGUUGUAUAACUAGUAUUUCAUUUGGCAUCAGAGCUUGGUUCUCUUAUUCGGACUUAACCGUCUAGAGUAAAAGAUACAUGACAACGCAAAAUGACUUAACCUUUAGGGAAGGACAGUCUACAACUAGACCACCGUUCUUUGACGGUAAUGACUACCCAUAUUGGAAAACUAGGAUGAGAAUUUAUUUACAAGCUUUAGAUUAUGAAAUUUGGGAAGUUGUUUGUGAUGGUCCAUUUAUGCCUAUGACUAAAAAUGAAAUAGGAGAUGAUAUUCCAAAACCUUCAAGUCAAUGGAGUGAGUUAGAAAAGAAAAAAAUAUCUUUAAACUCCAAGGCAAUGAAUGCUUUGUUUUGUGUUCUAAAUAAAAAAGAGUUUCAUAGGGUGUCAAGUUGUGAGAGUGCUAAAGAAAUAUCAACUGAAGGAAUUUAUGUCGAUUCUCAAAAGAUCGAAGCAGUUGGAAAUUGAGAACGACCUACAAAUGUCACAGAGGUUUGGAGUUUCCUUGGAUUGGCUAGUUAUUAUCGCAGAUUUAUGGAGGGAUUCUCCAAGAAUGCUAUUCUUUUGACACGAUUAACCAAAAAGAAUGUUAAGUUCCAAUGGGAUGAUCACUGUGAAAAGAGUUUUCAAGAACUUAAGACAUGUCUUACUUCAACACCAGUUCUUACACUUCCUUCUAGUAAUGAAGGGUUUGUAGUAUACAAUGAUGCCUCUAGGCAAGGAUUGGGUUGUGUGCUAAUUAAACAUGGGAAAGUAGUGGCUUACGCUUCUAGACAACUUAAAAAGCAUGGUCAAAACUACCCAACACAUGAUUUAGAGCUAGCAGCAGUGGUGUUUGCACUUGAGACAUAGAGGCAUUAUUUAUACGGGGUAACGUGUCAGAUUUUCACUGAUCAUAAGAGCCUGAAGUAUUUAUUUACUCAGAAAGAGUUAAAUUUGAGACAAAGGAGAUGGAUCGAGCUGAUUAAGGACUACGAUUGCACUAUUGAUUAUGAUUCGGGCAAAGCGAAUGUGGUAGUUGAUGCGCUAAGUAGGAAGUCCUCCAACUCUAUAGCUCAAUUGUGAGUUGCAUAUAUGCUUUUGUUGAUCGAGCUGAGAUCUUUGGGAGUUGAGUUGGAAGCUAAUAAUUGCAGAGCUCUAAUAGCUAAUUUUCGAGUUAGGCCGACUUUGAUUGACAAAGUCCAUCAGAUGCAAGAUUAGGAUCCGCAGCUAAUAAAGUUAAGAAAAGAUGUGCAAAAAGACUUGCGAACCGAUUUUACAGUGAGAGAUGAUGGAGUUUUAGUGAUGGGUAAUCGACUUUGUGUACCCGAUAUUGAGGAGUUGAAAAAGGAGAUCAUGGAAGAAGCUCAUUGUUCAGCUUAUGCAAUGCAUCAUGGUAGUACGAAGAUGUAUCGUACCUUGAAGAAUCAUUACUAGUGGCAAGGUAUGAAGAAAGAGAUAGCAGAAUAUAUAUCUCAGUGUUUAGUUUGUCAGCAGAUUAAGGCUGAACAUUAGAGACUUGCAGGGUUUUCGCAGCUGCUUCCUAUCCUUGAGUGGAAGUGGGAGCACAUCACCAUGGACUUUGUAGCAGGACUUCCACGUACCCAGAGUGUGGUCAUGAUAGUGUUUGAGUGGUUGUUGAUCGACUGACAAAAUCUGCUCACUUUUUACUAUUCAAGACUGUUGUGCAAAUUUUAUUGAACUUGCAAGUGCACGAAUCUAUUGUAGAAUAGACUAAUGGUGACGAGUGUCGAUCCCACGAGGAGGUAGAUUUUAAUUGUGUGUAGAAUUAAUUUUGUAAAUGGGUGGUUGAAUUUCUGGUGAAAUUGAUUUGGAAUAUUCUAAAACUUAAAUUAAAAUGGCUAGAAUAAAUUGAAGAUAGAUCUAUUAAAAUGAAGCACUUGGGUAUCCGGAUCCGUAUCAACAUGCACCAUGAGCUAAAUAUUCCUUAUUAAUGCCAAUUAAAUCAUGAGGGGGGAAUCCACACCUCAUGAACCACUCUAUAAUCAAUAUGGUGCUAAGGGCUUAUCGUGCCAAAUAAUAAUAACCUUGUACUAGGGGGCCGGUGAAACCAAGGAGGUACUAGACAAGAUUAGUAUUAUUUGUCGACGAGAAGUCAAAACAUCCACAAAAAUUAGAGGGGAAGAGAAAGUAAAUUUACCAAAUAAAGCCCAUGACACAUGUUGAGACUUCAUCUUCAACCCAAGCUUGAAAGAAAAUUAGCUAUUCAUAAUUGAACUAGGGGCAAAAUGGGAAUUUAUUAAAAUACACAGAAAAUACAAGAUGGAGAAGGAAUUACAGAAAAUGGAGUCCAAAAAUGGAUUCAGAGAUAUCAAAUUAGGCGGGGAAGGCCCCAUUUUUAUAGAUACAUUGAGUAAAUCAUGGCCAUCAGAUUAAAAACAGUUUGGACGCUCAAGAUUGCGCCACGUCAUCAGUCAACAGUACGCGGUUUGACCACGUGGGUGAACAGUAACAUGAUUUGACCCGGCUUUGAACAGUAAUGCGGUUUGGUUGAAAAUAAUCCUGUGUAAUGCAUGUACCGUACACGCAAGUUUUGGUUCACUAAUAUGCUGCCAUGUCACCAUCAACAGUUCAUAAGAAUUUUAGACCAAUAGGAUCAUGGCACCUCAUCAGUCAAUGCCACAUCAUCGGUCAAUGCCACGUCAUCGAUCUGUCUAUGUGAACAAUGUCAUGAACAGUAGCGUAGACAGUACCGUACAUGUGAAUAGUACCGUACAUGUGAACAGUGCCAUUUUUCCUUUUAUGCUCCUUCUAAGGUUUUCGACCGUCUUAAGUUCAAAAGUGAUGUCUGUUUUGCCGUUUGAUCUCUCGUUUAUUGUGAAAUGACUAUGAUACCCCUAAAAUACACAAAAUACUUAAUUAAAAUAAAACACACAUAAUUAAAUUAAAAGAACCUUAAAUACACAAAAGUAAGGGUGUUAGUAAAACUUGAAGUGUAAAAUGACGAUUUUCUCCUUUAUAAAUAUACAUUUUCUAACACUCAACAAAGACCACUUAUUCAAUGGACAAGUUGGGAAGUAUUUAUGUGGCUGAGAUAGUUCGACUUCACGGAGUGCUCGUGUUAAUUGUCUUAGAUAGAGAUUCCCGAUUUACUUCUAAAUUCUAGACCAACUUGCAAAAGAUAUUAGGCACCAAGUUAAAUUUUAGUACAACUUUUCAUCCAUAGACUGAUGGUUAGUCAGACCGUACUAUUCAAACCCUGGAGGAUAUGUUGCAAGCUUGUGUUUUGGAGUUUAAGGGUAGUUGGGACAUUUAUUUACCCUUGAUGGAGUUUGCUUAGAAUAACAGUUAUCAAGCUGACAUCGAGAUAGCACUUUAUGAGGCUUUGUAUGGCAGGAAAUGUAGAACUCCAGUAUGUUGGGAUGAAGUUGGCGAGCGGAGAUUAUUUGGUCCCGAAUUAGUUCAGAAUACUAAUGAGAAUAUACAACUUAUUCGAGAUAUAUUAAAGGUAGCCCAAAAAAAACAAAAGAGCUAUGCAAAUAUGCGUAGGAGGGAACUUGAAUUCAAAGUGGGUGAUAAGGUUUUCAUACGGAUAUCUCAUUGGAAAGAGGUACUUCGAUUUGGGAAGCACGAAAAGCUAAGCCCACGUUACAUUGGAGCAUAUGAGAUCGUGGAGCAUAUUGGUCCGUUGGCGUACCGAUUAGCUCUACCACCUGAGUUAUCCAGAAUCCACGAUGUGUUUCAUGUCUCGAUGCUCUGAAAGUACAUGUAUGAUCCCAGUCAUGUGUUAUCAUGACAACCAAUAGAGUUGAAGGAAGACUUGACUUAUGAAGAGGAGCCAGUGGAAAUACUGGAACAGAAGCACCAAGUUUCGCGUUCUAAAACCAUUCCGUUAGUAAAAGUGUUAUGGAUGAAUCACACAAGGGAAGAGGCUACUUGGGAACGCGAAGACUUAAUGCGAGCCCAAUACCCUCACCUAUUCUCAUCAGAUGUGUAAAUUUCGAGGAUGAAAUUUUUAUAAGGGGGAGGAUUGUAACAUAUGCACUUUAAUUUUCCGAAUUAAGUGUAUUAUUUCCUUUUUCCCCAUCGACAUUAAUUUUAAAUUUAUCGGACUUGUUCUGAAUUAUUAUGGUGAAGUUGAUACAACACGAUUAUCCGACAUUAUGAGUGGUGAUUGUUAAAUGUUAUGCGUUUAUUAAAUAAAUCGUGUUUGGAUUAUUUUAAAUUUGUCAUGACAUAAAAUUGAAACAAUUCGAACAUGAUUCAAUGGCUAUGUAGUCGGAUUUUUAUUUCAACAUGGGUUCGGCGUUAGCAUAAUUGGUAGUAAGCUAAAAAAAAAAUGGAAGCUAGUUUCUAUAAAUAGAAAGAGGGGAGUUGGUUUCCAAAAAGGGAAAGAGAAGGGGCGAGAGAGAAGGAGAAAUUGACAUGUUUGACCCGACCCCACCCUCCAAACCGACCCGCCCUAACUCUCAUUUUCGGCCACCGUUCCGGUCAAGCUUAGAACUGAUAUGAAGUUGGAGCGACGCCGGUCAUAUCCCUGCUGUCAACGUCGCCGAAAAACAGCCAGAACGCCGGCGAUGGAAGCUCGAAAGACCGCGACUCGACCUGUUUUUGUUGCCGUCGAUUUCGCCGGAUUUAGGCAGCGUUACCACUUAGAUCUGGAUUCUCAGCUCACCCUCAUCGUUUUCCAACCAACCCCGCCAUCUGAAACUACCAUUUCGGCCAUGAACAACCGCCGGAAAGCUCGCGACUUGGGAAGCUCGAUCUGCCGCCGUUGCCGUGCGUGGGUGGUCACCACUGGCACCAUUGCACUCAUCGAGGUCAGAACUAUCAAACAUGAGCUUUCUGUCGCCGUUGACUGAAUUUCGGUCACCGUUGACCGGCAAUGGCAAUUCAAUAAUUUCGCAAACUUUGGGGAUUAUUUCGUAAUUUCUGAACUUGGUGGAUAAUUUGGUAAUUCCAGAUUAGGGUAGUGAGGCAACUUAAGAUUUAGGGGUAAUUUGGUAAUUUAUGUUCUUGAGGGCAUUUUGGUAAUUUUGCAUUCUAAGGGUAAUUUCGUAAAUCCAAAAUUUGUGGUUAAUUUUGUGAUCUGAAUUGAGAGCAAUUAGGUAAUUUAGGAUUUUGAGGAUAAUUUGAUAAAUUAUGGUUCUGACGGCAAUUCAGUAAAUUUCCAUGUCAAGGUCAUUUUGGUAAUUUUUGGAUAUAAGGGUAAUUUUGAAAGUUUAUGUAUCCCGAAGUUUUGUUUCGAGCUUUAUUUUGUAUUGUUAGUCGUAUUUCAUGUUACAAAUAAUAACUAUGUCGUUUACUUGAUUAGGAGGACCCGCGAACGAGAAUCAACCCACGGACAUUGUUGAUACCGAGUCUGGACAUCGUCACUGUGAGUGGAAUAUACAAAACCUACUUUCAUAGUAUAUUCUGAUUAUACGAUAAAGUAUAGCAUGUUUUAAUAAUAAGUAUUUGAUGCAUCGAUUUAAUGAUUUUCUAGAAAAUGGACUUUUAUUUACGUGUCGAUAUUUAUUAUUAUCAAGAAUGAGUUUGAUUAAUGAUUUUAUUAUCGUUUUUGAGUAAAUGCAUGGUAAUAAUUUUAAAGAGAAUAAAGUGGAUUUGAAGUAUGUUACGUGGAAAUAAAAUGAGAUUUUAGAUGUUUAUGAAUAUGUAUAUAAAAGGUUAUUUGCAAAAUCAUUGGACAAUACCCUUCCCCUCCAGAUACAGUGAUACAUGUGAUAUGAGAUGAGAAGCCUUUGGGGCUCGUCUGAACACACAUAGAGGCUUUGGGCCAUGUGUUUGGGCGUUUUUACCUUUUGAGGGCAUAUGGAUGCAGUGUGAUGAUUACAAAGAUACAUAUAUUGAGAUACAGAUGGGAUAUGAUGAUACAUAUGGGAUACGGUGAUACAGAUGAAAUGAAAGGCCUUUGAGGCCUGUCUGAGUACACAUAGAGGCUUUGGGUCGUGUGUCUGGGCGCUUUGUCCUUUGGGGACUAGAUUAUGCAUGCAAAAAUAUGAUGAGAUAUGAGAUGACAUUUCCCCGUCUAUCCGUUGUUGCUCCGGGGCAUGAUAGUUCCCUGAUUGCCUGUUCGUUGAGGUCCGGAUAUGAUGAGAUUAUUUCCCUGGGUACUUGUUUGAUGAUAGUUUUGGUAUUCAGUAUUUGAUAUUAUAAGUAUUAUGAUUUCAUUGAUUUUAUACAGAUUUAUGUAAUAUUGUAAUUUCAGUGCAUGAUUUGAAUUAAAUAAGUUUAUGUAAGUUCUUAUGAUAUUUUGAUGAAAUUGAUUUGGGAAAGAUUAAAUCAUUUUUAAAUAAAUUUAUUUUUCAAAAAAUACUAUUCACUCAUUGAGCUUAUUGAGUUUUAUACUCACUUCGUUUUUAUUAUAUUUUUCCCCUCCACAGGAGAUUUGCAAGCACAUUAGUCAACCCAACAAUGAUAUUUAGAUUUGAAAUUAUGGCCACGUGAUGGUGUUAGGAAACAUAUAUGUUUUGUAGAGAUAUUUUGAAUUGUAUAAUUUAUUACUUAUUUGUGAUUAAUGAUAAAUUAUUGUAUUCUUGACAUUAUAUGUUUAAAGGAUACUGGUAUUUGGUUGAGGAAGUUGGUUGUGGAGAUUGGUUGAAUAUUAUAUCAUUUUUAGGAGUGUUAAUUUUAUAAAUUACAGGUUUGGGGAUGUCAUAAUUAUAUAGGAAACUCUGCCGAAUUUUUGGUAGAAUUCUUAGAUAUUAGAAUUAUUAUUAAUUCGGUUAGGCGAGAUUAGAUAGACUCGUCCUAUGGCUUCGGGGCGGGUCGUUUCAGAUGCAAUAUAGAAAGGUAAUUGGUUGUACUUUCAGACAGCUCAAGCAACUGCAUUAUCCAACACAUGAUUUAGAGCUUGCAGUAGUGGUGUUUGAUUUAAAGACUUAGAGAAAUUAUUUAUAUGGAGUUACUUGUGAGAUAAUCAUUAAAACUUGAAGUACUUAUACACACAUAAGGAAUUAAAUAUGAGAUAACGUAGGUGGGUUGAGUUGAUUGCAAAUUAUGACUAUAUUAUUGAUUGCCAUCCAUGCAAGGUGAAUUUGGUGGCUGAUGCUCUCAUUAGGAGGUCUUCCAAUUCAAUAUCCCACCUUAAAGUGUUGUAUCUUCUAUUGUUGAUCAAUUUGAUAUCUUUGGGUAUGAACUUAGCAGUGGGUGAGAAUAGAGCACUUUUGACACAUUUUUAGGUUUGGCAUGUUCUGAUUGGCUAGAUUUGAGAGAUGCAUGACCAAAAUCAGAAAUUGAUCAAAAUGAAAGAAGAUGUGAAGAACGGAAUACAAAUGGACUUUUCACAUAGAAAUGAUGGUACUUUAGUGGUAGUAGACUUUGUGUGUCGAAUAAUUUAGAUUUUAAAAACUAGAUUUUAGAAUAAGCACAUAAUUCAGUAUAUGCUAUGCACCCAAAUAACACGAAGAUACAUCAUGUUUUGAGGGAGCACUAUUGAUGGCAGGGGAUAAAGAGAAACAUAGCAAAGUGUGUGGCACACUAUUUAAUUUGUUAGCAAGUUAAGGUAGAACAUCAGGGACCUAUGGGAGAAUCUCAAUCGCUUGAUAUUCCUGAGUGGAAAUAGGAGCAUGUUACCAUGGAUUUUAUAAUAGGACUUCCUCACGAAGUCUGCUCACUUUUUAUCUUACAAAAGUAAAUACUCUUAUAAUAUGUGUUGUGCAAAUUUUAUUGAACUCGCAAGUGCACGAAUCUAUUGUAGAAUAGAUCAAUGAUGACGAGUGUCGAUCCCACGAGGAGGUGGAUUUUAAUUGUGUAGAAUUAAUUUUCUAUGAGGGUGGUUGGAUUUCUGGUGAAAUUGAUUUGGAAUAUUCUAAAAUUGGAAUUGAAAUGGCGAGAAUAAAUUGAAGAGAAAUCCAUUGAAAUGACGUACUUGGGUAUAUGGAUCCGUAUCAACAUGCACCAUGGGCUAAAUAUUCCUUAUUAAUGCCAAUUCAAUCAUGAGGGGGGUUUCCACACCUCAUGAACCACGCUCUAAUCAAUAUGGUGCUAAGGGCUUAUCGUGCCAAAUAAUAAUAACCUUGUACUAGAGAGCCGGUGUAACCAAGGCGGUAUCUAGACAAGAUUAUUAUUAUUUGUCGAUGAAAAGUCAAAUCAUCCACAAAAAUUAGAGGGGAAAAGAAAAUAAAUUUACUAAAUAAAGCCCAUGACACAUGUUGACCCAAGCUUGAACUAGAGGCAAAAUGAGAAUUUAUUAAAAUAUGUAGAAAAUACAAGAUGGAGAAGGAAUUACAGAAAAUGGAUCCUAAAAAUGGAUUCAGAGCUAUCAAAUUAGGGGGGGGGGGGGAGGCCCCAUUUUUAUAGAUACAUUGAGUAAAUCAUGGCCAUCGGAUUAAAAACAGUUUGGACGCUCAGGAUUGCGCCACGUCAUCAGUCAACAAUAAGUUGUUUGACCACUUGGUUUGAACAGUAACACGAUUUGACCUGGCUUGAACAGUAACGCGGUUUGGUUGAAAAUAAUCCUGUGUAAUGCAUGUACCGUACGCGAGAUUUUUGGUCCACUGAUAUGCUGCCACGUCACCAUCAACAGUACAUAAGAAUUUUAGUCUAACAGGAUCGUGACACCUCAUCAGUUAAUGCCAUAUCAUCGGUCAAUACCACGUCAUCGAUUCGUCUAUGUGAACAAUGUCGUGAACAAUAACGUAGACAGUACCGUACAUGUGAAUAGUGCCAUUUUUCCUUUUAUGCUCUUCCUAAGAUUUUCGACCGUCCUGAGUUCAAAAGUGAUGUCCGUUUUGCCAUAUGAUCUCUCGUUUAUUGUGAAAUGACCAUGAUACUCCUAAAAUACAUAAAAUACUUAAUUAUAAUACAACACACAUAAUUAAAUGACAAGAAACUUAAAUACAUAAAAGUAUGAAUGUUAGUGGAACAUGAAGUGUAAAAUGACAAUUUUCUCCUUUAUAAAUAUACAUUUUUUAACACUCAACAAUAUGAUGGUGAAUUUGUAUGUAAAGGAAAUAGUAUGUUUGCUUGAAGCCCUUGUGUCUAUUUGUUUCAAAUAGAGACUUACGGUUUACUUCCAAGUUUUGGCCUUGUUUACAGCAAGCUAUGGGUUCUAGAUUAAAUUUUAGUAUAACUUUCAUCCGUAGAUAGACAAACAAUCAGUAAAGAUUAUUCAGCUUUUGAAAGAUAUGCUUCAAGCAUGUAUUAUGCAGUUUCAAGGUAAUUAGGAUACAUGCCUACCUUUUAUGGAGUUUGCUUAUAAUAAUAGUUAUCAGUCUAAUAUGAGUAACACUAGUAAGUGUACAUUUAAUAAAGGUCAAAAUUAUCAAUUUUUUACUUAUAGUGUUGAUAACACUAACAAUUUCAUUACAUUAAUAAAUCCUUAACCUAUUAUUAAAAUUAAUAAUUCUUAUUUGUUUUUAAUUAUAUUUUUUGUACUUCGUAGGUAAUUCCCUAAAAUCAUAAUGCUUGGAUUUAAAAAAUGGACGUAAAAUUUGGAUUCCAAAAACUCAAAAGCCAUUGGAGAUUUUCUAGCCCUUUGAUAUGGCAUUAUUACUGAAUGAUUUAGAUCAUUCCAUGCGUCCAAGCUCACAAACACCAUGUUAUACUAGAUUUUGCACACCAAAUUUGGUAGAUAAACUAUCUUGACAAAUUAACUCAACCAUAUUAACAAAUGAGCAAAAGGAAGGUCCCGCUUUGACUUCAAUCAUAACCAUUGAUUUUGUUAAAUCCAACGAUCCAUAUGGUUGCAAAUUUUAAACCCUUGGAUUGUACUACUAAAUCUCAUCUAAAUGGUUAUGAUUGUAAGAUCAACAAAAUAUUGUAAACACCCAUACUUGAUCAUUUAAAAUUUGCCUAUAAAAAGGUAAGAGCUCUCACAAUUGAGGAUGUGCUAGAUUUUGGGAAAAAAAAGAAAAGGGGAGAGAAUUGUGUGGUGGAUUUUUGGGGUGAGCAUUUUGGGUGUAAAUAUAGAGUGAAUUUAGGAAAAAAUUCUCUUUCCUUUCCCUUUGUUUUUAAAUUUUCUUGUAUUGGACUUUACAAAGUUUAUUAAAUAAAAUGAGUGUUUUCCUUUUAAACAAGAGUGGCUAAAUUUUCUAAGCUGAGGUGAAAGGUGAAGCUCAAGGAUUCAAAUCAUGGAAUUAAUUACUCUUUCAAGUGAGUUUUAAGUCUAUUUAUUUGUUAUAUGUUUAUAAUUUAUACUUUUUUCUUUAUUGAUUACUUUCAUGUCAUGUUAAUUUGUAGAUCUAGAUCUCCUUGAAUCUAUAUAGAAUUUUAACAUAAUGUCAACGCUCCAAUAUAGCUGUGACAAAUUAGGUUCUUGAUCUCAUAUUUAUCUAUACAAAUAGUUUAUUAUGAAAUAAAUGGCAUUAUAAUUAACUAGCAAAAGAAAUGCAAAAUAUAAAUAUGAGAGAGUAUUAUGACCAUAAUUUGAAAACUGAGAGUGGAUCUCGUAACCUUAUGAUUUUUCUAGAUCGGUCUUUAUUAAUUUUUUUUUGUAAUUAAUUUUUGUUUAAUAAUUAAUUACUAGAUUUAUAAAUUUCUUGUGAUUCGAUCCCAGACUCAUUAGAUUAUAUUAUAACUAGACACUCUUAUACUUGGGAGUAAUUAACAAUUUUGGAUUGUACUAUAGUAUUCAGAUGGCACCAUUUGAAGUUUUGUGUGGAAGAAAAUGCAGGACUCGAAUAUGUUGUCAUGAAGGUGGGGAGAGGCAGUUGUUAGGUCUAAAAAUCAUCUAGAGUACUGAUGAGAAGAUUAAUGUCGUCAGAGAAAAGUUAAAGGCAAUAUAAGAUAGAAAGAAGAGUUAUAUAGAUAAGCAUCAGAACCACUUGAGUUUACAAUGGGUGAUAGGGAAUGACGUUCUUCGAUUUGGAAAACAUGGGAGUCGAGCCCUUAGUAUAUAGGCCUAUACGAGAUUAUAUAGUGUGUUGGUCUAGUUGCUUACCGUUUAGCUUUACCUCUAGAGUUUUUACAAAUGCAUGAUGUUUUUCAUGUUUCUAUGGUUCAGAAGUGUUUCUAUGUUUUAGAACCAAUCUAAAUGACAACAGAUUUGAUUUAUGAAGUGAAACUAGUUCAGAUACUUGAUUGGAAACAACAUGCGGUACAUAAUAAGACGAUCUCACUAGUUAAAGUGAUAUGGAAGAGUCACAUUGCAGAGGAGAGCACUUCAGAGCAUGAGGAAUAGAUUCGGUCAUAGUACCCAUAUUUAUUUCAACCAAGUAUGUAAAUUUUGAGGAAGAAAUUUUUAUAAAUAUGGAGGAAUUGUAGCACACGUGCAUGCAAUGGAUAAAGCUAAAUGUAGCUUGUUAAAUUGGAAGCAGUCAGCUGCAUACUUCACUUGCUUGCUUGAACCGGUGCUUAUAUAUAUAUUUAAAAAUUGAGAGUUGCUUGCUUAGAUUUGGUGGCUAUUCGGUGGCUAUGUAAAGUGUAAAAUAUUGACAACAACUUCAUUGUAUCAAAUUGCAACCAAAAGCAAAGUAAAGACAGAGAGGAAAUUAAAAGAAAACGAGAGAAAGAAAGAAAUGAAAAGGAAAAGAGGUAGAGAAAGAAAAAAAAAGUGAAGAGAAGAAAAAAAGAAAAAGAAGAAGAAAAGAGUAGCUGAGAAUCAACGAAAAGAAAAAAAAAUUAGAAAAUUACAAGAACUGAAAUUGAAUAAUUAGAAUUAUAUUUGUUGGACUAAUGGGUAACAAAUUUAUGAAAUUUAAGCAAUUAUGAUUUAGUUUACGUUAUACAUAUAAGUUUUUAUAUCAUUUCUAAUAAUUAACUUUUGAACCCUGAAUUUUAGGAGAAAUCCAAGAACUCAAGAACCCACGAGAGUCCUAACGAAUCUCGAAGUGAAAUAGGAUCAGCUAUUGGAUAUUAUUAUUACUAUUAUAUAUUUUGUGAAGAAUUUAUAUUUGACAGUAUGAUUUAGUACAUGUUAUGAUUAUAUAUACGACAUUAUAUGAUCAAUUGAGUCAUGAUAUGUGAUUUCCAAUCACCAUAUGUGUACCCUUCUUCAUAGGCUCUAUGCAUGCGUAUUGAAAGUUAGAUUACUCUGCCUAUGUGAUAUAAUUAAAUUCCUCCGCGUAUUGAGAAGCUUUUCCUCUACUUUGCUCACAUGAUGAUGAUCUCAACGAGUAUUAUAGUUGUUUUCUUCGAUGCUAGUUGGUGCAAGUGUCAUGUAUUUAUGUAUGAAUUUCAUAUUUUCCUACGUAUUAUAUUCAGUGUGGAGUUAUGUCAUAUGAUUAUGUAUAAACAUUAGUAUACUACUUUAUUUUUACAUAUAUAAUUAUGUCCACUCACUAAGUGGCAAUCUCACUAUUUCCCUAGUACCCUAUGUCUCCUAAGUUUCCAUAGGAUUCCAUGUAGUUAAGUUUUUAACAUGUGAGGUUAGGCUACGAGAUGCAUUGCUGCAUAACUUGCAUUAUGAGCACGUUUAUGUUUAUGUGUAUAUAUUUGAGGUGUAUAUUUGUACAACGACAUGUGACCUGUGCAAGUUUUAAAUAUAUUUUCAGAUAAGGCACAUAUGUUAUUUUAUGAUUAUGGUAGAGGCUCCAGACCAAUUUUAUAUAUUUAUGAAUAAGUUUAUGACAUUAUUUUUACAAAAAUUUAAAAUAUACUACUAAAAGGGUAGUUUUUCACUUUCCUUCCUAAUGUAGAGUAUAUUUGUAAUUUGAUGGGGAGGAUCAGUUUAUUAGUGAAAAUCUCCCCAUAGAAUUUCAAAAAAAGCAUUUUUUUUUAUGGAGAGGUUAUUUAAACCUUCUAAAUCAAUUAUUAAAUCCAUUUACUAAAUGAAUUCACUCUUGAAGUUCCAAAUUUUCUAUUAAUCAAUCUAAAUACUCAAUAAAACCUUACUAAACAAAAUUAUUAUUAAACUAGUUUUUUUUUUACUUAAGAGAUUCAUGAUUAAAAUCAUAUGCAUAUAAAACCUUUAAUCGAACAAAUAUUUCUCUCUUGUCUUAUACAAGCAAAAUUUUAACCUCUUAUUUUAUAUCAAAUUAACUCCACUUCAUUAUUUUCAAGCUCUCUUUUGUUUCCUUAUUCUUCUUUUUCCUUUUUUUUUUCCAACAUAAAUGUCAAACUUUGCCUUAAUUUUAACAAAUAUGAAACUAAAUAUGGUAAUAACAACAUACAAAAAAUUAUUAAAAGAAAAAGCAGCAACAAAUACUUCUUUUGUUUUCUAUUUUUAUAUGAAUCUUGACCAUCAAGGCAUAUGAAAAAGAGAGUUCCACUAACAGUAGAAUUCCAAGUAACAUGUGAUUAAAAUUUGAUGUGCUUAGAGGGAUUUAAUGUUGAAGAAAGUGUGCAGAGAAUAAAACUCUUAUUGUUUAAUUUCUUCUUGUAUGACAAUAAUAGUAAGUUGUGUGAUAGGUAUUUUAAUAAUAAAUAGAUUUAUCAAAAAGUGGGUUUCUUGAGUACUUUGAUAGGUUCAAAUAGUCCCUUUUUUCUGAAUUAUAAAUAUUUUCCAUGCUUGAGAUGUUGCCACUUCUUCUAUAGAAGAAACUUUGCUUAAUUAUCAUCAUGACCCGUAUUUUGAAGCAUUGAAAUCGCUUGAUCCAUCUGUUAUUAUUAAUUCAUUAUUACCAUGAUCAUUUUAUGUUGUUAGUUGACUUUUAACUCUUAAAAUUAAGGGUGAGUUUGGUAAUGCUUUAGAUUUUAAAAUAAUUAAUAUUAAUUGUGUUGUAGAAUGAUCAACUGUGAAGAGAAUCAGUUAAAUAUUUAGUAAAAUUUAUAUUUAAAAGUGCUAUGAAUUUUAAAAGUAGUCAUAUGUGUUUGGUAAAUCUUAUUGUUAAACUGUUGUACAAUAAUCGACUAUGAAGAGAAUGUUAAAUAUUUGGUAAAAUUUAUAUUUAAAAGUGAUGUAAAUUUUAAAAGUAGUCAUAUGUGUUCGGUAAAUCUUACUGUUAAAUUGUUGUAAGAAUAUAAUUGACUCAAAAUUGAACGUAAUAUUGAAUAUAAUUUAUUUAAACAUAUAUAUAAAACAUUUCUUUUAUUGUGUGCAUAUAAUAAUUAACAAUUAAAAUAAUUUUUUAUAUUAUUAAUUUUAUUUUUUAUUUAGUCAUCUCAAUAUAAUCAGUUAUAAUACUCUUUAAAAUCAAUCAUUUUAUUUUCUAAUUAAAAAGGAUAAUUUUGAAUUUUUAUAACAUAUAUGAGGAUAUUUAUGAAAUUGUAUUAAGUAUAAUAGUGAUUCCCAAAAUCAGAUUCUGAAAAGCUAAUCUUUUCCUACUUUUCAAAAAUCUGAUGUAGAAAGGAGAUGAUUUUGUUAAAAAUGAUUUCUAAAAGGAUUUACCAAAUGCCAAAUUAAAUUUUAAUUUUUCAAAAUCACUUUUAAACUUCUCAAAAGCAAAAUCCCAAACCGACCCUAUGUCAAUUAGAGUCUUUGUAUUGUACAAAUUUUUUCCUUAAAUUAUUAGCCAUUUUUUAUGCAUAAAAUUUUUUCGUUUGUAAUAUUUUAUUUAGUUUAAGUCACAAAUUGUCUCUUAAGUGUAACAUAGCUGGUGAUACAAUUAGCUAAGUUCGAGUAAUAAUAAAAGUAAUGGUUAAUGUUUACUGGUAAGAUUUCUCAUCGUCUUUAAAAGGGAAAAAAAAUUAUAAUAAAAGAUUAGAGAACAUGAUAUCAUCUCUGCUUUGACAAAAUAGUGAAGUGUAUGCCAAUGCCACAAGGAUUCAAUAAAUUAAUAAGUGGCCAGGCAUUAUCCUACUGUUUUAAGCUUUUUGUUUUUCUAAAUAGAAUGUAUCAUUGAUGAAGAAGAACAAUUGUUGUUUGUAUAAGCAUCAGUUUGCUGUCAAAUGUGAUUGAAAAUGUUGCUAAUCAUCAUUAAGAAGGCUCUCUGUGUAUAAGCACGCUUAUUUUAGUUUUUGUAACUGUAAAUGUAACAAGAAACGACUGACUUCCUUCCUUCCCCAAGUUUGUCUUAUGUUAAAAUGCAUCCGUUACUUUUCAUCUUUUUGCCUUUUUCUGCAAUUUUAUCCCUUGUAAUUAAAUUGAAACCGCAAAAUGACUUUCUUUUGUCCUUUUCAGUGGUUUCAAAAUUUGCAUACACUCAAUCUAAUGCAAACAGAAAAUAUUUACGACUCUAUGCCCUUGCAGGUCCUAGAGUUACUGUUCGUACAAGUCCUCGAUGGGCAGCCUGCGGUGCUAAUUCUGUGAGUUCAACCACCGCGCUGUUUGUUCGCCUCUGUAUUCCUGGAUGUGAACCUCAGAAUAAAGCUGCUUAUGAUAGGGGAAAGUAGUGAUUAGCUAGCACAUGGACGUUGCACGUUGCUUUCCUAAAUGCUCUAUUAAUACUCCUUACGCUUUAUUGAGCAGUGACCUUAUUACCACUAGAUGCGCAGGAGUAGGUUUGUGCAGUGCCACUUUGUCCACAAACGGAUAUUCUCUCUAAUAUAGUCAUAUAUGGCGUCCUAAAAACCAUAUAUAAAUAUCUCUCUUAUAUUAUAUAUGGUUUUUAGGACGCUAUAUAUGACUAUAUUUGAAAAAACAUUAUCCGCUCAUAUAUUAUAUAUGGGUUUUAGGUCAUGUACAAGAAUUUAUUCUCUUGGAUAUCUCUCGCUCAUAUAUUAUAUAUAUAUGGUUUUUUGGACACCUGAUAUGACUAUAUUUUAAAAAAGGGAAAUUAUCAUUACACUACUUUUAUUUUGCCUUAUGUUCAUCCAACCACUACAAAAUUUUAACAUGUAUUUUGUACCACUUUUUUUUUUUUUACAUUUUUAUCAACUAGCCACUUUUACAUUAACACUAUUAAAUAAUUUUAAUAAAAUGAUAAUUUUACCCCCAAAUAAAUUAAAAGACCAUUUUAUUUUAUAAAAACUUUAAAAAUUAAAAAAAUAUAAUGAUAAAAUAUCCCUAAAUUUAAUAAAAAUAAAUCCCAAAAUUAGAAUUUUUAUUUUUAAUAUAAAAUUAUAAUCAUAAAAAUAAUUACAAAAUUUUGGGAUUUAAUAAAAAUCCCAUAAAUUAUUAAAAUUUUAGUAUUUAUUCUUUUAAGAAAUAAAUUCAGUUAUUUUAAUUUUUUUUUACAAAAUUAUAUUUUUUUAAUAAAUAAAUUCAUUUAUUUAUAUUAAAAUUUUGUAAAAUUAUAAUUUUUUAAAAAAAUAAUUAUUAAAAUUUUGUAAAAUCUAAAUUUAGUAAAAAUCAGUUGAGCACCUCUAUUUGGGAUUUAUUUUUUAUUAAAUUUAGGGAUAUUUUUAUGAUUAUAAUUUUUAAUUUUAAAAGUUUUUAUAAGAUAAAAUAAUUUUUUAAUUUAUUUGGGGGUAAAAUUGUCAUUUUAUUAAAAUUAUUUAAUAGUGUUAAUGCAAAAGUGACUUGUUGAUACAAAUGUGAAAAAAAAAAGGUGGUGCAAAAUACAUGUUAAAAUUUUAUAGUGGUUGGAUAAACAUAAGGCUAAAUAAAAGUGGUGCAAUGAUAAUUUCCGUUUAAAAAAACAUUAUCCACUCAUAUAUUAUAUAUGGUUUUUAGGUCAUGUACGAGAAUUUAUUUCUUUGGAUAUCUAUUACUCAUAUAUGAUAUACACUUUUUAGGGCACUAGAUAUGACUACAUUAAAGAAAUAUAUAUAUGACUAUAUUGAAAAAAAAAAAAACAUUGUCCGCUCAUAUAUUAUAUGUAAUGCACCUGCACGUGACUUAAGAAGCUACCCAUGACUUAGUAGUUAAAAAGCAGUGAGCUGCUUGUUUUAUACUUUUAUUUAAGCAACACAUGCAUAAUUCAUCAUGUCACCUGCAUGCUUCAUCAAAUUCACAUGCUUGCUUCACCGAUUACACACCUGCCUGCUUCAUUCACUUGGCCACCCCCUGUUUACGUCCUCCUAGUUGCAUCAUUCUGGGUGGUACAUAAAGUCGAAAUAAAUUGGAAGCUGCUUCAUUUUUCUUAAUUUGGAGAAUCCAAAAUCGAGAGCAAACAAAAGGAAAAAGGAAGAGAAAUAGAAAAGCUAAGAAAGAAACUAAGAGAAAAAGCGAGAAGAGAAGAAAAUGGAAAGAAAAGAAAUAAAACAAAAUAAAAAUUGAAAACCGAGAGUGAGAAAGAAAUGGACAAGGAAAGCGAAAGUGGAAAAGUUAUAGGAAAUUAGAUUUAUAUCCAAUGAAUUAGUGGGUAAUAAAUUUAUGAAAUUUGAGUAAUUAUGUUACAGGUUUCAUUAUAUGCAUCAUCUAAUUGUUAAUUUUUGAAUCCAUAGGAGCCCUAAUGAAUCCCAGAGUGAAAAAAGAUCUAUGAGUGGAUACUAUUAUUACUAUUAUGUAUGUUGUAAAGCAUUUAUACUUGAUAGUAUGAUUUAGUAUUAUGUUAUGAUUAUAUGUAUGCACAUUAUAUCAUUGAUUGAGCCAUGAGAUAUGAUUGUGAGUCACCAUAUGUGUACCCUUCCCCAUAGACUCUGCGCAUGCAUAUUAAGAGUUAGAUUACUCUAUACGUAUGAUGUAGUUAAAUUUCGUUAGGUAUUGAGAGGUUUUUCCUCUGCUUUACCAGUGCGAUGAUGAUCCCAGCGAGUAUGAUAGUUAUUCCCCUAGUUACUCUUUGGUGCAGUUUGUCAAGUAUGUACAUAUGAUAUGUCAUGUUUGCUUAUGCAUUAUGUUCAAAGUGGAGGUAUGUCAUAUGAUUCUGUAUAAGCACUAAUACAUGCUUUACUUAUAUAUAUAUACAUAUAUACACUAAGACACAAGCUCACUAUUUUUCUAUUUACCCCAUUUCUCCCAAGUUUCACAGGAUUUUGUGUAGUUCAGUUUCUAAUCAUUUUGAGGUUGGGCCACGACACAUAUUGUUGCAUGACUUGCAUUUUGAGCACGUAUAUAUAUAGUGACAUAUGAAGUGUGCAAGUUCUUUUGGAUGGGCACAUAUGGUAUUAUAUGUUUAUAGUAGAGGCUCAAGGCCAGUUUUAUAUAUUCAUAAAUUAAGUUUAUGUUAUGAGUUUUAGAUGUUAGAUCACAUGAUUCGCCUCAGAUAUAACAGAUGGAUCCAGGAUGCUCAUGUCAUUAUAUAUGGUUUUUAGGUCAUUUACGAGCAUUUUUGUACUUGGAUAUCUGUCCCUCAUAUAUUAUAUAUGGUUUUUAAAACAGCAAGUAUGCCUAUAUUUGAAAAAAAAACAUUAUUCGCUCCUAUAUUAUAUAUGUAUUUUAGGUUGUGUACCAUAGUUUAUUUCCACGGAUAUCUCUCGCUCAUAUAUUAUAUACGGUUUUUAGGACACCAUAUAUGACUAUAUUUAAAAAAAAACUAUUAUCACUCAUAUUAUAUAUGUCUUUUAGGACGUGUACAAGAAUUUUUGUCCUUGGAUAGAUCUCACUUAUAUAUUAUAUAUGGUUUUUAGGACACUAGAUAUGACUAUAUUUGAAAAAUAAAAUAUUAUUCGCUCUUAUAUUAUAUAUGGAUUUUAGGUCGUAUAUGAGAAUUUUUGUCCUUAGAUAUUUCUCGCUUAUAUUUGAGAAAACAUUAUCCACCUGUAUACUAUAUAAGGAUUUUACAACAUCAGAUAUGACUAUAUUUAAAAAAAAAUAUUAUCUUUUUGUUCUUAUUAACUCACACAUAUAUUGAUGUACUUUUUUUUUUUUAAUUUAUGCACCUAAUAAAGUUUGAAUUCAAGAUCUGCGUUCUAAGAAAGCCGCUUCUUAUCUCUCAAUUUAGACUUUUUAUUAGUACUUUUUAGUAUUUUUACUAAAAAAAGUUAAUAAUUACAAUAUUACUUGAUAACAAAUCCAAUAUACUUUUUAUCAUUUAAGUAAGGUUUGAACUUCAAAUCUUUAGUGUUAUCCCAAAAAUUAACCCAAUAUGUUAAUUAGUCGUUAGUCAUUGAGCCUUUGGCUCGAUAGUAAUAAAUUUGUGCUCUCGAUUUCAAGGCACAAAUUUAAGUUCCAACGCCUGUGAGACUCAAAAUUUCCCUUCCAAUUACAUAAUUGGAUAUCUUUUCAAAAUUAGUGACUGAUAAAUAUAUUUAGACUAUGAGAUAGUAGAAUAAUAUAUCUAAGGAUAUCCCAGAUGAUUUAUGGAAAGGUUACGUGUCUCUAGAUUAUCAUUGAUUUGUAUAUUUAAAUAGUAGUAUAGUUUUGAUUGAUUUUUUUAAUCCCUCAUUUAUAAAUUGCAACCUAUAUCAAAAGCCCAUGUUUCUUCCACGUCCUUAUAACCACAGCAACCACAACAUGGAUACUAAUGGAGCUGAUACUGAAAUAUGCAAUACCCACUUGCCCGAAAAGCCUGAACUUUCACCAACUUUAAUUUCAGACACCGAACUCCUAUCUGAAUUCUCACACCAUGCCCAAAACAAAGCUAGAAUCAAUAAUGGAAGCUUCGGUUGUUGCCCCAAGAGUGUUUUGUCAGCACAGCAGAAGUGGCAACUUGAGUUCCUCAAACAACCUGAUGACUAUUACUUCAAUAGGCUGAAAGAUGGGAUUUUCAAGUCAAGACUUGCGAUCAAAGAAUUGGUCAAUGCUGACCAUAUUGAUGAAAUAUCAAUUAUUGAUAAUGCCACGACUGCUAUAGCCAUUGUGUUGCAGAGUGUUGCUUGGGAAUUUUUACAAGGGAAGUUUAACAAAGGUGAUGCUGCUGUUACGCUUCAAUAUGCUACUGGUGCUGUGAAAAAAUCUCUGGAAGCAUAUAUUAUGCGUGCAGACGGGUAUGUUAUUGAAGUUCAGUCACCAUUUCCUGUUAAUUCUGUUUAGUGAGAUUGUCAUGAAUUUCGGAAAGCUUUAAGAAAGAGGGAAAACCAAUGGUAGGAAAGUCAGAUUGGCUAUGAUUGAUCACGUGACAUCUAUUCCUAGUGUUCUGAUUCCUGUCAAAGAAUUAAUCAAGGUUUGUCGGGAAGAUGGUGUCGAUAAAGUAUUUGUUGAUGGUGCACAUGGGAUUGGGUGUGUUGAUGUUGACGUGAAAGAAAUGGGGGCUGAUUUUUAUACUAGUACUUUGAACAAGUGGUUCUUUUGCCCACCUGCGGCAGCGAUUUUGUAUUGUAGGAAAUCAAGUGAAGUUAAUGAUUUGCAUCACCCUGUGGUGUCUCAUGAGUAUGGAAAUGGGUUGCCCAUAGAGAGUGCUUGGAUUGGGACUAGGGAUUAUAGUGCCCAAUUGGUUAUUCCUCAAGCUUUGGAGUUUGUUAACAGAUUUGAAGGGGGAAUUGAAGGAAUCAAGAAGAGGAAUCACAAAGCUGUUGUUGAGAUGGGGAAAAUGUUGGCAAAAGCAUGGGGAACCCAUCUUGGGUCUCCUCCGGAGAUGUGUUCAAGCAUGAUCAUGGUUGGGUUGCCUGCUAGUUUGGGCAUUUCUAGUGAUUCUAUUGCUUUAAAGUUGAGUACCCACUUGAGGAAUAAUUUUUGUGUUGACGUACGUAUCUAUUAUAGGGAACCGGGUGAUGGGAUGGUUAACCCUGUUACAGGAUAUGCUCGAAUUUCUCAUCAUGUUUACAACAAACCAGAUGAUUACUACAAGUUCAGAGAUGCAGUUAACCAACUUGUUAAUGAUGAGUUCACUUGUGCACUUCUCUCAUAGCAAAGAGGUAUGUUUUAGAUUCAAUGAUUGUACACUGUUAGGUAUUUUAGCUUGGAUAUAUUUUUGUAUGCCUGUUGUUUCUUGGUAAUUCUUUUCUCUUGGGUACCUUCAACCAGGGGCGGAUGCAGCUUGUGACGCCCCCACUGGCCAAAAAAAAUUUAAAAAUAAAAGAAAAAAAUAUUUUAAUUUUUUAAUUAACCCCAUUAAAUUUAUUAAAAUAGUCACUAUAAAUUAUAAACCCCGUAAAAUUUAAACACUAACUUUUAAGAAUUAUAAAAAUCUAUAUCUUAAUUAAAAAUAAUGAUAGCCCACCACCCAAAAUAUUUUCUAUUAUAAAAAAUAAGAUUAAUUCUUCCAGUUUCUAUAAUAAUAGUAAAACGAAUGUUUUCAGUAAUGAAACUCAUGAUGAAUCAUCUUUGGAAUCGAAUAUGAUAAAUGAUAGUUUGGUUACUUAUAUAGGAAACAAUAAAUUUAAUAAUAUUGAUAAUGAGUCUAUUGCAUAACAUUUUAAAAAUAUGAAAAUGCAUAGAGAAUAAUUAUAAAUGUAUUAGUAAAUAUUUUAUAUAUUCAAAAUUUUAAUUUUUUAUAUUUUAUUAUUAUCUAAUUUAGCCCCCGUAAAUUAUUUUUCUAGUUCCGCCACUGCCUUCAACCAUGAGGCCGCAACCUAUGAUAAAUGUUAAAACUAUGUGGAGUCAUUAUGUUUUAGGAUAGGUUGACUGGCAACAAAAUCCCCUUCUCACCAUGUGAAAAGGGUUCAAACCUUAGAGUUCUUAUAACAACCCAAGCAAUCUUACCGAGUUUAACUAGUUGGCAUCCACACACUUUGUAGAGUACUAUUUCUACCUAAUAUAGGGAAAGGAGAGGUUUGAGUUAUAUAUGACUAUGCUACAGACCUCUUAGCAUUCACAAAGGUCAGUGAUUACGUUAAAAGAUGCUAGUGGCAAAUUUAACUCAUUUCUUCUUAGGCUUGUAUGUGGCUUGUUAUACCAGCAAUGCAAACUGAUUUAGUUCUGAUUCAGGUUGACUAUCAGAAUAUACAUCGCUAGUUUCCUGCCUAUAUAUAGAGAAUUCCCAAAAAGAUUUAUGAAAACUGCAAAACCUAUUUUGGCAAAAAUUGGCCUUUCAAAAUUUAUUUUUAAAUGCUUUUGAAAACAUACUAGUUAAAAACACUUUUAACUCUUGACUUACGCUCAAAAAUAUUGUUUCAACACAUUAACGGCUAAACGGGCCAACAUAGACCGUGUUUAAAAAAAAAACUUUUAGAAAAUUUGCAAAAACUUUUACUAGGUUCUUAUUAUUUUUGUCAAAAAACAAAAACCUUGAUUUUCAAAAACUUUUCCUCCACAUUCUUUUCUCCUGAUGAUAACAAGGACCGCCUUUUGUGAAUGUUUUAAAUAUAAUUUAUACUUUCGUUAACAAGGCUAGACUUCUUAACCCAAAAGCUAAAUAAAUAAAAACAAAAGAAAUUAAACUACUUACUUGAUAAACUUGCUAGUUGCUAUCUAAAGGAUAAGAGACUUUUAUUGAUUUUUAUUUUUUAGAGUACAAAGUACAUAUUUGACUCUACCAUUGCCCUUGUCUCACUUCGUCUCACCACACUUUCUACUUGACUUUGAGUCCUAUAUAUACAACUAAGGACUUGUGAAAAUUAUUGACAUAAUUUAUGACUCUAUGUACAAAGGCCAAAAAUUUAAAGUUACAAUUCAAAUGUUGCGAAAAGCCAAUGAUUAAUUAAAAAGGUGAAAAGUAAAAGACUGACUGGAUAUUAUUACUGUGUAGAGAUUCAAUAUCGAUAAAUAGUGGCUGGCUACUAUUUUCUAUGCUGAAUUACUAUAGAAAACAAAAGACAAAAUGAAAAAGAUGCCUCAACAGUUUUUCCCUUACUGGGUAGUUAGUAAAGGAAGGUCAUCUUUAAAAACACGUGACUCUCACUACUUUUACUUUUGACUAAUGUUAGCUGGCUAUCUCUGACUAAUUUAUUUUUGUUGGUGCCUCCCAUAUGUCCAUCAUUUUGUCAACAGCUUCGGCUAUAUCCUUAUCCAGAGAUUGAUGACUCAUAGCUUCUAAUCAAUCUCCUGAUGAUGGCAUGUCAUUGAUCUCGAUUAGCGCCUCCAAAUAUUCUUCACGUUUAUUUGGAUUAUCAAUUUUAAUUUGUAGUGAAGGAAUAAGUAAAGGAAAGUCAUAAGUGAAAACACGUGACUCUCACAACUUUUACUUUUGACUAAUGUUAGCUGGCUAUCUCUAACUAAUUUAUUUUUGUUGGUGCCUCCUAUCUGUCCAUCAUUUUGUCAACAACUUCGGCUAUAUCCUCAUCCAGAGAUUGAUGACUCAUAGCUUAUAAUUCAUCUCCUGACGAUGGCAUGUCAUUGAUUUCAAUUAGCGCCUCCAAAUAUUCUUCACGUUUCUUUGGAUGAUCAAUUUUUAUUUGUAAUGGAGGAAUAAGUAGUUCCUCAUGGACAAGAUGCUUUUGAGCAAUAAUUGUAUAAUGUUCUGCUUGGGCUAUAAUCCUCUCAUGAGUAUCCACCCAUUCACAGAAGACUGCCAUUUCAUGGGUUCUCCAGUAUAUGUCUUUUGCGGAGAAGCUAAGCUUGGCAUGAUAAAAUCUUCUUCCGAACUUCUUUGCUCCUUCACAGAUAAAAAUGACAUGAUAUGCUGGUAGUAUGACACCAAUUUUGGUUUUAUUGGUUAUUUGAUAUCUAGGUAGUAUGGAACAAAAAUUACUUGUUAAAGGUGCUAGCUUUAUAAUGGAUAAAGCUCUGUUUAGGGUUGGUGGAAAGAAUUUAGAUAUGUUUAGGCUAAAAAUAUAAAUAGUACAUAUCAUUCCAAAACUAAGGGUUUUGUACAGGAUAUCUUCAUUUUCUGAUGUUUUGGCUAAGGAAUAAUCGAAGGAAAUAGUAGGGAAAUCAUGUCUAAAUGAAGUAUUGUUUCUUAAUUCUGACCAACUAGGUCGGAAUUCAAGUAAGAAAUUUAGCUGGCUAUAGAAUAACUGAUUGGCUAAUGAAACAAAGUCUGCAUAUAGAUUUUCUAUUAUUUUUUCUUUUACAAUGUCUAUUGUAUCACUAAGGAAAGAUUAGAUUUGGUGGAUUUGGUUACUGUUUGGCUAGGGAAUGGUAAAAUAAUUUGUCUAAUGGUUGUUUCUGUGUCUGCAUUUUUUUGAGUUUUUUUGGGUUUUUUUGGUGAUCUAAUAGCAAAAUUUCUUUAGCACUCUCUAAUGCAAUUAUUUUUUGUCUACGGGACUUUUACUAUAUUGUCCAAAUGAUAUCUAGUUUCAUUAAGUUUUCUAAUAGUGUGUGUCAUAACCUCACAAUGGUUGGAAAAUUGUAUUGGUGAUAGUGAUGAUGAUGAUGAACUGUCUGCAGUAUUACUUAACUGUCUAUUUGAUGACGUUGAUACAUUGUUUAAAGGAUUAAUUAAAUGGCUAACAUGAUAUUUUAGUCAUAUUGUCUGUCUAGCAAAUUCUAUAGCUUCAUGAAUGUAUAAAAGCCUUUAUAGUAUAGAUCAGGAUAAUUGAUUAUUAAAUCAACUAUCUCUCUCCACUAACUAUAAUUGCCUACUUGUCUACCUCUAAUUAAUACGAAAAAUGCAAAGUGAUUACUGUAUGCAUGUUCAUUAUUCUUUUUAAAAUAAAGCAUGAGUGCAUUGGCUACUUUUAAUUUAUCUUGUGGGUUAUUUCAACACCACAAAUUGUCUAAAAAUGUCUAAAUUUCUAAUUGGACCAAUCUUAGCACCUAGAAAGGGAGACAUUAAAGAUAUUUUAGGACCUAAUAUAAUAUUAAAAAGCAAUGGACUUAGUAAGAAAUAGUAGAAUAGAUGUAAAUAUGGCAGAGAGACUUAGAAGAUCACUAUUAUUUUCUAGUAAACAUAAAGAAAUCGUAGAAAGAACUGAAAAGAUAAUAGAUGAACAUGAUCCAAAUAAGUUAUUAGAAAGAGGUUUUAAACAUAUUAGAAAGAAAGAUUAAAUAAUGAAGGUUUAAUGUCAAAAUUAAUAAUAGUUUAUAUAUUUACACAGAUGAGACUAAAUUAUCAGUAAUAAAUAGAAGGGAAGAGCUAACUUUAAUCAGUCUAGUAGGCAGAGACUAUCUUAGAAAACAAAAUUACACAAACAUACACGUGGGAAUAAUAAUAAUAGGAAUUCUUAGUCAGGCUAGAGAAGGAGUAGACACUACAACUCAUUUAUAUCUAUAUGAUAGUAGGUUUUAUGACCAUGAAUAAGCUCAAAUAGCAAGUGCUGACCUAGACUUAAAAAUAAAGUAAUAGUAGUAAGAUGAUACCCAAUAUAGACAUAGAUAUUAAUGAAUUCUGUAAACAUAUUAAAUUAAGUGUACAAGCUAAAGGUUAUAAAAUGAAUGCAGAAUAUAAAAAUCUUAGGAUUAAAUCAUUUUUCUAGGAAAAUUGUAUAACAAAUAUCAUAAAAUAUUUAGAUUUGAUAGUAAAAAUAUAGUAUAUUGUUUUAAAAGCCAAUAUGUAGAAAUAAUAGUACCUAAGAAAUUAAGUAGUAGUGAAGUAAUCUCUCUGUAACUUGAUUUUGUCUAUUUAUGUAUGUAUAACUGGUUUCUACUUCUCUCUGUAACUUGAUUUUUUCUAUUUAUGUAUGUAUAACUAGUUUCUAGUAUUUCUAACAUAAAUAGAGAAAAUCAAGUUACAGAGAGAAGUAGAAACCAGUUAUACAUACAUAAAUACACAAAAUCAAGUUACGGAGAGAUUACUUCACUACUACUUAAUUUCUUAGGUACUAUUAUUUCUACAUAUUGGCUUUUAAAACAAUCUACUAUAUUUUUACUUUUACAUCUAAAUAUUUUAUGAUAUUUGUUAUAUAAUUUCCUAGAAAAAUGAUUUAAUCCUAAGAUUUUUUAUUUUCUACAUUUAUUUUAUAACCUUUAGCUUGUACACUUUAUUUAAUAUGUUUACAGAAUUCAUUAAUGUCUAUGUCUAUAUUGGGUAUCAUCUUACUACUACUACUUCAUUUUUAAGUCUAGGUCAGUUCUUGCUAUUUGAGCUUGUUCAUGGUCAUAGAACCUACUAUCAUAUAGAUAUAAAUGAGUUGUAGUGUCUACUCCUUCUCCAGCCUGACCAAGAAUUGCUAUUAUUAUUAUUCCCACAUGUAUGUCUGAGUAAUUUUGUUUUCUAAGAUAGUCUCUGUCUACUGGACUGAUUAAAGUUAGCUCUUCCUUUCUAUUUAUUACUGCUAAUUUAGUCUCAUAUGUGUAAAUAUAUAAACUAUUAUUAAUUUUGACAUUAAACCUUCAUUAUAUAAUCUUUCUUUCUAAUAUGUUCAAAACCUCUUUCUAAUAACUUAUUUGGAUCAUGUUCAUCUAUUAUAUCUUCAGUUCUUUCUACAAUUUCUUUACGUUUACUAGAAAAUGAUAGUGAUCUUUUAAGUCUCUCUGCCAUAUUUACAUCUAUUAUACUAUUUCUUACUAAGUCGAUUACUUUUUAAGAUUACAUUAGGUCCUAAAAUAUCUUUAAUGUCCCAUUUCUAGGUGCUAAGAUUGGUCCAAUUAGAAAUUUAGACCCUUUUAGACAAUUUGUGGUGUUGAAAUAACCCACAAGAUAAAUUAAAAGUAGCCAAUGCACUCAUGCAUCAUUUUAGACAAAAUAAUGAAGAUGUAGACAAUAAUCACUUUGCAUUUUUCGUAUUAGUUAGAGGUAGAUAACGAGACAUUUAUAGUUAAUGGAGAGGGGUAGUUGAUUUAAUAAUCAAUUAUCCUGAUUUAUACUAUAAAAGCUUUUAUACAUUUCAUGAAACUAUAGAAUUUGCUAGACAGACAAUAUGACCAAAUUAUUAUAUUAGCCAUUUAAUUAAUCCUUUAAACAGUGCAUCAACGUCAUCUAAUAGACAAAUAAAUAAUAUUUUAAAUUUGAUCAGCAUCAUCAAUACAAUUUUACAACCAUUGUGAGGUCAUGACACGCACAGUUAGAAAGUUUAAUGAAACUAUAUAUCAUUUAGACAAUAUGGUAGAAGUAUGUAAACAAAAAAUAAUUGCAUUAGAAAGUGCUAAAGCAAUUCUACUAUUAGAUCACCAAAAAAACCCAAAAAACUCAAAAAAUCCAAUUACAGAAACAACCAUUAGACAAAUUAUUUUACCAUACCCUAGCCAGACAGUUAACCAAAAUCCACCAAAUCUCAUCUUUUCUUGGUGAUACAAUAGACAUUUGUAAAAGAAAAAAAAAGAAAAUCUAUAUGCAGACUUUGUUUCAUUAGCCAAGCAGUUAUUCUAUAGCCAACUUAAUUUCUUACUUGAAUUCAGACCUAGUUGGUCAAGAAACAUUACUUCACUUAGACAUGAUUUCCCUACUAUUUCCUUUGGUUAUUCCUUAGCCAAAACAUCAAACAGCGAAGAUAUCUUGUAUAAAGCCCUUUGUUUUGGAAUGAUACGUACUAUUUAUAUUUGUAGCCUAGAUAUAUCUAAAUUCUUUCCACCAACCCUAAACAAAGCUUUAUCCAUUAUAAAGCCAACACCUUUAAUAAUUAAUUUUUGCUUCAUACCACCUAGACCUCAAAUAACCAAUAAAACCAAAAUUGGUGUCAUAUUACCACCAUAUCAUGUUAUUUUUAUCUGCGAAAGAGCAAAAAACUUAGAAGAAGACUUUAUCAUGACAAGCCUAGAUUCUCCGCAAAAGACAUAUAUCGAAGAACCCAUGAAAUGACAUCCUUAUAUAUAUAUAUGGGUCGAUACUCGUGACAAGAUUAUAGCCCAAGCAAAACAUUAUACAAUUAUAGCUCAAAAGCAUCUUGUCCGCGAGGAACUACUUAUUCCUUCACUACAAAUAAAAAUUGAUAAUCCAAAGAAACGUGAAGAAUAUUUGGAGACGCUAAUUGAGAUCAAUGACAUGCCAUCAUCAAAAGAUGGAUUAGAAGCUAUGGGUUAUCAAUCUCUGGAUGAGGAUAUAGCCAAAGUUGUUGACAAAAUGAUGGACAGAUAGAAGGCACCGACAAAAAUAAAUUAGUCAGAAAUAGCCAGCUAACAUUAGUCAAAAUUAAAAGUAGUGAGAGUCUCGUGUUUUUACAAAUGACCUUCCUUUACUAACUAUCCGAUAAGGGAAAAACGGUGGAGGCAUCUUUUUCUUUUUGACUUUUGUUAUCGAUUGUAAUUCAGUAUAGAAAAUAAUAGCCAACCACUAUUUAUCUAUAGUGAAUCUCUACAAAGUAAUAAUAGUCAGUCAGUCUUUUACUUUUCACAUUUUUAAUUAAUCAUUGACUUUUCGCCACAUUUGAAUUGUAACUUUAAAUUUUUGUCCUUUGUAAAUAGAGUCAUAAAUUAUGUCAAUAAUUGUCACAAGUCCUUAGUUGUAUAUAUAGGACUCAAAGUCAAGUAGAAAGUGUGGUGAGAUGAAUUGAGACAAGGGCAAUGGUAGAGUCAAAUACUUUGUACUCUCAAAAAUAAAUAAACAAUAAAAGUCUCUUAUCCUUUAGAUAGCAACUAGCAAGUUUAUCAAGUAAGUAGUUUAAUUUCUUUCGUUUUUAUUUAUUUAGCUUGUGGGUUAAGAAGUCUAGUCUUGUUAACGAAAGUAUAAAUUAUAUGUAAAAUAUUCAAAAAAGGCGGUCCUUCUUAUCAUCAGGAGAAAAGAAUUUGGAGGAAAAGUUUUUGAAAAUCAAGUUUUUUUUUUUUACAAAAAUAAUAAGAACUUAGUAAAAGUUUCUAUUGAUUUUCUGAAAGCUUCUUUUUAAACAAGAUCUUUGUUGGCUCGUUUAGCCGAUAAUGUGUUGAGAAGACGUUUUUGGGCGUGAGUCAAGAGUUAAAAAUGUUUUUAACCAACAUGUUUUCAGAAGCAGUUAAAUAUAAACUUUGAAAGGCCAGCUUUUGUCAAAACAGCUUCCGUAGUUUUCAUAAAACUUUUUGUAAUUCUCUGUGUAUAGGCGGGAAACCAGUAAUGUAUAUUUUGAUGGUCAACCCGAAUGAGGACUAGAUUUGCACUGUUGGUAUAACAAGCCACAUAUAAGUCUUCCCCUAGUCAGAACCUAGUUGCGUUUGCGCUUUCCUCUUCUUUCGUAUCAGAGAAUACGAACCUAGUAUAUUCCCGAAUGCAGCCUAUAGUUGUAGGUUAUCUUUGGAAGUGUUUGCAAGUUCAUUGUGCUUCCUCAUUCUUUGCUAGUUCUAUGCUGUAAUUCAAUGAUUUAUAUUCUUCCCUCUAGGGUUGGCAAAGAAGCCCGGACCUGUCCAGGCCAACAGGCUUGAGGUCCGGCUCGCAUCAUAAAAUAAUGGAUCUGGGCCCAAAAAUUUAAAGCCCACUCUGAGUGGGCCUGGUUAAAGACUUUGGAAAAAAGCUCGGGCUUUAAUUUAUAAAUUAAAAAAAUUAAAGUAAAUUAAAAAUCUUUUUUAAUUGAAAGAGUUAAAUCCCUUGUUCCAUUCCAGAUUAACAUGCUUUUUAAUAAAACAUGAGUCUUGAGCUUCUACGUAAAUUAAAAUGCAUAAACAUAAUUUAUAUCUAAAAUAUAAAUAAUUUUAAUUUACAAUAAUAAAUAAGAAGAAGAAGAGAAAAGGGAAUAAAGAAAAAGAAAUGCAAAUAUUUGCUUAGAGGUGAUCGGCCUAGGCCCAUUGAAGGGAGCAAUUAAUUUUUUUUUGUUUAAUAAUAAUAAUCAUCUGAAUUUAAUUUAAGUGUUUUUUUUAACUUAUAGCUAAAUUAAAUAUUUAUUUAACAAAAUUAUUGAAGGCCCAUACUCGCCCCAAGCUCAAACUCGCUCAAGUUGGAUGAAUUUUCCCAGGGCCUAGAUCUAAUAUAAAUUAUAUGGGCUUAGGCCUGGGCUCAGAAAGCCUAGCCCAAGCCCGCAAAUUACCAACCCUGCUUCCCUCAAAUUUAUUGUCGAUACUGCUUGUGCAUUCUGUUAGUCACAUUUAACUGCGGAAAGUGAAGCACUUGUCAUAAAACCUGCACAAGUUGACACAUAUAGUGGUAUCUUUUCAUUUACUGAUCAGAUUUACUCACGGUCAAUCCCUAAGACCUGCCGUGCAAAGAUCAGGCCAUCAGAGAUUUUAUGAGCAAUUAGCAAUAUUAUUGCUUUCAUUGAUUUGGAACCAAUAACGAGGGUAAAUUAUUAUUUCAGAUGUGAGCACUCUAUGUCAGUAAGAUUUUAUUGGCAAAAUUGUGAGCACUUUCUAUCAUUCAGAGUUCCAGGUCUAUCGUCAAACAAUUUUUAGCAAAUUUCUUAGAGAUUCCUUCAAUAAAGAAGAUAAUGAUUCUGUGAUCCAACCUUUUGCAGUACUCGUGAAUCUAUUUUAUCAUAAGUUGUUUCUCACCUAUAUACUGAUCUGCUUCCCUGUACUUGAACUGCAGGUAUUAGCAAUCUUCCACGUUAGUACGAAUAAGGGCAAUUUGUCUAUCCCUGGAAGGAAUAAGUGGCCUCCUUUGACAUGGUUUCGGUACCACGAGCACCCUAAAUAAGUAGAGAAACAAACUCCAGAAUGCGUAUAAAUGUAUGCAUAUAUAGUACUAUAAUGUAUUGUAUCAGGGAAAUAAGAAGAGCAGAAAGAGUUUUCUUUUGCUUGUUUGUUGUGGCUCCAUGAGAGCUAUUCCUGUACAUGUACAAAUCUCCAUUUUCAGGGCCAAAAAAGGGGAUAAUGUCGCAGAGCUAAGCAAGUGAUUAUUAUUAAUAAAAGAACUCUAUGCAUGUAACUCUUGGGAUUAAGAUUCUCCCUAAUCUUAGCUUAUUUAAUCUUUUUUUAAUAAUUUGAUUUUGAUCCCAGUGUAAAUUUCAUUUACGUGCGGUCAAGAUUUAUUAAUUUAUUUUUUAAUAAAUCCUUUUGAAAAAAGUUCUUGAUACAUUUUUAUUUUUAGCUCAUAUGUUCUUUAACCAACGCUAAACAUGAAGCAUGUUUUCUCUAAAUUUAGUCAAUACAGGCAUGAAAUAACUUUGCUUAUUAUCCAUUACAGAAUUAGUUUGAGCGCUUAAUUUUAUCAAUUGAAUCUCAUAAUACUCGUUCAUAUUAAGUUAGAUUGAUAAUAGUAAUUUUCAAAAAACUUUAUUAUAAAUAGUAAAAUUUUAUCAUAUUUUUAUAUUUUUUUCUUUUAACAUGAAGAGUGGGCAAUGUUUAAAUUUAUUUUUUAGUCCAUUGCUUCCUAAAACUCAAACUUAAAUGCCUAGUUAAAUAAAACUGUUUGAAGAAACAGAAAUAGCAUGUAAGAUCUUAAAACAAAGAAAUUCAAGUCAAAUCCUACAUAAGUGCUUUUAGAGUUUGGACUCACUUGUACAAUGUGAUAAUGAUAUGGUCCAUUUUGUUAGCUUGAAGAUGAUGAAACCAAAUUGAGGUUGGUGAAAGUUGCGUGAAAAUCACCUUCAUCAAUAGGUAACAACUAAAGAAGGAAACUAGUUCGAUGUAUAAAAGAAAAUUAUGGGUAACAAUUAGGGAUGACCACUCAAUUUUAUUGUUACCUAGAAAUUGAAGAAUGAUGGACGAUAGCAAUAAAAACGACAAUUCAGGAUUUAGUGACUCUAUCGAAUUAAUUUAUUUUUCAUGUAGGUAUUUUAUCAUUAUGUAAAAUAGGCUAGUCUUGCGUGACACAAAUCCAGCAUGGCUGACAUAACAUGAGAGUUUAAAUGAAUGUAUUCCAAUCUCACAUUUUAAGUUUAUGUGCGAUUUUUUUGGUAUUGUUGUUGGAGAGAUGUAGCCUAAAAGAACUACAGGCGCGAAAGAUUGACCAACGGUUGAAGCCCAACAAGACAUGAAUAUUAAUAGUCAAUGUAAAAGGAACUAAUUAGCACAAGAAAAUGUACAUUUAAUAAAAAUAAAAAUUUUUAUUUUAUCACUUAUAAUGUUGAUUAAUGUGCUCAUAACCCUUAUAUUAUCUUAUUGUUUUUCUAAUGUAAUUUUAUGUUAAAUUAUAUUCUAUUACGUAAAUUUUCAUCUUAAUUAUUAUAUUUUUUUUGUUAGCUAUUUCUUAAAUCAAUCAGAGCUUACUGAAUAAUUGGGCACAAUAUUAAUUGCUAAUUUGGACAAGCACAUGGGUAGUCAAACUACCAACAGGAAUUUAAAAAAAAACAAAGAAGAAAAGGACAAUAACUUUUCAAAUCAUUCACGUGAAGAGGACUUUUUGCCCUAAAUUUUGUUGGCUACUUGGCUUAGGAAUUAUAAAGAGGGCAAGGUUGCAUUAUUUUAGAAAGAAGCCGAAAAGUGCCUUGGAUUGUUAUAUAUAAAAAAAGGAAGGUGGGGGCAGCAAUUUGGCUAUAUAACUAUGAGAAGUUGAAGCAUCUGGGGUGUGCCAAAGGCUGCGUGCAGAAGAGGAGGUGAGAAACGAAAGGUUUGAUCUCCAAAUUUCCUCUCCUUUCUUUUUUAUUUAAUUUUCUUGUAACUUGUUUCAGAACUUUAAAUUUAAUUCAUAAAUAAAUCUAGUUCAAAUAAAUAUAAUUUUAUGUUCAUCUUAGCUAUUUUAAUUUUUAAUUAUGUGUAAUUCAAUUUUAACAAUUAUUUUGAUUUUAAUUAUGUUUAAUUAAAUAAUAAUAGUUAAGAUAAAGUGAAACUCUUAGUAGAAAAACAUGAUUUAAUCAAACUCCACUUUUAAUUAUAUAAAUUAAAUUAGUUUCUAUUUAAUUUUAUCCAUAUUUUAUAUUUUGAAAUCUUGAUGUAUUGUAGAUAAACAAGGGAGUUUGGCACAAUAAUUUUUCAUUAUCUUAAUAUAAGGUAUAGUAAAAUAAUAUUUUGAAUUAUUGUAGACAAAUUGAAUUUUGACACAUUAAGUACUUAAUCCAUAAUAAAAUUAAUAGGAAAAUAAUGAUAAUUUCUACAGUUAAUCUUUUGGGCAAUAAACAAAAUAAAAAGAAAAGAAUUUACUAAAUUACAAUUAUUACUAAGAGUGGAUCCAUAACUCAACUAAUUUAUUUCCAUAAUUUCAUUUAAAUUAAAUAGCGUGUAUUUAAAUUAUAUGUUUUUUGGUUCCUAGAUAAAUUAAAGGAAAUUAACAAAAUAAACAUUUUCUCUUUGAGUCGACCUUAAACUCACCGAUUUAUAUUAUAACAUGACAUUUUUACACUUGAAAGUUACAAAUCACUUUUGAGUCGUGUCAUCAAACUUUUAAUCAAGCCUAACACAGAAAUCGAUCAUCCGAGAUAUUCAAAACGAUUCAUCUGUCGCAAUUUAUCCAUGCAACUUCAAUUCCUCUAUUGUUCAGAGAAAGAACAGUUGAAAAUAACUAACUAAUUAAUUAAUGCAGUAAGUCUCUUAAUUAAAAUAUUGGACAUUGGCACAUUGCUCCGCUGAUGUUUAAACUUUCCUCCCCUUUUAACACACUAUUGAAGAUAACUAACUUAACAUAAAUAAAAGAAAUCACUAUUUGAUUAUUUUUUACUUGUAAAAAAAUAUUUAUGAUUAUGUACAAAAAUUCAAUAUUUACAUCAUGUUAGCACCUUUUUCAUUAUGAUAUAAUUAAGGUGUGUAGCUUGUUUAGCACACUUUUUUUCAUGGGUUCAAGAAUAGUCUCUACCUAUUUUUCUUUUCGGGUUAUUUUUACAUACCUUCCCUGAGGUUUCACGUAAUAACAGUUUAAUAGAAAGUAUGAUAGUAUUAUUACAUCCCUCCCCUACUGUUAGUAUUUCUGUCAGUAUAGUAUCAGUAUAUAAGGCUAAAAUUGUAAAAGCGCAUUUAACAUUUAAAAAACUUAAAAAGUUAGUUGUAGUGGCAUUGGUAAGUGCGAAACACCUACUACAUCACCCCAUUGCCCAAAAGAAAAAUCUCUUCACAAAAGUGUAAAUCUUAUGCAAAAUGAUUUACACUCAAGCAACAUUCACCCCUCAGCAGCUUAAGUGUGAAAACAAGCAAGUAUUAUUGAGUUUGAAGAUCUUGAUCAUCACUAUUUUGAACUUACCCACGAAGAAGACAAGCUUCGAUGCUGAUAGAAGACUACUGACGAGCGAGUACAGACGGUGACGUGGUUCUGCGAUUGGUAUUGGAGCCAAGAAGAGGUUAGCCUUUGUUAAACACUAUUGCAUGUAAAUUAUAGCUUAGAUUUUCUUCGUUUUAGAUAUAUAAAGUGGAAAAAUUGGUGCUGCCGUGUUGUGGAUGUUUGUUGUAAAGGAUUAUGGGUUUUGAUAUAUGUUGAAUUAGCAAAAAAAUCAUGUUGUUUUGGUUAUUAUCCUGCGAUAUAUCAACUAUAUAGAAACUGUACAGAGCUUAACAAAUCAUAUACUUCAGCUUAAAUGUGCAGCGUUUAUGUAAUUGGAAAUGGAAAAAAUGGGUAUGUUUUGUUUGUUUGAAGUCAGAGGCUUUGUUAUUGUGAAAUGGCUUGUUUUUUUCCGUUACUUGGCUAGUGAAAAUGAUAAUGGAAUUUUCAGUCUGUACAAUGGUUGUUUGUACCUCUCAGCCUUGAAGGGGUAUUUUUGUCAUUUAGUUGGCUCAUAAACGGUCAACUAACAGAAAUACUAACAGCCGGGGAGGGAUGUAAUAAUACCAUCAUACUUUCUAUUAAAUUGUUAUUACGUGAAACUUCAGGGGAGGUAUGUAAAAAUAACCCAUUUCUUUCCUAUUGAUUGUGGCAGUAUAGAAGAAAGAGACAGCAUAAAGUACAAAAAUAAUAAUAAAUAAAUAAAAGAUUACAACUACCGACAUGUCUCGCUAGCCCAGUUGCGCAUUCAUGUCUUGCUAGCCCGUCAAUUUGGCCACUCUAUUUUAUUAACUUUUUGAUUAAGUGUUUGGUAACUAAGAAAAUACAGGAAACAAAAAGAAAAUCAAGAAUCCAUAUUAAGAAAAUGAAGAAUAUGAUGGUCCUUAGUUCAGCUAUAUUUUGCCAAAAAAAUCAUAUUCUUUCUGAUAUAGUUGAUCAAUCCCUUCCCUUCCGAUAAAAUUGAAGAUGCAUCCUUGUAUGCAUCCAUUUUGAGAUGAUAUUUUUGUGUUCGUUUUAUUAUAUUUUUAUUUUUCUAAGAUAAAGGAUGAACAAAGUUUAAAUUUAUUUUUUAUCCGUUACCUCUUUAAAAUUCAAACUCAAUUGGCCAAUCAAAUAAAACUUUUUGAAUAAAUAGAAAUAGCACAUAAGAUCUUAGAAUAAAAAAAUUUAAGUCAAAUCUUGAUGUAGGAAGCAUAUAGGAUAGAAUAAAUUAGAAAUUAUAUAUUUUGAGUCAAUUUAGCACUUAGCAUUUUACUAAGAUUUAUCUUAUUUUAUUAAGUUUAUUUAAGUCGUAUUUUUAAUUCUAUUUUAAUUAGGAUUUUAAAUUAUUUUUCUUAUUUGACAAGGAUUAUGAUUAAAUUAAUUACUAGUAUAUAUACGGUUAUUAUUCAUAGUUUGUUAGACCACCUUUAAACUUUUUAUUAAUAAUAUUUUAGAUUAUUCUCUUUGAGUUUAUCUUUGUCGUUAAUUCGAUGUUUAUCUUUGAAAAUUAUUCUUUCUUGAGUUUCAAGAACAUAUGCUGAACAACAUCUAGUAUAAAAUUAUUCUUUCUUGAGUUUCAAAAAUAUAUGCUAAAACAACAUCUAGUAUUGCUUCUGCACUACAUCAAGUGGAAUCAAAGCCUUUCUCUAUGCCAAGCAGAGCUUUCCUGACCACCAACCACCCUCCAUACACAAAUCCUUCCUCUAUCAUCUAUUAAUUCUAUCAAUUUAAAAAAAGAAAAGAAAUCAACCUGAAGCCACCAUCACAGCCGAUGUACACAGUCGUGCCUCACCUUUUUUCCAUUGAUUUUCAAUUCGAUCUUCUCUACCAUCUGAACACCCACAAGACACCGACUAUAUCCCAACCAUCAAGUUCUCUGAUCCACCACCGUAGCCACUGAAACACAUCAAAACAGCCACAAACUGCCGCACAAAUUACCACUCAGUUUGCUUCAACCACCACCACCACCACCAAUCUGAUCACUGUUAUCAGACAUUUCUUUCUAUACCAUCAUCUCCAUCAUCCAGUUCACCGUUCAUUAGAAACGAAGCCAUUACUCCCACCGCCAUUUCAAUCUAAUUUUCUGGUCAAACCAUCAAGACCCAAGUCAAACCACCACCAACACCACAUUCACCGACAUCAACUCUACCAGAUCUGCCCAUCCUUGUUCAAUUUUUCGAUCACCGUCGUCGGCAACCCAUCUUUUGCUUAUUUACAGUUUUGACACAAUACUUUAUUUUAAUUACAUUAUUGGCCUUUAAUUUUUCUGUUCUUACAAAAAACCAAAAAAAGAGAAAAUUAAAAAAAAAAGUGGUAUUAUGAGAUAUAGAGAAGAUGAUGGUGAGCUUUUCUAUUACGAUGAAUUUAUUGAUCUUAAGAAUAUUUUUGAUUGGAUCUUCAACAUUGAAGAUAUUUCAGAGGAUAAACAUGUUAAGUAUGUGUCCUCUAAAUUAAUGGGAUAGACAUCACAAUGGUGGACAAACUUACAAGCAACGUGAAUUCGAAUGGAAGAGACAAGAUUCGAACUUGUAUAACAUGAAAAAGAACAUAAAAACUUAUUUUAUUCUUUUUGAAUAUUUUCAGACUAUCUGAUGUAAAUUUGAUAAGUGUCGAUAGGGAAUGAAAUCUAUCCAAGCCUAUCCUUCUCAAUUGCAAGGUUACUAUUGUCGUGUAAAUUUUUAUGAAGACAAUGUCCUGUUAAUUUUAAGAUUUGCAGGAGGAUUAUGUGAUGAGAUCAAAGAACGAAUUCCUUUGCAGUCUGUGAUUGAUCGUGACUUUUGGGAUGUCGUCAAAAUCACUUUACAAGUUGAAAUGAAAAUCCAAAGAGAAAGUAGUUAAGCAAUGAAGAAGUUAAGUCAAUCACACUCAUCACAUCAAUCUAAGAUCCCUAGUCCUAUCACAAGUCAACAACCUAAUAUCACAAGCCAAAAGCCUAUAGUGGAAGACUUCUAGAUAAAAGAAGUUUAUGCUUCUUCACUUUGUUGAAGAUUUGCCUAAUCUUGCAGAAGAAAAUGUACAAUUUAUUAUUGAUUUGAAGUUUUAAUAUAUGAAGUUGUGUGAGAAUGUGGAUGAUGUUUCCUUGGAAGACAAGACUAGUGUUGAAGAUGAUGGGAUUAUUAAUCUACCUGAGAUUUUUAAAGAAGAAGUACGACCUCCUCUUGAUUUGAGUAUUGAGCUAAUAGUAUGAUCGGAGUUAUGAAGCAAAAUAAAGUUGAAGAAGUUGAAAUGAUUAAUAUGGUUUUACCUAUUCAUAUUGAAGACAAGAAAGUUGUGCUUGCAGAAAAUUUGAUCGAAAACGUGAAAUUUGUUGGAGAGCACACUGAGUGAUUCUUUCUUGGAAGUCUUUAUUGCCUCGAAGAAUGUAAAUAGGAAAUUAAUGAAGUACGGAUUCUUUUCAAAGUUUCAAGAAAAAUUGAUGUGAAAUACUAUGAGUUUGAGCUUCAAGAUGUGUUGUGAAAAUUUUAAUAUACUCGCAAGCGCACGAAUCUAGAGUUAGAAUAGUGGUAAUGAGGUCGAUCCCACAUGGAUUGUUAUAAAUUGAAAAGUCUAAUUUAAAUCUAAAAUUAAUAUUAAUUCUAACCUAGUUGAGCAAAUUGAGUAUUAAGAGAAAUUAAACUAAUCAAACUAAGAAAAUAAUUAAAGCAAAGGAGAAUUCAAUAAGACAAAAAUUACCAAGGUUUCAGAAUCCACCACUAUUCAACUAAUAAUUAUCUAAUUAUUAAUUAAUCCUCAAUUUUAGUGUGACAACUCGAAAUCAAUUUAUGUCAUCUCAUAAAUAUCACAAUUAAGCCCAAAUAAAAUUAAUCUUGUGUAGGUUCGUUUUCUACUUAAUAGUAUGACAUCUAAGCAUCCCAUGUAAAUAUAUUGAAUAACAAAGAGUCAAAGUUUUUCUAAGUACUCUGUGUAAACAAUUUAAUGAAAGACACGAAAUCAAAGAUGAUCAUGUAUAAAUUUUAUAGACUCAAGCAUAGAUUUAAUCGAAUAUUAAUCCUAACAAACAAUAAUGCAUGACAAAAUUGAUGAAAAUUUUUUAAUAGCAUCCAACUAAUCAUGUGAAAUAAAAACCAUAAUCAUCAAAGAAAAUAUAUAGGAAAUUAAUUAAAUAAAAAGAUAAUUAUUUUAUUGAAUAGGGUUUCAUCCUUAACCUCAGUAAAAGAAAAUUAGCUAGACGUACUUGAAUUGUGAGCAACAAAAUAAACAAAACCAGCCAUGGAAAUUAAAUUGCUACUGCCGUUGCUUUAUUCUUCUCUCCCAGCCUUGCGUCUUCUCCUCUUGUGGCUGCCUCAUUCAAAAGCCAAAACUCUCUUUUUAUAAUGCUUAGCCAUUGAAUCCUCUUUGAAUACUAAUUAAAAUCCUUUUCCAAUUAUAAAAUAAAUCUUCCAAAUUAACGCCACCAUAAGCCAUUACUUUCCACUUUUGAAAGCCAAGUGCGGGUCCCUUUAAAUUGCUUUCCACAUAUUGCAAUGCCAUGCACGUGCAACUCAAUUGGAGAAUUGAAAUUAUAAAAUCUUAACUCUAUCACGGCUUCGAUUGAUACUCCCCGAAAUUGUUAUUCUUUUAACAUUUUUUAUUCCUAAUCUCCAAUUUAUUCCCUAAUCAAUAAAACAAUUCAAUUAAUUAAAAAUAACAAAUAAAAUUAACUAGCAAAUAUGUAAUAAAGGGUAAAAUAUGUAUAUAAAUUAUGCUCAUCAAGAUGCAUUGCUACACUACUUUAAGUUUUCAACAAAACUCAAAGAUGAGUUAUUUUCAAAGAGGAGACUGAUGUAGGAAGCAUAUAGGGUAGAAUAAAUUAGGAAUUCUAAAUUUUGAGUCAAUUUAGUAUUUAACAUUUUAUUAGGAUUUAUCUUAGUUUAUUAAGCUUAUUUAAGUCGUAUUUGUAAUUAGAAUUUUAGAUUAUUUCUCUCAGUUGACAAGGAUUAUGAUUAACUUAGCCACUAGUAUAUAUAAUAUUAUUCAUAGUUUGUUAGAACACUUUUAAACUUUUUAUCAAUAAUAUUUUAGAUUAUUCAUUUUGUGUUUAUUUUUGUUGUUAAUUGGACUUUUCUCUCUUUGAAAAUUAUUGUUUCUUGAGUUUCAAGAAUGUACGCUAGAAUGACAUUUAGUAUUGUUUCUGCACUACAUCAAAUCCUACAUAAGUGCUUUUAGAGUUUAAAUUCAACUGUAAAAUGUUAUAAUGAUAUGGUCCCUUUUGUUAGCUUGAAGAUAAUGAAACCAAAUUGAGGUUGGUGAAAGUUGUGUGAAAAUCAUCUUUAUCAAUAGGUGACAACUAAGGAAGAAAACUAGUUUGAUGUACAAAAGAAAAUUAUAGGUGACAAUUAGUGAUGGACACUCAAUUAAAUUUUUAGCUAGAAAUUGAAGAAUGAUGGAUGAUACUAAUAAAUUGACAAUUCGGGAUUUAGUGACUCAAUCGAAUUAAUCCAUUUUUCAAUAUAGGUAUUUUGUCAUUACGAACUACAUAUCUAAAUUAAGCCAAUUCGGCAUAAAAAAUUUGGCUGUUGACGUGACAGAAGAGUUUAAAUGGAUAUAUUCCAACCUCACAUUUUAAGUUUAUGUGCGAUUUGUAUGGUAUUGUUAUUGGAGAGCUACCAAAAAAUUACCAAAGCAGUCAAAGAUAAACCAAUGGCAAAAGCCAGCAAGACACGAAUAAAUACUAAUGGGUCAAUGUUGUGAAGGGCCUAGGCCAAAAAUUAAGCCCAACACACCCGUCAAUCAUUGGAUGACAAUGGGGUAGGGUGGGGGUGGGGAGACCUACCCCAUUCCCCAUCCCAUUAAAAAUUUUGCCUCCAUUUCCCCACCUCAUUCCCCAAUAAAUUUAGUAGGGUGGGGAUGGGGAAUUCCCGCGUGGGGAAUGAUUUCCCCAUCCUCACUCCAUUUCCCAUUUAUUUAUUUUAUAAUAGAUAAAGAUAAAUGAUUUCAAUAAAUUAAAAAUUAAAGACUUAAAUAAAAUCAUUACCACAUUAUAAAAUAUUUAAAUUAUUUAGAAAAUCUCCCAAUAUUUGAAACAAUAUCUUGAAAUGAUAUCAAAAAUGAAAAAUAUUUGAAGAGAAUAGUAUCUUAAGAAAGAAAAGAAAACAUAAUAAUAUUUUAGGGUUUAAUAAAAAUUAUAUUAUAGAGUUUUGUUUUAGUUAUAACCCGUUUAUAUCAAGUAAAAAUAAAAAGAAACUUUAUUAACUAACAUUAUAAUUGAUAAAACAAAAAUUAGAAAAAUAUUUAUAUAUAAUGGGGAUUGGGGUGGGAGUGGGAUGUGGAGUACAAAACCAAACCCGACUCCGUUAAAAAUUUAGGGAUUAUUUUCACUCAUUCCCCAAAAAUAAUUCAAAAUUUACCCUAUUUAGGGUGGAGCCUCAUAGGCCCAAAUCCAUGGAGGAUUUGCCAUCCCUAAAUCAUCUAAGAUAUUCAAAACAUUUCAUCUGUGGUAAUUUUUCUAUGCAACUUCAAUUCCUCUAAUGCUUAGAGAAAGAGCAGUUGAAAAUAACUAACUAAUUAAUUAAAGCGGAAAGGAUCUUAAUUAACAUAUUGAAUGUUGCUUCGCUGACGUUCAAACUUUUCUCCUUUUUUAACACACUAUUAAAACAACUUAACAUAAGUAAAAGAAAUCACAAUUUGAUUACUAGAAAAAUUUCAUAAUUAUAUACAAAAUAAUAUUUACAGCUUGUUGGCGCCUUUUCCACUAUGAUAUAAUUAAGUGUGUAGCCUUUUCAGCACACCUUUUUUUAUCAUUUCAAGAAUUGUCUCUAGUUAUUUUUAUGGGAAAUUAUCCACCGUCCACUAGUUUUUUUCUAAUUUUUUUAAAAAUACACAAUUCUUUUUUUUUUUUUUGCUGGAAUCCACCUAAAGUUACAUUUCUUUUCACUUUUUCACUUCCGUUUGGAGACCGUUUAGAAAACUAAUGGAAUAUUGUUUAAAUGACUUUUUUACCCUCAAAUGUAAAAGAUAAAUUAUCCACCGACCACCUUUUUUUUCGUAUUUUUUCAAAAAUACACAAUUCUUAAUUUUUAUUUUUUGCUGAACUCUACUUGAAGUUAUAUUGUUUUGCACAUUUCCACCAUUGUGUCGUUGUGAAAUGACAAUUUUACCCUUAUGAUGUCAGUAAAAUUCUAACAGUGUUAUAACGAGAGUGGACCAAUUAAAAAAAUGUUAACUUCAAGUGGAGCACUGCAAAAAAAAAGAAAAAAAAAUUGUGUAUUUUUUUAAAACGAUGAAAAAACAUGUGGACGGUGGAUAAUUUUCCAAUUUUUAUUUCAUAUUGAUUGUAGCAGUAUAGCAAAAAGGCACAUCAUAAAGUAUAAUAACCUGGAAAAAAAUCAACAGGAUAAUAAAAUUUAUCAAUCUGUAUCAACACAUCCUUUAUAAUCCCACGAGAUAAUUUCAUUGACCUAUCAGCAAGUUGCAAAAUAAUAGAAGUUGAUUUUAACUCACCUAGUCCUAGCUGCAUGUAAACAUAAUAAGGCAAGAGAUUAACACUAGCACCUAAGUCCAAUAAUGCUUUAUCAAACAAUUGGUUCCCUAUAACACAUAAGAUAGUAGGGGAACCUGGAUCCUUAAAUUUUGGUGGCAUUUUACAUUGAAGUAAAUUGCUAGUUUGUUCAGUUAAAAAUGUUUUUUUGGUGACAUGCAAAUUUCUCUUUUUAGUGCAUAAAUCUUUCAAAAGCUUGGCAUAAGAAGGAACUUGCUUAAUAGCAUCGAGUAAAGGGAUGUUUAUACUUACCUGCUUGAAGAUUUCUAUAAUCUCACCUGUUGAAGUCAUUUUCUUUACCUUUGUUAACCUUUGAAGAAAAUGAGCCUUGGGAAUGUAAGCUGGCGGGCCAAUCUCUUCUAAAUCAUUUGGUGAUGAGUCUUGUGAUGGAGUUGAAUCUGAAGAAGUAGGUUCAGAUGUCUUCCUUGUUUGAACCUCCAUUUUGUUGUCAAACAAUUUUCCUCUUCUCAAGGUCAUAAUAGACUUUGCUUCUUCAUGCUGAUGACUUGAACUCGAUCCAACUUCGUGCACUCCUUUAGGAUUGGGAAUUGGUUGACUUGAGAAUUUUCCUUUUUCUCUCUCCGCUACAGUAGUUGCUAAUUGACCCAAUUGAUGUUCAAGCUUUAGAAUAACUUGAGUGUUUGACUGAAAAGCUUGUUGGGUUGACUGAAUGAAACUUUGAACUGUAUCCUCUAAAGAAGGUUUUCUUUGUUGGGGUGCAACAAAUUGAGACAUAGGUUGUUGGGCAGGAGAAUAUACUUGGUUAGGAGGGACAAAUUAUUGAUUGGGCAAGCUAAAUUGUUGUCCUCUUUGGUUUGACAAAGGCUGAUUUUGUUUCCAAGAAAAAUUAAGGUGAUUCCUCCAAUUAGGAUUAUAUGUGGGUGAAUAUGGAUUAUUGGAGGUUUUCUCAUAUGAUUGUAAGGCAUGUACCUGUUCAGAAUAAGCCUCUUGAUAGGCUGGUAAUGAUGGACAAUUAUGUGCUGUAUGAGACAAGUUAGAACAAAGAGCUACACUAGGAUGAUGAUUCAUUAAUUGGUUCAAAGCUAAGGCAUCUACUUUCCUAGAAAGUGUAGCUAGAGUGGAUUUCACAUCAAAAUCAUCCUUAACUUCAUAUAACCCCUUUCUAGAAACUUGAGAUGACUUUUCUUCAAUUUAAAAAAUCCUACUGUUGAGAAUUCUCAGAAAGUGAAUUAAAAAAAUCUCAUGCAGCCCCUUCAUGUAGGUUCAAGAAUCUCCCACCAUUCAUAGACUCUACCAUAUGACGAUUUGACAUAAUUAAACCAUUAUAAAAGCAUUGUAUAAGUCUCCAUUUCUCAACACUCAUAAAAUUACUCACCAUCUCUUUGAUAAAAAUCACUUAUCUCUUUCCUAAGGGCAUUUGUUUUAGACAUAGGCAAAAACUUGGUGAGGAACUUAUUACUCAAUUCAUCCCACGUAGUAAUAGACUCAGCAGGAAGUGAAUUCAACUAAGCUUUCGCUUUGUCUUUUAAUGAGAAAGGGAACAUACGAAGCCUAAUUGACUCAUCAUUAAAAUUUUGAAAAAGGAAUGUAGAGCAUAUGUCAAGGAAUUCCUUAAUGUGCAAAUAAGGAUCCUCUCUCUAACCCAUGGAAAGAUGGUAAAAGUUGAAUGACAGAGGGCUUAAGUUCAAAGUGUGUUGCUGUAGUUUGUGGCAACACAAUACAAGAUGGUUGGUUGGCUGCAAGUGGUGAAAAAUAUUCUCUAAGGGUUUUCUCUGCUUGCACUUGUGGAAGUAUUGGCAAUAGACUAUUUGGGUCAUCCAUCACUUUUGAAGAACUAUCUCGACUACUAUCAAUUUUUUACUCUUUUUUAACCAAACGAUUUGUUGAAUCACGUUCCCAAACACUCAUAAACUAACUAGACAAGGAAAGAAAGAAAAAUAAAAUAAACCAACAAUAAUGAAAAUAAAUAAAAUUUAAAAUAAUAGAAAUAAAAAAACUGAAAAUGAAUUUGAAGACAAAUAAGUUUUUUUUUUGUGUUUUGUUUUUUUAAAAGAAAAAAAUAAAAGACAACCUAAAUUAUAACUAGUGGAAGAAUCAAAUCAACCUAGAUUAAACUGACUUUCUAACACAAUCCCCGGCAACGGUGCCAAAAACUUGUUGUGAAAAAAUUUAAUAUACUCACAAGCGCACGAAUCUAGAGAUAGAAUAGUGAUAACGAGGGCGAACCCACAUGGAUUGUUAUAAAUUGAAAAGUCUAAUUUAAAUCUAAAAUUAAUAUUAAUUCUAACCUAGUUGAGCAAAUUGAGUUUCUAAUAAAAUUAAACUAAUUAAACUUAGAAAAUAAUUAAAAUAAAGGAGAAUUCAAUAAGACAAAAAUUACCAAGGUUUCAUAAUCCACCACUAUUUAAUUAGUAAUUAUUUAAAUAUUAAUUAAUCCCCAAUUUUAGAGUGACAACUCGAAAUCAAUCUAUAUCAUCUCAUAAAUAUAACAAUUAAGUCCAAGUAAUUAAAUCUAGUAUAGGUUCUUUUUCCACUUAAUAGUAUGAUAUCAAAGCAUCCCAUGUAAACAUAUUGAAUAACAAAGAGUCAGUUUUUCUAAACACUCUAUGUAAACAAUUUAAUGAAAGACAUAUAAUCAAAGAUAAUCAUGUAUAAACUUUAUAGAUUCAAGCAUAGAUUUAAUCGAAUAUUGAUCCUAACAAUCAAUAAUGCAUGACAGAAUUGGUGAAAAGAUUUGAAUAACAUAUGUAUAUAAAUUAUGCUCAUCAGAGAUAAACCCUUCCAAUGAACUAACACCUCCCCUUUCUUCCUGCAAGUAUGCUGAUCCAAUAUUGCUUGAGGAGUUGGUACCACCAAGUCAUCUUCAUUAAUGUUUGGUACAGUUGGCAACGCUAGUUAACGUUCACCAAUUUUCUUUUUCAGCUACGAGACAUGAAAAAGUGGAUGAAGCUUGGAAUUUAGAGGCAAACGAGCUGACAGCUUGAAAUUUCCGAUCUUCUCAAUCACCUCAAAUGGUCCAUAAUAACGAGCUGACAGCUUGAAAUUCUUUCGUAAAGCCAAAGAUGUAUGUCGAUAAAGCUGAAGCCUGAGAUACACAAAAUCACCAACUAGAAACUAUCAUUCUCUAUGCUUUGAAUCAUACAACUUCUUCAUUCGUGCUUGUGCCUGAAAGAUACAAUCACGAACCUCUUUAAGAACAUGAGCUCAAGCAACUAACUCUUGCUCCACAGCUUCUAACCUUGCUGUUUGUUGGUGUAUAUUCUAAUGCUAUUAGUGUCAAUGUGCAAAUGUACACAACAAGUAAUAAAGUUAUGAGUAUUCAAGAUCGUCUCCAUAUGGAUUGAUGUUAUCAGAUUUGCUACAACAAUAUUAACAGUGCAGAUUUUGUGCUAAAUUAAAAUAAAACAAUUAGUGAAAAUAUUAUACUAAAAAAAAUAAAAACGCAAUAAAUAAAAUGCAAUAAAUAAAAUGCAACAAAGUAAAUUAUCACGUCAAACUCAAGGAUAAAACAAAUGGGAAUAUAGAGUAGUUGAGUGAAUAAACUCUCUUAAUGGUCUUGACUAUUUUCUAAUGUUUGGCUCGGUUGCUACAACAUUUGCUACAGCACUGGGCAGAAUCCUUAUGUAUCCUCAACCGUCGCAUGUUGGAUAUCUUAUAUCUAUAUGCAACCUAACAGUGAUCAGUUAUUAUGCCAACAUAAGAUAUAUCAUUACACACUUAGGUUCUAUUUACCCUACAAGGUGAAUCCCUAUGUGUAGUUCAUCACUAAUGUUGGAUUAAGCAUGGCCCUUUUGGGAUAAGUUAAACUCAAUCCAGGAAACCCAAUCUAAAACUAAGUAUUGCUUUGAUAUAUUCCACUAAGAUAGGCCAUUUUGCGGCUCUCUCUUAACUUGUAUCAUUAAAUGGGUGAUCAACCGAAAUAAUGAAUAAAAAUAAAUACUAUAAAAACAAACUGCUACAUCAAACAAGCAGCAGCACCUAUAUUCAGUCAAUAAACCAUCAAGAUUGUUUAUCACUCAACAACAAAUAAAUUUAGUUCAUGAUUUGCAAAGAAAAAUAAAGAACAAAGUUUCAGCCAUAAAACACAUCCCCAUGAAUAAAUAGAAAACUCGAAAACAAGAGAAGGAUAAAAAGAAUUGAGCUCCCAAUUGAUCUUUGUAAUUUUUCCUCUUGUGCAGCCCUUAAUCUCUCUCUUGAAUCUUGUUUUUCUUUUGUUUCUUCGUGUUUUUCUCCUUGGGUGACGGCCCCCUCUAUUCCUUAAGAUGUGUGCUUCUUUUAUAGCUGAAAAUUAGGGUAAACAGAAGCCUAAAGCGCACAUAAGUCAGAUUAGGAAACUGCAGAUAGCAAUUCUACAAGUAUCCUGCGCAGAAUUUUCUCUGUCGUUGUUCCAGGAUUGCUACAGCAAUGUUGCUACAGCAACGGCUACAGCAACUGCACUGUUCCAGAUUUGUUUCAAUUCUUUUGUAGCUAAGUUCUUCCUCAUUUUUGCAAGCCUAUUGCAUCCGCAUUCCUUCCAUGAAUUAUAAGCUUCUGGAAACCUACAAUUAAGCACACAAUUUGAGCACGAACUACUUUAAAUUAAGCAAAACUUGUUAAGACUAAACUAAAAUGAACAUUUAUGCAAAAUGUAAUAAAAAUACAAUAGAAACACAUCAUUUACUCUCUAAGUAAUCUUGAUUUGAGUCUAGAAUUUCCAUAAUAACUCUCAUUUCAUAGAGUUAUUACUGUUCCUGGAAUAUAAUCAACCAACUUCGGAGGUUCUCAGCUAUAAACAAUUUCGAAAGGUGUUUUUUGAAGCACCGAAUGCCAACUUGUAUUGUAGCAAAACUCCGCCCAGGUUAACCACCUCAACCAUUCUUUUGGUUUUGCAUUGGUAAAGCAUCUAAGAUACAUCUCCAAGGUCCGAUUUACAACCUCACUUUGGCCAUCAGUCUGAGGAUGAUAGCUCAAAUUAAAAUUAAAUGAAGUUCCAUUCAAACAAAACAAUUCUCUCCAAAAGGCACUUGUGAAUGUUGGAUCCCGAUCACAUACAAUAGAUUUUGGUAACCCAUGUAGCUAAAACACAUUAUCAAAGAAUAAUUUUGCUACCCCAACAACAGUAUAUGGAUGAGAAAGAGGAAUAAAGUGAGCAUAUUUUGAUAAUCUAUCAACUACAACUAAAAUAGUUGUCUUACCACCAAAAUGAGGCAGCCCUUCAACGAAGUCCAUCGAAAUAUCAUCCCAAAUCCUCAAUGGAACAGAGAGUGGCUGUAAUCAACCAGCAGGUGCCAUGUGCUCAGCUUUAUUUCAUUGACAUGUAUCACAGCUACGAAUAACCUCCUUAAUUUGUUUCCUCAUUUUUUCUAAUGAAAACUAGCUUUAAUUUUUUUAAAGGUCUUCACGUAACCUUCAUGGGUACUUCUAUGGAACUCAUUAAUGAUUGAAGUUGUAAGCUUUGAGUCAGGUACAAGAUAAAUACGCCCUUUAAACAAGAUGAUUCCCUCAACAAUCUUCCAUAGUCCAAUAGCCUCACCUUGUUGAGUUCGAGCCUGUAGCGCCUGAAGAGAAGAAUUUGUAACUACUUCCUCCUUGAUUGCAUCUAACCAAUGUGGCAUACAAUUAAGUCAGCAUAAACAAUGAGCCCUCAUUAUUUUCGACCUCAUGCCUUCGAGAUAGCACAUCAGCCAAUAUGUUCUCACUUCCCAUUUUAUACUCCACCUAAAAAUCAUAGCCCAUCAAUUUAUAUAACCAACGCUGCUGAGCCGUCGUACUAGUUUUUUGUGCCCACAGAUGCUUCAAGCUGUGGUGAUCAGUCCGCACAAUGAAUUUUCUUCUUAACAAGUACAGCCUCCAUUUCUGAACGGCUAAGACCAAGGCAAGUAUUUCUUUUUCAUAGGUUAAAAAGAGAAGAUUUUUUCCUUAAAGUGCUUGACUAAAGAAAGCUAUUGGUUUGUCCUGUAACAAUACCGCACCUACACCAAUUCCAUAAGCAUCACAUUCAACAAUAAAUGUUUUUGAGAAGUCAGACAAUGAUAAUAUCGGUGCCUUAGUCAUUGCCAACUUAAGCCUUUCAAAUGCCUCAUCUGCUGCCUUGCUUCAUUCAAAGGAAUUCCUUUUCAGCAUCUUAGUAAGGGGAGCUGCAAUCUUGACAUAAUCUUGUAUGAACAUCCGGUAAUAAACCAUUAAUCCUAGAAACCACGCAUAGCCCUAAUAUUUUUCAGUUUAGGCCAAGAAAGCAUGGCAUCUUUUUUUGAAAGGUCAACAGCCUUAUUGCGAUUAGAGAUUAGAUGUCCCAAGUUUAUACCUCCUGUUUCCCGAACUGACAUUUCUCCAUCUUCACCUUAAGCUUGUGGGCUUGUAAAAUAUCAAAAACCACUUUCAAGUGUUCCAAGUGAGUAUCCCAACUUUUGCUAUAAAUAAGUAUAUCAUCAAAAAAGACUAAUUCAAAUUUUCGUAAAUAGUCUUGAAAUACCACAUUCAUGAGUGCUUGAAAUGUUGAAGGAGCAUUAGUAAACCCAAAGGACAUUACAAGAAACUCAUAAUGGCCGUGAUGUGUUCGAAAGGCUGUUUUUUCAAUGUCAUUGGGAUGCAUGCAAACUUGGUGAUAGCCUAACCUCAAAUCCAGUUUGGAAAAAUAUUGUGCCCCCGUCCAUUCAUCUAACAAUUCAUCGAUCACAGGUAUGGAAAAUUUAUCUUUGACUGUAAUUUUAUUUAAUGCCCGAUCGUCCACACACAUUCUCUAUGAUCCGUCAUGUUUUUUGACAAGUAAUACUGGGGAUGAAUAUGGGCUUUUGCUGGGACGAAUAAUUCCUGCGGCUAGCAUCUCUUUGACCAAUCUUUCAAUUUCAUUUUUUUGGAAGUAGGAAUAGCGGUAAGGUGGGAGGGCUGUGGGUUUAUUAUUUGGAAGCAGGGGAAUUCGGUGAUCAUGGCUUCUUUGCGGAGGCAAUCCCACAGGUUCAGUGAGCACAUGAGGAUAUUCUUUAAGGAGCUGUUGAAUUUGAGUGGAAGUUGAAUCAGUUUUCACGUUGAUGCCAUUGUUGCUUAUAAGUUGUAGAACUACACAAUGUUGAGAUUUUUGUUAUCUGAGUCACAGGUGGAGAAGUAACAACUUCGCGACUUAUAUCAAUAAUGCCACGCAAUAUAACUUUUUUAUUUCCUUUGGAAAACUUCAUAAGCAACUUGUCAAAAUCCCAUUGAAUUGGCCCUAACGUCCUUAGCCAUUGUGUUCCUAGCACCGCAUAACAACCUUCCAAUGGUAAAAUAAAGAAAUCAAUUUCAAAAAGGACUUUUUGAAGCCUCACCUGAACUUGGGCACAUCGACCGGGGCUAACAAGUUUUUCUCCUGAAGCAAUCAAUACCUCCAACUUUCCACUUGAAUUAAGUUGUAAAUGGACCCGAUUUGCUGCCUGUGAGCUCACAAAAUUGUGAGUACUUCCUGAAUCAACUUAAAACAGCACUUGUUGACCCAUUAAGCUUCCCUAAAUAUGCAUAGUUUUAGGUGCUCUUGUCCUUAUCACGGCAUGAAAUGAUAUUUCUGGAGCCACAUCCUCACUACCAUUUUCAAUCUCCAUUUCCACAUCGUUUUCCUCUUCCUCCCAGCAUGCUUCAAUCUUGAAAAGUUUUGGACAAUUGUGCCUUGGGUUGUACUUGUUGUUACAAUGAAAGCAAAGGCCCUUCUUUCGUCGUUCUGUUAGCUCUUCUGGCAUCAUUUUCUUGAUGUUUGGGGCUGAAUUAGAGCUACAUCGUUGACUUUCUAUUGCCAAAUGCCAAGAAUUUAUUGCUCGAGAAGGUUGUGUUGUCGUCGCUCGUUUGUGUGCUGUAUCCCUUGCCUCAUAGAGUCGAGCUAACCCAAUUGCCAUGGUCAGCGUUGUUGGUAGAUUUGCCUGAACAUCGACUUGGAUACUCUCCUUUAGCCCUGCAAUAAAACAACUUACUUUUUGUCCUGAGAAAGUGAUCCCACCUUUGCCAACAAUCUCUCAAAUUGAGCUUGAUAAUCAGUCACUGUUCUUGUUUGUCACAACCUGAUCAAUUCAACAAAGUGGUCUUCAAAUUGAUUAGGUCCAAAACGUGAUAAAAUUCCUGCUUUGAAGUCACCCUAUGUUACAUAAAUCAUCUCUUGCUCUAACAUUUGGAACCAUAAUUGAGCAUCCCCUUCCAAAUAAAAGGAAGCUAAGGACACCUUUUUUUACUCUCGUAUCUCAUGGAGACUAAAAUACUUUUCAACCCUACAAAUCCACAUUGUUGGCUAUUCCUUGCCGUCAUACUUAAGAAAAUCCAAUUUUACAGUUCGUGGCAUGAAGUUGUGGAAAUUUUCAUUUCCUCUUGGUGAAGUGUGAACCAUUGGACCUUCGUUGAAUGAAGUCUCUCCGCUUUUAGUAGUUCUUCUACCACCAAAUUGUUGAGCGAGCUGUUCUAACUUUUCAGUAGCUUGAUUCAGUAAUUCUUUAUUAAACUUAUCCAUGCUUUCCUCAAUUUGCUGAACUCUAUCGUUAAGCUCCAUCAAUCUGGCUCUGAUACCAAGCUGUUACAAUCACUUUGGUUUUGUGUGGAAUUAACUUUGCAAAGAAAAAUAAAAUUAAGAGUAAUGACACUUCGAGGGGUCAAUCUCCUCCUUAAGACUCAAGCCUUAUUCUGAAUUCUUUUCAGGAUCCUUAUUCAAUAAUCAAUUGAAAAUUAAAUACAAGAAAUUGCUAACUAAACCCAAGAAACCAGGAAAUAAUAUCCAAAAUAAUCAGGAAAGCUUUGGACUCGCUCAUACCAACUACAUACACUCAAAACAAAUUAAAAAAUAAGGUUGACUUAGUCUUUACGUUUAUUGCCCACCAAACUCCAUACUUCUAAGUAGUUGCUUUGCACGUGCCCUAAUCAAUUAUUACUUGCUUGCAACAUAAUUCCUUUUUGGUUUUCCAAUCAAACAGAGCUUACAUUCUUGGACUUGAGUGAGAAUGAGCUUAAAGGAACUUACCCACAAUGACUCGCUGAACAAAAUCUUGGAGCAGUUAUUUUAUCAGACGACAGGUUGACAGGUUCUCUGCCUCCCACUUUGUUUUAAUCUCGAAAUUGAUCAGUCCUUGUUCUUUAAUUAAACAAUUUUUAUGGUGAAUUGCCUGAAACCAUGGGCAAAAGACAUCAUUCAUGGUAUUUACGCUGUCCAGCAAUAACUUUUCUCAGCAUGUGCCAAAAUCUAUGUCCAAUAUUUAUCGAUUCUUGAUACUAGACUUGUCAAAUAAUAGUUUUCUAGUGAGUUUUUGGCAUUUAUGUCGAACUCAUUAGGGGCAUGUAUUGAUACAUCAUCCAAUAGAUUCUCUGGCGAGGUUCUUUCGACUUUAGGAAAAACACACUUAUGGUGUCACUAAGCCAAAACAGUUUCUUCGGGCAAUUGCCUCAAAAUCUAAGUAAGCUGAGCCCGCUUGAACACCUUGAUCUUCGUGACACUAAUCUUACCAGUGAGUUCCCAGCAUUCCUCUCUCAGUUGUCUUCCCUUCAAGUACUUAAUAUCCGAAACACUGCCCUUGAAGGAUCAAUCACUGAUGACCUGUUAAAUCUUGGAAGUCUACAUAUCCUGGAUCUCUCCAACAACAACCUUACAGGAAAAAUCCCAUCAAGCUUUGGAAACCUUGCGGGAAUGACUGACACUCCUAGUACCUUAUCAACAUUGCCUGAAAUUUUCACCAUUCCGGUUGAAAUCCAAGAUUUGAUAGUCAUCUGGAAGAAUUCCAAACAAAAACUCUAUAGCAAAAGCCUUGCAAUCUAUUCUCUCCCGGACUUGUCAAACAAUCAAUUUUUUGGGUGAAAUUCUACACUUUGGAGGCAGUAUCAAAGGCCUGAAGUCACUUAACAUGUCUUGCAAUGAACUCCAGGGUAACAUUCCCUCAACUUUCAGCGACCUGGAGAUUUUAGAGACCCUGGAUUUGUCGCACAAUAGCCUGUCUAGAAAUAUCCCAAAAACAUUUGCUAAGCUCUAGCAAUUGACCUUAUUAUACUUGACCAACAACAAGCUCUCGGGUCAUAUUCGUGAGAUCCCUCAAAUGGACAACCAGAUUGAUUCAGUCAUAUAUGCAACCAAUGGCAGGUUGUGUGGGGUACAAAUCUAGGUUGUUUGUUCUGAAGAUGUGCAACCACCAACUGAUUCAGUGCUAGAGGAGAUGGAGAAAGAAGAAAUAAGAAUUUCUUCGUGGAAAGCCAUGGCCAUAGGGUACCCUUUUGAUUUCUCUUCUGCAACUAUAGUUACUUAUGUGAUUGUUUAGUUUAAUUCUAAACCAAAAUCUUCAGUUUCGCGGGCUAAGUCAUCAAGAAGCAAGAAAUUCGGGAUUAUGGAGCCUGAACUUGAAGAGAUUAAUUAUUGUGCAUGUGAGCAUGGUCUAAAUUAUACGAAGCAGGAAAACUAUUUAAACUUGCAAUGCAAGCAAACUAGUCAUUUGAAAAUGUGAGCUCAACUCCUAAUCACAUGUUGAUUUUAGCUUAAUUGUUCUUUUGCUAUCUUCUAAGGAGUUUUAGUAUUUUUCAAAUAAAGCAUAUAAUAACUUUCAUGAGUUGAUUGCAUGAUCCAAAGUAGUUAUGAUGAAAAAUUAAAUGCUUCUUAAAAUGGCAGUUUUCAGACUAACAAAUUUCUGAUGCAUCUAUCAAUGCUAAAACUUAAAAAUUAACAUUUGGAAAUAAUUAAUUUUAGAUUAAAUUUUGAAAUAAUAAAUUUUGUAAAAUAUUUUAUAAAAUGUUUAAUAAAUUUGGAUAAUGAGACAAUCAUUUAUGAAAUAUUUCCUUUUAUCUUGUUUUUGUUUUUUAUUCAAAUCAAUUAUAGCUUGUGUCAUAUUUGACUGCCCAUACAUUAGAACAUAACUUAUAUUGUUCAAAAAGAGCCCUUCACACCUGAAUAGAUGCAGUCUACAAGACACGAUCAAUAACCACUCGCAGCAAAACAAGUUCCACAUAAACAAAAAAAGGUCAGUACUUUCACAGGUUGUAAUAUGAGUAUUUACUACAGCAAACAAGCUACUCAAAUGAAUUGAAAUAGAAAGUUGAAAAAGAAUACCAAUUUGGCCAUUAAAGAGUGAGAGAAUACUUUACUAUCUGCAAACUGAGCAUCGCAUAACCAGAUUUUUUCACUGUUUGUAAGUGCUCUUCCUAGCAAACUGCGAGACAAAGUGGUAGGUGACCAUGUUAGUUAAAACUCCCGUUCGAUAAGAAUUGACUAUGCAUAUGGAAACAUAAUGAUUGAAAGAUAUAUAAGAGAAACUAGGUUUCUAAAUAAUGAAGUUUUAUUAGAAAUAAAUCUAAAUGAAUAAAACUAGGAUUUUAGGUCCCUUUUUUUAUUACCCUAAAUAUCUCGAAUUUACUCAAAUAGGUAAAUACGAAAUAUUGUUUUAUAAUAAAACUCUCCUAGUCUAAAUAAUGGAAUUAAAACGAAUGGCACCUAAAUCCAAUAUAUAGAAAAAAAAUCUUGAAAGUAACAGGAAAAUAGGAAAAAUAAUUUAAAACUAAAAAAUGAUGAGAAAAUAAGUGGAAUUUUCUGCUCGACCAUGGGGCAAAACAGCAUAAGCGUUCAAGGUUGGUUUGUCUUAUUGCAAGCUUCAAAACGGUAUAUUACAAAAUGAACACCUAUGACCUAAAUUAUAACCUUUGGAACAUAUCCUACUUAUCCCACGCGCCAUCAUACAUCAAGAAUGCCACAUAUAAGGGGAAAAAUAUGCAAUAAAGGGUUAAAAGUUAAGUUUGAUUAAUAGAAGAGAGUAGUAUCUGUGGCCAGAAUUGAUUACAAAGGAUAUGCAAACCAAGUAAUACCACUCUACAUCGAUAAGAUCUUCUGGAAACAAUGUAGCAAAAGGCAUGUUAUUAGCUUGCUCAGUUUCUCCUUCCAGCAGAGAUUCGUAAUGCUCUCUUAGUUGCUUACUCCUUUCUAGACCUAUUUUAUGAGGUGUAAGUUACACUGCUUGCAUUGUCUCCAUUGUAGUACUUAUCACCCCACUCUAGUACCCUAGAGACCAGUUUCUUUUUUCUUUUUUCAAAGUGAGUACAAACAAUGUUAACAAAGCAAGUAAAUAGACUAAUUAUAGGCCAUUAAGAGUUGGUUAAGCAAAAAUGCUAACAAAGCAAAAAACUUGUAGAGGCCAUUUUAACUUCAAAAAAUAUAACAAAACAAAACUUCGUUAUUCAUUUUCCCAUUACUGCAAAAAAGUCUCUGUGAGAGGUAAUAUAAUGUAAAUUUCCAUCUCUAGCAACAUCACUUUAAUGGUAAGUAAAUUGAUUAAUAGCUUCGUUUCUUCAAGUUUCCCAAAGAAACAGAAUGUCAUACUAGUUAGAUAUUAGGUUAUGUGGUCCACAAAUUUGGCACUACAAAGUAAAAAUGUGAGCUUUUUAUUCUAAAAUGAUGGUAUAUAUCAGUGAAUUAGAGGUAUUAAAUUUAGCAAAUUUAACCAAAAAGAUGGCAUGAGUGACUUUAGAAACGCAAAAUUGCAUAAACCCAUAUAUGGAAGUUGAGACAAGAACAAAAUUGCACUAAAAAAUAAUUGGAAAGUAGAAAUAAAAUACUUAAAAAAAACAAAAAGAAAAAAAAAAAGAAAGCUUUUAUAACGUUGUUGUUUGCUGAUAAUGACUAGAAAAUUACAUAGCUCUAUUGGAUAUUCCUAACAGCCACAUGAAGUUGUUUCCUUAAGAUUUCUUGUACCACUCCAGGUUUUUGUUACGGAAGCAUGUGGUUGAGCAAUUACUAAUAUUAUGGUGACUGCAAUUUCUAGAGAAAUAUAAAUGUGACAAACAAAUGCAAAGAAAAUAGGACACAAUAAUUUACAUGGUUCAUGUAAAGCCUAUGUCCACAAACAAAGACUGGAAGAUAAUUUUACUAACAAAUGGGAAUUUACAAAAGUAGGAAAAGCUCUCAAAACCCACAACCCUAAUACACCUAAUUGAAUCCUCACUAGAAUACUCAAGUGGAAGCUCUCUCAAAUAUCUCAAAUUGUUUCACUUGUAAUUGCUCUCAACUCUCUCAAUUGGGAUGAUCUGAAGCUUUUCCUCUCCUCUUUAUUUAUAGGCAAGUAAUGUUUACCUACCACAGCAUUCAAUUUGGCUUCAAUUUUUCAAAUUGAUAAAUUUGGCAAUCAGUGCCAACUUUGUCAUGCAAUUGUGGUCAAAAUCUACAUGCUAGCUUAACAAUUGCAUGCUUGAAUUUUGCAUGCUAGUUGUCUCAUGCAACUACUCAAUAAUUGCAUGCUUGAAGCUUGACUUCUCAAUAAUUCUCCACCUCGGCAAAUAUUUAGUAAAGUUGAGCCGAAUAUCAACAAACCAUCCUUCAACCUCUACCUUUCCAAUUGUUUUCAAACUUGUAAGCUAUUGAUCAAGUUUAGACAAUCAUCAAACUUGAUCGCCGUCACCACCUUGGUUAAUAUAUCUGGAGGAUUCUUUGCAAUCUUGAUUUUAUGAAUCAAUGUACCCGAUCACACCUUAACCAAGUUUAUCAUCUUGCUCAAACAAUAAACCAAUAUCUACGAUCUUCUGAAUGUACAGUAGAAUCUAUUUCACAACUUGCAAAUGUCCUUUACUAAGAUUAUACAUAUACAUGCUCACUAUACUAACUGCAUGUGAAAUGUCGGGCCUUGUACACACCAUUGUAAACAUCAAGCUACCCACCGCAUUUGAAUACAAACUUAUAACAUGUACUCUCGUUCUGCAUCUGUUGAAGGAGAUAAUUGUGCAGAAAGCUUGAAAUAAAAAGCCAACGGAGUGCUCACGAGUUUUAUCUGCUCAGUCAUGCCAAAUUGUUGUAGUACCUCCUUCAAAUAUUACUUUUGAAACAAACUGACUUUACCACGAACUCUAUCUCUGCAUAUCCCCAUGUCAAGAAUCUUUUUAUCUUCACUACGAUUUUUCAUCUCAAACUCUUAAUUGAGUUGAAUCUUCAACUUCUCAAUCUCCUCUUUACUCUUGAUGCUAUUAGCAUAUUAUCGACAUACAAGAGCAAAUAUACGAAGGAUCCCUUUUGUAGCUUGUGAAAAUACAAACAAGGAUCAAAUUUAUUUCUUGUGUACCUUUGCCCUUUUAUAAACUGAUCAAAUCGCUUGUGCCACUACCUUGGGGUUGUUUUAAUCCAUAAAGUGACUUUGUCAAUUUGCAAACUCUAUUUUCUUUUCCAACAACCUUGAAUCCAUUUGGCUGAGUCAUGUAGAUUUCCUUUUCCAAAUCACCAUGUAAAAAUGCAAUUUUUACUUCAAGUUGUACUAAUUUAAGAUCAAAUUGCGCAGUCAUGGCUAGCAAAAUUUGAAUAGAUGAGUUUUUGACAAUUAUGGAAAAUACAUCAUUGUAGUCUAUUCCUUCUUUCUAAGCGCAACCCUUCGCUACCAAUCUAGUCUCGUAUCGAAUUUCAUUUUUACGAGGACAUCCUUUAUUCUUUGCAUACACCCAUUUGCCUCAAAUUACUUUCUUUUCCUUAAGCAGUGUAACCAACUCCCAAGUUCUAUUUUUAUGAAGAGACUGCAUUUCUUCAUUCAUUGCUAGCUUCCACUGUACACUUUCAGGGCUACAUAUUACUUCUCUGUAGGUGGAAGGAACAUUAUCAUCUACAAAUGGAAGUUCAUAGGCCACCAUAUCAACAAAGCGAGCAGGGCUAUGAAUCUCUCUUCGUGGCUACCUAUAUGCAAUUGAAUCUUGUUGUUGUUAAGGUUCUUGGGCUAGAACUUAUUCUUUAUUUUCAGUCAAUGGAGAAUUAUUAUCUAUCUCCUCAACACCAGCUAGAUUAUCUUUAAUAUUUUCAAACUUCACUUACUGUAAAGUGUUACUGGUCUUGUCAUCCUCUUGAAAAUCUUUUUUGUUUCAACAUGGCUGAUUCAUCAAAAGUUACAUCUCUACUUAAAAUAAUCUUUUUCGUAACAUAACACCAAAGAUGAAAUCCUUUUACUCCACCAGUUGUACUCAUGAACAAUGUUUUCUUUGCUUUUGCAUCUAACCUAGAUUCCUUUACAUUAUAAUAGGCAGUAGAAAAAAAAACAUGUAAAGAAUCAUAAUCAGAAGCAGGUUUACCAAUCCAUAACUCCAUCGGUGUUUUGCCCUCAAUUGCAACUGAUGUCAAACGGUUGAUCAGAUGGCACGUAUAUACAACUGCCUAAACCCAAAACUUUUUGCCUAGUCCACCAUUGGACAACAUACACUGAAAAUUCUCCAGUAUAGUUUGGUUCAUACGUUCUACCAACCCAUUCUGCUAUGGUAUAUCUCGAAUAGUGAAGUGGCGCACAAUGCCCUCAUCUCGGCAUAUUUAUAUAAAUGGAUAAUUCUUGUAUUCACCAUCUUUAUCUGAGCGAAAUCUUUUGACCUUUCGACCAGUUUAAGUCUCGAUCAUUUUCUUCUAUUUCAUAAAUCUGCCCAAAACUUCAUUCUUAUUCUUCAUCAGAUACGCCCACACUUUUCUUAAAUAAUCAUCAACAAAAGUAACAAAAUAGUACAUACCUCUCAAAGAAGCUGUUUUGGUAGGUCCCACACAUCAUUGUUAACAUAGUCUAGAAUCCCUUUUGCAUCGUGAAUUGUUGAACCAAACUUUACCCAUGUCUGCUUAACCAGAACACAAUGUUCACAAAAUUCUAAUUUACAAGAAUUUACACGUUUUAAUGAGCGUUGUUUUACCAAAGUCUGCAAUGUUUUUUCACCAACAUGUCCUAAACACAUGUACCACAACUUGGUUGCUUCUGAAUUUGAAUCUUUUCCAGAAAUUGUUGAUGUUGAUCCAAUAAUUGUACACCCUUGGAAAUAGUACAAGUUAUUUAUUCUUGUUAUUUCAUCACAGUCAGUGCGCCUGCUACUACCUUUAAAAAUCUAUCUCUCAAAGUGAUUGUGAGCCUUUGAGAUUCUAAGACUCCUAACGAGAUGAGAUUUUUCUUUAAACUUGGUACGUAGCGAACACCUGUCAAGACUUGGAUUAAACCAUCAUGAUUCUUUAAGUGAGACGAGAUUUUUCUUUAAACUUGGUAUGUACUUAUUCCCACGGUUUUACAGACAUUGUCAUUACCCAUAAAAGCAACUCCACCGUCUAACUCCUUGAAGCUAGAAAAUCAGCCCUUAUUAGGACACGUAUGAUAAGUACAACCUGAAUCUAAAAUCCACUCAUCUGAAUGACAUGUCAACGCCAUGCCAACCAAACUAAAGUCUGACUCCUCAUUAUGCUCUACUACAUAUGCAUCAUAAAUAUCUUUGGCCUUUUGUAACCUAUGACAAUUCUUUUUCCAAUGUCCAUUCUCGUAACAAAAAGUACAUUCAUCUUUGGUAGGCAUUCUUUUAGACUUGUUUCUUUUUCCAGGCUUGAGGCUUUAUGAACAACUUCUCGUUGUCAAUGCUUCUACAAUUGUAUCUAUGUAAUCUUUUUUUCUUUCUUUCUAGUCUCAGAGUUGUACAACGCACUACAUACUGCAUCGAAUGUGACAUUAUCCUUUCUACAAAGUUAAACGGUGGUGAGAUGAUCAUAUACAUCAAGAAGGAAAUUCAACAGUAACAAUGCAUUAUGUUCAUCUUCAAAUUUCUCAUCUAAAUUUACCAAAUCUGUUAAUGUCUUGUUGAAUGAGUUCACAUAGUCAUUCAUCAACAUUUCGGGUUCAUAUGUGAAUCAAUAAAGUUUUUUCUUCAUAUAAAGCCUAUUUUCAAGGUUUUUCUUCAUGUACUUGUCUUCUAGUGUCUUCCAUAAUUUCUUUACUGAUGUUUCCUUCAUGACAAAGUACUUCUGAUCUUUAGUCAGACAUAGGUGAAUAGUAUCACAUGCCUAUUUGUUGAUUUUUAUCCACUCCUUGUCAUCUAUCUUGUCAGGUUUUUCUUCAAAAGCAACAUCCAACUCUUGCUAAUAUAAGACAUCCAACACCUCACAUUGGCACAUACCAAAAUUAUUGGUACCAUCGAAUUUCUCCACUUCAAACUUCGCAUUAGUCACAAUAGUCCUCGCUGAUGAGGACGAUAAUGAUGCCUCUGCCAUCAUUCUUAAUCCAAAUGACCAAUGUGCACACUACAUACAAUAGGCAAUCUCCCAAGUACAAAUGGUCAUCUUUACUGUAUGCGUAAACAGUACCGUAUACGUCAACAUUACCGUAUAUGUAAAUAGUAUUGUAUACCCCAAGCACAAACCUCCUACUCUGAUAACAAUUGUUGCAGAAGCGUGUAGUUGAGCAAUUACUAAUAUUAUGGUGAUUGCAACUUCUGGAGAAAUAUAAAUGUGACAAACAAAUGUAAAUAAAAUAGGACACAAUAAUUUACGUGGUUCACGUAAAGCCUACGUCCAUGGGCAAAGACUAGAAGAUAAUUUUACUAACAAAUGAGAAUUUACCAAAGUGGGAAAAUCUCUCAAAACCCAUCACCCCAAUUCACCCAGUUAAAUCCUCACUAGAACCCUCAAGUGGAAACUCUCUCAAGUCUCUCAAAUUGCUUCACUUGCAAUUGCUCUUAACUCUCUCAAUUGGGAUGAUUUGAGGCUCUUCCUCUCGUCUCGAUUUAUAAGCAAACAAUGCUUACCUACCACAACAUUCAAUUUAGCUUCAAUUUGCCAAUUUGAUAAAUUUGGCAAUCAGUGCCAACUUUUUCAUGCAAUUGUGGUCAAAGUCUACAUGCUAGCUCAACAAUUGCAUACUUGAAUUUUGCAUGAUAGUUGUCUCAUGCAACCACUCAACAAUUGCAUGGUUGAAGCUUGACUUUUCAACAGUUUUGAGCAACAUUAGCCAUAUAAGCACAAACGUUACUAAAUUCAACUUAGAUAACUAGAAAGAAAGCUUAUUAACAAACAAAUUGGUCAAUAAUCAACAAGCAAAGCCUUCACUAAAAAGGAACUCUGGUUAUAUUAUGUCAAUAAAUUUUGGUUCUACAAAAUAUCACACAUUGAGUUCAAUUAUAUGCAGCAAGGUCCUUAUAGCGAGUUACCAUGACUAAAAGAAUAUUUAAGAGACAGAAAUUUUGGAGUGAUAGUACCAUCAAAUACUCAACAAAACAAAUGCGCAACUUCUGCUUUAGAGUGCUCGAAAUAUGCAUUUUGGUUUUCAGUGAUUAGGUUUAUAUGAGCUGGCAAUUUUUAUAUGUUUGGAUCUAAACCUGUUCUAUCGUUUGACAGAGAAUAGUUAAUAAAUUACUCGUAAUGUACAUGUAAAAAAAUCUUAUUAGGUAUUGUUUGUAUGAUUGACCUUGAGUGAUUGUGAUCCAACUUUUUACAGUACUUGUGAAUCUAUUUUCACAUAAGUUGUUUCUUACCUAUAUACUUCCUUAUUUCUCUAUACUUGAAUGAUGAGCAAUAGCAAUCUUACACAUACUUAUGAAUCAUGACAAUUUGUCUCUUCCUAAAAGGCAUAAAUGACAUCUGUUUACAUAGUUUCAAUACCACAAAUGAUGUAGGACAUCCUUUUAGAAUUUUAGAAUUUUAGAAUUUUAGAAUUUUACUAUUUUAAGUCUUGAUUUUUUUUAUUUUCACUAGAGUCAUUUAUGCUAUAUAUUUUAGCCUUUAUUUCAAGUAUAAUUGCAAUUUAGUUUCUCUUUUUAAGCUAACUUAAGGAAAUAGGUUUUCUCUAUUAUAAAUAGAAAGUUCUUGUUAUUGCUUUUAUAACUUCAACUUUAAUUAUUCAAUAAACUCCUCUUUUAAAAAUUUCCUUUUAGAUUAUCUAUCAAAAAUCUCUCUUGUAAAGUUAUUUGAAUUACAAUGUCAUAUAAUCUCGCUUAACGCAUUAUUAAAAUCUCAGUGAGUUGUUUGGAUUAAAACAAGAUCUAAUCACACUUUGGUUAGAGUAUAACCUAAUUGCGCUGCUAGGUCCGGUACUAGAACGAUAGAUAGUGUUUAUCUACCCCAUUAAUUUGACAUAUGUGAAAACGCUCUACUUUGGACACUUUGGUGACUAACAAAUUAUCAUAAUAUGAGUGUCAAAUUAAAUAUUUGUAACAAAGGAUUUUCCUUAAUAAAAAAUAAAUAAAUAAAACUACAAAUAUCAACUGAAAUUUCCAACAUUAAAAUUGGAACAUUAAGAAAUUUCAGAGAUUACUAAUUAAUGAGCGGAAGCAUUCAAAAUUAUGAUUACAAAACUUAUAAAGCUUGAUGCACAUAAAAUUAGUGGCUUUAUCAUACUAAACCCAAUCAAUCAUAUCUAUUAUUUAAUCAAAUAAAAAAUUAGGGGCUAAACUGAAAUUUCACAUGUAAUUUACUCCUAAAUUUCUGCCUGUAAACAGUAUGUGAUGGUCGUUGCCAAUUCUGUUAGACUUAAAUGCAAUAAAAUUCUAAACUUUGGAUAAGAACAUAAACCAAAAAAAACCUUAGGGUGUCAAUGAAAAAAUCCAAAAGAAAACCUAAUUUCAACUUUAUGUGUUGCGCUGCCAACAAUUUUUUUUUUUGUUCUUUACUAUUUUAUAACAAAUUAAUAUAUACAAAAAUUCAUAUGCCAAUGAUUUUCUUUCGACGUUAUGUAUAUGUAGAAUAAUAAUUCAAAUUACCACAUGUCAAACAAAGUGGGCAUCUAGAUGGUAUAAAGUGGCCAUCUAUAUGGUCAACAACAAUUUUGUUUGAAGAAGAAUUUGGCAGUAGCAAAUUUGGAAUGAAGAAAAAGAAGAAAGAAGAAGAUGGAAGAAUAGGAUGCCGCCCAAGAAAAAAUAAUAAUAAUUUAAUAGCCAAUUUUGGCUAUAAAUAGAGAGGCUCCCUCCUCAUUUUAUUCAUUCCAUUUUCUUAAGUUUCUCUUCUCUGUUUUGUAAAAGAGAAAGAGUUGUGUGAGAGAUUAAGAGUUUAAUAAACUCUUGAGUGAUUAGUGUUUUGAGAGUUUGGGUGUAUUGGGGUUUUGGGUAGCAAGCUAAAAUACCACAAUACUUGUAACUCCUUUUCACUAGUAAAUUAUUUUCCUUUUGUUUUCGCCCGUGGACGUAGGCUAAAAGCCGAACCACGUAAUUUUCCGGUGUCCUCUUUUGUGCUUGUUCUUUAUUUUUCUUCCAAUUUCAUUUUAGUUGCGUGUCUGCUUCACCCACCAAUGUCCUAACAGUGGUAUCAGAGCCAUUGGUUGUAUUUUUUUUAGUCGGGUACUGUUCAUGUAAAGGGUACUAUUCACAUAUACGGUACUGUUCACGUAAAGGAUACUAUUCACGUAUAUGGCACUGUUCACGUAUAAGUUACUGUUCAUAUAUACGGUACUAUUCACGAGAAACGGUAGGAGUGAUCCAAGAAUUUUACGGUGCAAAGCAGGGAAUAGUGGUGUGAGUAAAGCAACUGUGUGGUUUAGUUCAUGUCUAGGAAAAUUCUGUCACAAAGGCGAUAAGAGCUUAAAGAGUCUGGGUUUUAAGUGGGACCAUUGUGACCCCUCCAGUCUUUCCUUGGAACUUUUCUGGUGUGCAUUCUCACACAUACUCACAAUUAUUCAGGGUGGUACACUAACUUGUGUGCGGUAUUUAUCAACAAAAUGGCGGCAAAGUAUGAAAUUGAGAAGUUUAACAGAAAUAAUUUUUCAUUGUGGAAAAUGAAGAUAAAAGUUGUAUUGAGGAAAAAUAAUUGUUUGGCAGCAAUUGGAGAAAGGCCCAUGGAGAUAACUGAUGACAAGUGGAACGAGAUAGACGGUAACGUCAUUUCUGAUCUACACUUGGCACUUGCAGAUGGAGUAUUAUCUAGUGUGGCAGAGAAAAACACAACGAAGGAAAUAUGGGACUCUCACAAAAUUGUACGAGGCCAAGUCACUACACAACAAAAUCUUCUUGAAGAGGAAACUCUAUACUCUUCGAAUGGCGGAAUCUACAAUGGUGACCGACCACAUCAACACCUUGAAGACUCUAUUUUCACAACUCACAACGUUGUGUCAUAAUAUAGAGGAAAAUGAACAUGCAGAGCUUCUACUUCAAAGUCUACCAGAUUCGUAUGAUCAACUCAUCAUCAACCUGAUGAAUAACAAUCCAGCGAACAUUCUAUUUUUCGACGAUGUUGCAGCCUCCGUAUUAAAUGAGGAGAGCAGGCAGAAAAAUAAGGAAAACAGACAAGCAAGAUCACAGCAAGCGGGGGCGCUAUCGGUGACGAGAGGGAGAUCAACGGAACGUAGCCCCAGUGAGAGUCACAAUCAUGGCAGAUCAAAAUCUAAAAGUAAGAAGAAUGUUAAAUGCUACAACUGUGGCAAGAAAUGACACGUCAAGAAAGAGUGUUGGAGUAACCCGAAGAGAAAAGAGGGUAAAGAACCUGAGUCAUCAAAUGCUCAGGGGUGUAUAGUAAGUACCUCAGAUGAUUGAGAAAUUCUCUACAGCGAGGCAACAACUGUUUCAGAAUACAGAAAAUGACUAUCUGAUGUCUGACUUAUAGACUCAGGAGCUACCUGGCACAUGACCUCUCGGAGAGAAUGGUUCCACACAUAUGAACCUAUCUCAGGAGGAUCUGUAUAUAUGGGAAAUGAUCAUGCCUUAGAGAUCGCUGGUAUUGGUACUAUCAAAAUAAAAAUAUUUGAUGGUACAAUUCGCACAAUUGGGGAGGUACGACAUGUCAACGGCGUGAAGAAAAAUCUAUUGUCUUUGGGACAAAUGGAUAGUCAUUGGUACAAAACUCAUGUGGAGAAUGGAAUUAUGAAGAUCGUUAAAGGCGUGCUUGUAUUAAUGAAGGCAGAAAAGAUCGGCGCUAAUUUAUUCAUGCUUAAAGGAGAAACACUACAGGAGGCUGAUCCGUGUGUCGCAUCAAAUGGAGAAGAGUCAAUGAUGAUGUGGCAUCCCAAACUUGCCCACAUGUCAGAACAAGGUUUGAAGAUUCUCUUUGAGCGAAAAUUGCUUCCAUGGCUCAAAUCGGUAAGUUUACUAUUUUGCGAGCAUUGUGUUACAAGUAAGCAGCAUAGAUUAAAUUUCAGUAGAUCUAUUGCUAGAAGUAAAUACAUUCUAGACUUGAUUCAUUCUGAUGUUUGGGAAUCGCCAGAUAUGUCCAUGGGAAGUGCAAAGUACAUGGUGACUUUCAUUGAUGAUUAUUCCAAGAGAUGUUAGGUGUAUCCAAUUAAGAAAAAGUCAGAUGUGUUUCCAGUGUUUAAAGAAUACAAAGCGCAGGUGGAACUUGAAUCCGGCAAAAUGAUCAAGUGCUUGAGGACGGAUAAUGGUGGAGAGUAUACAGACGGUGAGUUUCUUGCUUUCUGUAAACAAGAAGGUAUUCAAAGGCAGUUCACGGUGGCAUACACUCCUCAACAAAAUGGAGUGGUGGAGCGGAUGAACAGAACUCUUACAGAAAGAAUAAGAGCUAUGUUGAGGACUGCUGGUCUAUCCAAUUCAUUUUAGACAGAAACAGCUAAAACUACCUGUUAUAUAGUAAAUCGGUCUCCAUCCACAGCAAUUGGGCUGAAGACAGCGAUAGAAAUGUGAACUGGAAAGCCAGCUGAUUACUCAUACCUACAUGCAUUUGGAUGUUCUAUGUACGUGAUGUAAAAUGCCCAAGAAAGAACAAAGUUAGAUCCAAAAUCUAGGAGGUGUAUCUUCUUGGGGUAUGCUGAUGGAGUAAAGGGGUAUCGUCUGUAGGACCCCACUGCCCACAAGAUCGUCAUCAGCAAAGAUGUUAUCUUUGUAGAAGAUCAAAUGCAAAGGAGAGAUGAGGAUGAUAGCACUGUAAAACAAAAGUCAGAGACUGUACCGGUGUAUGUGAAAAAUAAUCUGGAAAAAGAAUAUUCAAAUUCUUCUGAAGCAGCACCAAAGCACGAGGAACAAGAACCGGUUAAGUCCGAGGCUCCAGAAGUUCGUCGGUCAACUCGUGAGAGACGACCGCCAACGUGGCGCUCGGAGUAUGUCACAGAGAUCAACAUUGCAUACUGUCUUCUAAUAGAGGAUGGAGAACCAUCAACUUUCCAUGAAGCUUUAAACAGCUCAGAUGUUACUUUAUGGAUGACAGGAAUGCAGGAAGAAAUUGAAGCUCUACACAAGAACAAGACAUGGGAACUUGUACAACUACCACAUGGAAGAAAAGCCAUUGGUAACAAAUGGGUCUACAAGAUCAAGCAUGAUGGUAAUGACCAAGUAGAGCGGUAUCGUGCAAGAUUAGUGGUGAUGUAUGCUACAUUUGACCUACAAGAUCAAGCAGGCUAAAAAAGAAGGUAUUGACUUCAAUGAGAUAUUUUCUCCGGUAGUUCGACUCACGACAGUCAAAAUAGUCUUGGUGAUGUAUGCUACAUUUGACCUACAUCUAGAGCAGUUAAAUGUGAAAACUGCAUUUCUUCAUGGAGAACUUGAAGAAGAAAUUUAUAUGCUCCAGCUAGAAGGUUUUGCAGAAACAGGAAAGGAGAACUUGGUUUGCAGGUUGAACAAAUCUCUAUACGGUCUCAAACAGGCGCCGAGGUGUUGGUAUAAGAGAUUUGAUUCAUUCACCAUGAGUCUUGGAUACAACAGACUCUGUUCAGACCAUUAUGCAUAUUACAAGAGGUUUGAAGAUAAUGAUUUCAUCAUUUUGCUGUUGUACGUGGAUGACAUAUUGGUAGCAGGCUCCAACAAAGAUCGAAUCCAAGAAUUGAAGGCACGGUUGGCUAGGGAGUUUGAAAUGAAGGACUUGGGACCAGCAAACAAGAUUCUAGGGAUGCAAAUUCACCGAGACAGAAUAACAGGAAGAUUUGGCUUUUUCAGAAGAACUACUUGAAGAAAAUCUUGUGGCGCUUCAACAUGCAAGAUUAUAAGCCAAUUUCUACCCCACUUCCUGUUAAUUUCAAAUUAUCCUCAAAUAUGUGUCCUAGCAAUGAAGCAGAGAGAAAUGAGAUGUCUCGAGUACCGUAUGCAUCAGCAGUGGGAAGUUUAAUGUUCGCUAUGAUUUGUACAAGACCUGACAUUGCACAAGCAGUGGGAGCAGUCAGUCGAUACAUGGCGAAUCCUAGUGGAGAGCAUUGGAUAGCUGUGAAGAGGAUUCUAAGAUCUAUCAGAGGAACCUCAGAUGUUGCAUUAUGUUAUGGAGGAUCAGAGUUUACUGUCAGGGGCUAUGUGGAUUCAGAUUUUGCAGGAGACCUUGAUAAAAGAAAAUCCACUACUGGCUAUGUGUUUACACUUGCAUGAGUAGCUGUAAGCUGGGUUUCAAAACUGCAGACCGUUGUGGCCCUAUCUACAACAGAAGCAGAAUACAUGGCAGCUACACAAGCUUGCAAGGAAGCUAUUUGGAUACAAAGGUUAUUGGAGGAGCUCGGGCACAAACAAGAGAAAAUUUUAUGUUUUGUGAUAGUCAGAGUGUCUUACACAUUGCAAGGAAUCCAGCCUUUCAUUCCAAGACAAAGCACAUAAGAGUUCAGUAUCACUUCGUUCGAUAUGUAGUGGAAGAUGGAAGUGUGGAUUUACAGAAAAUCCAUACCAAGGAGAACCUAGCAGGUGUUUUGACCAAGCCAAUCCAUGCUGACAAGUUUGUCUGGAGUAGAUCCUCUUGUGGCCUAGAAGAAACGUAGGCAACAUGACAAUGGCGAAACAAAAAGGAUGAUGUGGAGAUUGAUUGGUUCUCAAUCAAAUCUCCAAGUAGGAGAAAUGUCAAACAAAGUGGGCAUCUAGAUGGUAUAAAGUGGCCAUCUAGAUGGUCAACAACAACUUUGUUUGAAGAAGAAUUUGGCAGCAGCAAAUUUGGAAUGAAGAAAAAGAAGAAAGAAGAAGAUGGAAGAAUAUGAUGCAGCCCAAGAAAAAAAUAAUAAUAAUUUAAUAGCCAAUUUUGGCUAUAAAUAGAUAGGCUCCCUCCUCAUUUUAUUCAUUCCAUUUUCUUAAGUUUCUCUUCUCUGUUUUGUAAAAGAGAAAGAGUUGUGUGAGAGAUUAAGAGUUUAAUAAACUCUUGAGUGAUUAGUGUUUUGAGAGUUUUGGUGUAUUAGAGUUUUAGGUAGUAAGCUAAAAUACCACAAUAGUUGUAACUCUUUUUCACUAGUAAAUUAUUUUCCUUUUGUUUUCGCCCGUGGACGUAGGCUAAAAGCCGAACCACAUAAUUUUCCGGUGUCCUCUUUUGUGCUUGUUCUUUAUUUUUCUUCCAAUUUCAUUUUAGUUGCGUGUCUGCUUCACCCACCAAUUUCCUAAUAGCACAUAUCUUUAAGGACAAUUGAAAAUAUAAGAGAGUUUUUAUAGAUCUUAAUGGAAAAUCAUGAAUUCUCAAAUACGCUUUGACACCAAUUGUUGAAAUUUUUAUAAUUCUCAUAAAGCAUAUAAACCCUAAUUUGCAUAAACUUUAAUUCCUAAAAUCAUAGAAUAUCAUGAUUUUCACAUCAUCAUAAUUGAGAGAAAACAUAUUUUGAUCCAUAGCAAUUUUCUUGAUUAAAUCUCACUAUAAAGAAUUAAAGAUUACCAAAAUUGAUUUCUCUCUCUUGACCCUAUUAGAGUGACUCACUUUUUAAUGGAGAGAAAAUUAACGUGAUAUCCUUUUUUUAUAUUGAGUGGAGAGAAGACCAAUUUUAAUAACACUCUAAUUCUCAUUUUUCUUCAAAGUGGGCAAUUAGUUUUUUCCAAUUGACCAAUAGGAUUUCAAGCCAUAACUUAUUUUAACUUUUUAAAUUCUAAAUUAUUAUUAAUUUAAUAAUGUGGCACGUGGGCCACUAUAAAAUAUUCCAACAUACUUAAGAGCAAAGUUGUAAAAGCACUUGAAAUUCCCAAAAAAAAAAAAAAAAAAGGAAGCAUUUUCUGAAGGGAGAGGUUAUUUGAACCACUAAAUCAUGUAUUAAACUCACCUACUAAUAAACUCAUUCUUAAAUUGUAAAAAUUUGAAUUUUACUUUACUAAUCAACCUAAAUACCUAAUAUAACCUUGCUAAACAAAAUUAUUAUUAAACCAACUUUUUUAGUUAAGAGAUUCAUAAUUAAAAUCAUAUAUAUAUAAAACCUUUAAUUUUAAAAGUACUGUAAAUUUUAAAAUCAAUCGUAUACAUUUAGUAAAUCUUACUGUUAAAUUGUUGUAGGAAUGUAAUUUACUAAAAACUGAACAUAAUUUUGAAUAAAAUUUAUUUAAACAUGUAUAUAAAAUAUUUUUUAUUGUGUAUAUUUAAUAAUUGAUAAUUAAAAUAAGCACUAUAUAUUAUUAAUUUUAUUUUUAUUUCAUUUUAUUAAUAUAAGCGAUAAUGAUGAUGAUAAUAACAAUAAUAAUAAUAAUAAUAAUAAUAAUAAUAAUAAUAAUAAUAAUAAUAAUAAUAAUAAUAAUAAUAAUAUAACAACAACUUUAGAAUUAACCAUUUUAUUUCCUAAUUAAUGAGGAUAAUUUUGGAUUUUUAUAAUAUAUAUGAGGAUAUAUAUGGAAUUGUAUUAAUUAUAAAAGUAAUUAUCAAAAUUAAAUUUUAAAAGACAUUCUUUCUCUACUUUUCAAAAUCUGCAGUAAGAUGGAAUGAUUUUAUCAAAAAUAAAUUUUAAAAGAAUUUACCAAGCACCAAAAAUGAUUAUGGGUUCUUUGCAGACUCCAUUAUAGUAUAUUCUACUUUGUUUCUUAUAUUAGUAAUUCCACCACUGGUCAUCGUCAUGCAGUUUGUAUGACUCUUAUGCAGAUUCACUCUUUCCUAAUGUUAUCUCUGCUUUGAUAAAAUAGUGAAGUGUAUGCCAAUGCAACAAGGAUUCAAUAUAUUAAAUAAGUGGCCAGGCAUUAUCCCACUGUUUUAAGCUUUUUGAUUUUCUAAAUAGAAUGUAUCAUGGAUGAAGAAGAGCAAUUGUUGUUUGUAUAAGCAUCAGUUUGCUGUCAGAUGUGUUGUAAAAGUUGAUAAUCCUCAUUAAGAAGGCUCUCUGUGUAUAAGCACGCUUAUUUUAGUUUUUGUAACUGUAAAUCUAACAAGAAAGGACUGACUUCCUUCCUUCCCUAAGUUUGUAUUACCAUAAAAUGCAUCUCUCACUUUUAAUCUUUUUGCCUUUUUCAGCAAUUUUAUCCCUUGUGAUUAAAUUGAAAACAUAAAAUGAUUCUCAUAUUUGAGGACGAAAGAUAUAAAUGAGACUCUUUUAUCCUUUUCAGUGGUUUCAACAUUUGCAUAUACUCAUGUUUUUGGAAAUGCUGACCGUGUACGAGAAUUUUUUUUCCUUUGAUAUCCCUUGCUCAAAUAUUAUAUUUAUAGUUUUUGGGACGCAAGAUAUGAUUAUAUUUAGAAAAAUAUUAUCCUUUGGUUAUUAUUAACUCAGAUAUAUAUAUAUAUAGUUCAAGCAUCUAAGAAAACUUAAAUUUAGCAGUUAGCACCUAGGAUUUAGGAAAGCCGGUUUUUAUAACUAAAACUAGACUUUGUAUUGGUAAUUUUUAGUAUUUUUAUUAAAUAAGUUUAAAACAAUCAUAUUGCUUGAUGACAAAUCCAAUAUGCUUUUUAUCAUUUAAGUAAGGUUUGAACUUCAAAUCUUAGGUGCUAUCCUAAAAAUUAAUCAAAAUAAGUUAAUUAGUCGAUAGUCACUAAGCCUUUGGCUCGAUACUAAUGAAUUUUUGCUCUCGAUUUCAAGGUACAAGUUCAAGUCUCAGCCUCUGGGAGAAUCAAUGAAUUUUCUCCUCCCAAUUAUAUAAUUGGAUAUCCUUUCAUUAUUAGUGGCAACAGAUAUAUUUGUGCUGUUAUAUAGUAGAAUAGAUCUAGGGAAGUUCCAGAUGAUUUCUAGUGAGGAAUCCUUCACAUAUCAUCCGCUCGCCUUCUCUAUAGAUCUAGAUUAAAUGGAUUUCCAAAUAGGACUAAGCAUGAGCUUACCUGCCUGACUAAAUAUAUAUAGAUUAUGAUUGAUUUCUAUACGUAUACUUUUGAUUGAUUUUAAUCACUCAUCUAUAAAUUCUAACCUAUAUGUCCUCUUUUAUCAUCACAACAACCACAGCGUGAAUACUAAUGCAGCUGAUACUAAAAUGUCCAAUACCUACUUGCCCGAAAAGCCUGAACUUUCACCAACUUUGAUUUCAGAUGAUGAUGCUGUUAGGCUUCAAUAUGCUUAUGGCGCUGUGAAAAAAUCUCUGGAAGCAUAUGUUACGCUUGCAGGCGGGUAUGUUAUUGAAGCUCAGUUACCAUUUCCUGUCAAUUCUGAUAGUGAGAUUGUCAGUGAAUUUCGGAAAGCUUUACAAAGAGGGAAAACCAAUGGUAGGAAAGUCAGAUUGACUAUGAUUGAUCAUGUGACAUCUGUUCCUGCAGGUGUUCUUAUUCCUGUCAAAGAAUUGAUCAAGAUUUGUCCGGAAGAGGGUGUCCAUAAAGUAUUUGUUGAUGGUGCACACGGGAUUGGGUGUGUUGACGUUGACAUGAAAGAAAUUGGGGCUGAUUUUUAAACUAGUACUUUGAACAAGCGGUUUUUUUACCCGCCUGGGGCAGCGUUUUUGUAUUGUGAGGAAUCAGCCGAAACUGAUGAUUUGCAUCACCCUGUGGUGUCUCAAACCCCAGAUGUACGUCUUGUAACAACCCAAGAAAUUUUACUGAGUUAACUAGCUAGUUGGUACCCACUUGCUUUGUAGAGUACUGUUUCUUCCUAAUAUAGGACCGGAAAGAAUACGCGGCAGAGGUUUGAGAUAUAUGUGAUUUGAGCUGCAUGCGGACCUCUUAGCAUUCAUGAAGGUCCGUAAUUGUGUGAAAAAAAUGCUAGGUGAUUAAUCUUUGGAAGUGUUCAUAAGUUCCUUUUGCUUCCUAGUUCCUCGCAAGUUCUAUGCUAAUUUGAUUCAGUUAUUUAGAACGCUAGCUAUUCCCUCAGACUUAUUUUCGAUAUAAAAAUGCAAAUUGUAUCUAUUCAUUUCCUGCAGAGAUACAGAGGAUGUUUGCGAUUGGUUUAGAUUGUCAAAUAAGCUAAAAUCUAAAAAAUUGUUUGGUAAACACAUUUUAAAAUUGAUUAUUUGAAAAUUCGAUUCUCAAAUAAUCUACCACGCAGCCCAUGCUUCACAUGCAACAGUCUUUAUUGGGUAUGUAACUGUCCGAAGAAGAAGUCGCUCAAUGCUCUUGCUGUCCAACUCAAGAGCAACCCCACAAUGUCCACGGAAGAACCCCAACUCAGCAUGGGUUCUCUUCAACGCCUCAGCGCACUCAAUCACCAAAGAGUCAGGGAGCACUUUUUAAAAAAUCUGAUUCAUUUUAGAAUUUGAUUUUCUAAGAUAUUUUACCUAAAUUAUCCUCUUCUUUCAAUCAUAUUCCAAAUAUGCCCUAUACAAAAAUAAGUUAAUUUAUUUAUAUUUAAAAUUUUUAAUUGAAAAAUAAAACAUUAGUACUGUUGUUGCCGGUAAUUUCCUCCAGCGAGUUACUUCUUUAAUUGACACUGCCCAUAUGUUUAGAUUCGAAAUUAUUCACUGUACACAACGAAGAUGGAAUCGUCGGUGGUAUGGAAUUGGAUGCAAUGCAAGCGCCCCCAAUAUAGAGCAGCCACCACAAUGCAGCUAUCAUACGAAGGUGAAUGAAGUUGAGUUGCCGUCACCAUCUGAUAGAUCUGCAAACCCCGACCUAUAAUCAAGUGGUUUUACACCAUGAGACGCCGCCACUGAACGGCAACCUCGUGAUUCUCAUGCACACUUGGAUGGUGCAUGCUCCUUCACCAAGCCUCCGUUGCCGAAGAAAAUUCUACCAUUGAGUAGAUCACAAGAUUCUCGAUCCUAUGUUACCAAUUUUCGGAGCAUAUGUCAACAAUUAGUGUCGCCGACAAUGUUAACGCCGGUGACGGAAAUCUACUUUUUUAAAUUAUUAAAUAUUUGUACAAUUUAAUAAAAAAAUAUUUUUAUUUAUUAACAUGCUCUUAUUUGUUAAUAAAAAUAUUAACUAUUAUAUUUUUUGUAAUUAUUUACUAAUAAUUAUUUGAAACUUAAUUAAAACAAUUUAACAAAAUUUGGCAUUUUAGUAAUUAUAUAUGAAAAGAAAUUAUUUCAUAAUCUAAGUUUACUAAAUAUGUUAUAAUUUAUUUAUAAAAUAAGAUUGUUUUAUCCUUUUCAGUGGUUUCAACAUUUGCAUAUACUCACGUUUUUGGAAAGUGUGGAUAAAGUGUUUAUUGAUGGGAUCCCUCUAAGUUACAUGCAUGUACCUUACAUCCCUCUCACAUGAAUAGUGUCCAUACACUAUUCAUGUGAGAGGGAUGUAAGGUACAUGCAUGUAACUUAGCAUUACCCUUAUUGAUGGUGCACAUGGGAUUGGGUGUGUUGAUGUUGACAUGAAAGAAACUGGGGCUGAUCUUUAUAUUAGCACUUUAAACAGGUGGUUUUUUUUGGCCCGCCUGCGGCAGCGUUUUUGUUUUGUCGGAAAUCAAAUGAAACUGAUGAUUCGCAUCACCCUGUGGUGUCUCAAACCCCAGAUGUCUUGCAACAACCCAAGAAAUUUUACUGAGUUAACUAAUCGGCACCCACUUACUUUGUAUAGUACUGUUUCUUCCUAAUAUAGGGGAAGAAUACGUGGCAGAGGUUUGAGAUAUAUAUGACUUAAGCUGCGGACCUCUUAGCAUUCAUGAAGGUCAGUAAUUAUGUGAAAAAAUGCUAGCAGCAAAUUUAACUUAUUUCUUCUUAGGCAGAUUAUUCCCUAAUGCAGCCUUUAGUUGUGGUUAUCUUUGGAUGUGUUCAUAAGUUCUUUCUGCUUCCAAUUUCCUGGCAAGUUCUAUGCUUUGGUUCAGUUAUUUAGAACCCUCUUCCCUCAAUUUAUUGUCGAUAGUGCUUGUGCAUUUUGUUAGUCACAUUUAUAUGUACUGUGGAAAGCGAAGCCCCAUCGUAAAACCUGCACAAGUAACAACUUGAGACAUACAUAAAAGGGUAAUUAUCUAAUGACCACCUGUUUUUUUGAACUUUUUUAAAAGUAUAAAUUUCUUUUUUUUUUUGCUGAUUUUCACCAGAAGUUACAAAAUAUAUUAUUUUUCCACUUCAGCCUAAACUCCGGAGAAAAGUUAAUAGAAUAUUAACAAAAUUACUAUUUAACCCCCCCUUAAUGUAAAAUUACUAUUCAACCCUAAUUAAAUGAAAAAAAAAUUAAAUCACCUCAAAUUUUUCUUUGCAAUUUGGACAUUAGAUAAUAAGUUAAACAAUCUGGAAUAUUUUUACCUUUUUUUUCCUCUUUCAACCGCGUUUAAAUGACAUUAAUUUUUGCUAUGCAAGUAAAAUGACAAUUUUACCCCAGUAAGGUCAUAACAGAAUGCAAACGGAAGAGGAAAAGUGCAAGAAAAUGUAACUUCUAGUGGAAAUCAACCAAAAAAAAAUAAGAUAUGUAUAUUUUUUAAAAAAUAAAAAAGAAUAGGUGGGUGGUGGAUAAUUUCCUUACAUAAAAAUACAAAUUAUAUCUAUUCAUUUACCGGAUAGAUUUAGAACAUGUUUGUGAUUGCUUCAUAUUAUCAAAUAAGCUAACAUCUAAAAAUUGUUUGGUAAACACAUUUUAAAAUUGAUUAUUUGAAAAUUCGAUACUCAAAUAAUCUAUUUUUGUAUUAAACAUUAAAAGUCACGCGCCCCCCAUAUACGAAGGAGAAUGAAGUUGAGUUGCCGUCACCAUCUGAUACCAUCUGAUAGAUCUGCAAACCCCGACCCAUAAUCAAGUGGUUUUACACCAUAAGACGCCGCCACUGAACGGCAACCUCGUGAUUCUCAUGCACACUUGGAUGGUGCAUGCUCCUUCACCAAGCCUCCGUUGCCGAAGAAAAUUCUACCAUUGAGUAGAUCACAAGGUUCUCGAUCCUAUGUUACCAAUUUUCGGAGCAUAUGUCAACAAUUAGGGUCGCCGACGGUGUUAACGCCGGUGACGGAAAUCUACUUUUUUAAAUUAUUAAAUAUUUGUACAAUUUAAUAAAAAAAUAUUUUUAUUUAUUAACAUGUUCUUAUUUGUUAAUAAAAAUAUUAACUAUUAUAUUUUUUGUAAUUAUUUACUAAUAAUUAUUUGAAACUUAAUUAAAAAAUUUUAACAAAAUUUGGCAUUUUAGUAAUUAUAUAUGAAAAGUAAUUAUUUCAUAAUCUAAGUUCACUAAAUAUGUUUUAUGAAUUUAUUUAGAAAGCUUAUUAUUAUGAAAUAUAAUUUAGAAUUGAUUAAUUGAGAAUCAAAGCAAAUCCCAAACAUACCUUAAUCACGGUCAAACCCCAAGACCGACCGUGCAAAGAUCAAGCCAUCAGAGACUUUAUGAGCAAUUAGCAAUAUUAUUGCUUUCAUUAAUUUGGAACCAAGAAUGAGGGUAAAUUAUUAUUUUCAGAUAUAAGCACUUCAUGUCAAUAAGAUUUGAUUGGCAAUAUUGUGAGCACUUUCUAUCGUGUAGAGAAUUGUCAUGGCCCUGGGUUGGUUCGUACGUUCCAGGUCUAUGGUCAAACAUUUUUAGCAAAUAUCUUAGAAAUUCCCUCAAUAAAUAAGAUAAUGAUUCCGUGGUCCAAUAUUUUGCGGUACUUGUGGAUCUACUUCUCAUAAGUUGUUUCUUAACUAUAUACUUCUCUGUUUCUCAAUAGUUGAAGGAUGGGCAGCAGCAAUCUUCCGCAUACUUACAAAUAAGGUCAAUUUGCACUCCCUGGAAGGCGUACAUGGUCUCCUUUGACAUGGUUUCAAAUAGAGAUGGCCAAAGGGCCGAGUGGUACGACACGGAUAUGACACAUGUCUAUACAGCACAAGCACGUAGGCGCGUGACGCGACACAGCACGGCAUGAACAUGGGCUAGAUUAGACUAAGAAUUUUAGGUACGUGAGUCUUAAAAGCAUAGUGCAAUUAGAGAUGAGAAAAAACAUAUUAUGUGGAAAGGCCCACAAUAAGUACGUUCACUUUUUAAUGAAAAUAAAUUUAAAAUUUUAUUAUUUUACAAAAAACUUAAAAUUAAAUCUUUUAGUAUAUUUUAUUAGCUUAAGUUUUCAAAUUCAUUUGAUUCUUAGUUUUGAAAAAGAAAAAAUCUAAUUGUUUUAUAUUUAUAAUUUAUUAAAUGAAUAGUUAAUAUCAUGAUUUUAAUAAAUAAAAUUAUAAAUAUCAUGAUUUUAUAAAAUGUAUGUAUUAAUGUUAUAAUGGACUACGAUCUAUGAUCUGCGUAAGUCUAAGUUAACAAUUAAAUUAAUUCUUAAGAAAAAUUUAUUAUUGUUAUUAUUGUUGUCCUUAAGUAUUAAUAAAAAAAAUUCUAAUAUCGUAGUAUCUAACUUAAUAAUUAGUACUACAUUCUCUUAUUAUUAUUAGUUUAUUAUUAUUGAAUAUAGAUUUAAUUUUUAAACUUUCUGAUUCUAUUGAAUUUGACUAAAACAUAUAGACCCAAAAAAGAUACAUGGGCUUAAAAAAAAUAUGCUACUAGCUUGGUCUGUUCUCUUAAAAAAAAUAAAAAAAAUAAAAAGACUUGCUGUGCUUUUUUCUUAGGAAUAGCCCAAGACACGGUACAGUACAGCGACUGAGCUUAGACCUAAGCAAAAAAAAAAAAAUAUUAAAAACAACACUAUACAGCAUGACACGAUGCAUACAGUGGAUAUGGCAUGGCAUGAGCCCAUACGAGCCUUCCUUUGAUGUCGGUCUGGCCCCUUGGCCAUCUCUUGUUUCAGUACUAACUAUGAACACCAUAAAUGAGUAGAGAAACAAACUGGAUAAUACUUAUAAAUGUAUGUAUAUAUAAUUCUAUAACGUAGUUUAUCAGAGAAAUAAGAAGGUCAAACAUGAUUUCUUUUUUUUUUCUUGGCUUGUUUGUUGUGCUCCAUGAGAGCUAUUCGUCCACAUGUUCAAAUUUUCAUUUUCUGAGGCAAACUAAUGGGAUUAUGUCAUAUAACAAGCAAGUGAUUAAUAUUAAUAAAAGGACUUUAUACUUGGAUUGAGAUUAAGAUUCUCCCAUAAUCUUAACUUAUUUAACCUUCUUUAUUGAUUUGAUUUGAUCGUGUAUAAUUUUUAUUUACGUGUGGUCAAAAUUUAUUUAUUUUUUUAAUAAACCUUAACGUAGCCUUUCAAGAAUUGAAUGGUUAAGGGAAAAAUUGUAAAAGCGCUAGAAAUACCAAAAAGUGGCACCUUUCUGAAUUCUGAAUGUUUCCCAUGUUCGCGAUGUUGCCGCUUCUUGUAUAGAGGAAACUUUGUUUAAUUAUCAUCAUAAUUCGUAUUUUGAAGCAUUCAAAUGGUUUGACUUUGUGUUGUUAGUUGACUUUUAACUCUCAAAAUUAAGUCAAUUAGAGUGUUUGUAUUGUAUAAAUUUUUUUCUCUACUGUUUAAUUGACAAUCAUAAUUUACAGGCAUUUUUAUGCAUGAAAUUUUUUUGUUUCUAAUAUUUUAUUUAGCUAAGGUCAAAAAUUGUCCUUGAAGCGUAACAUAGCUGGCCAUAUAAUUACCUAAGUUUGAAUAAUAAUAAAAGUAAUCAUUAGUGUUUAGUGAUAAGAUUUCUCAUCGUCUUCAAAAAGAAAACAAAACAAAAAAUAAAAGAUCAGAGAUCAACAUAAGAAGUCGGCAUAAUCCCACAAAAAUUACACAAGUUACAAGAGUUUUAGUACUGUUUAUACCGAUAAAUGUUGGCAAAAGAAAUAUUAUAAGUUGGUACGAAGUAAACUCCAAGCAAUUAACAAUGUAACACAUAUAUAAUAUGCCAAUGCCACGUCACUAUCCUUAAUUUUUUUUCCUUAAUAUGAAUGCAGUAUGGUCCAUACUUCAGAUUAUUUAAUAUGCUAAUGUAACCUACCUACCCAUUUUUCACUAAAGGCAAUUACAAUGCAAUUUGUGAGAUAAACUUAAGGAUAAGAUUUGACAAUAAAAUUAAAGAUAAGAUCUUUUGAUGUACAUAAAUGUCGUGCACUGAGAACGAUUGAAAAUGAUAUGAAUCUUUGUCUUUAAUUUUUUUAAUGCGAAUAUAUUAUUAAACUGUCUAAUUUAAUAAAGUCAAUUUUUAACAGUAUUAUAAAAUUAUGUGGUUUAAUAGCAUAUCUGCAUUGACUCUAUCAAAUGGCACAAUUCAACAACGCAUUUACAUAAAAAAUGAAGGUGCCCGCAUGAGAGAAUGAGACUAUAUAUAUUUUAUACUGAUAACACAAUUACAUAACUAUUGAUAUUUAUAAUCAAAUAAUUAUUGGACUACUAUUUUACAUUAAAUCUUAUUAAAUGAGAUAUUUUACAUCAGACAACUACUGUGUUACUAAUUUAUAUUAAAAUUUAUGAAAUACUGUUUAAAUUUUUUUAUUCUCACUAAUAUUUAAGAAAAAUUAUAAAUUAUCUUCAGUCAAUUAUUCUUUGAUUGAGAGAGAAAUUAAGUCCCCGCACUCUAAAACAGCUCACCAUUCGGUCGAGUGGCUCAUGAACAUUUCUAUUUUUUAAGCUUGACAAAGGAAUAAUUCCUACAUGUUGCGGGGCAAAAAUAAAACAACUUUUAGUUAGUGGGUUGAAUUGAAAUAUAUCAAAAUAUCACAUAAACUUUCUUUAACAAUUCCUCACAUUUCUAAACUAAAUUUUAUAUUGCAAUAUUGCGAUUGAAACCGUAAAUACAAUUUCAUCAUCAUCUUCAUCAUCUCAAGCCCAUUAUAUUACUAUUAUUAUAAUUUUUCAUUCCGUGAAGCUGUAAAGCAUGAACUUUUUUCCAGUUAUUUUCUUUCUACAUUUUCAUAUAGGGUUUGUAAAGCAUCAUCUCAUCAUAGUUCAUAUGAAUAUUAAUAACUGUAGACGCUGCAUUUGACCAAUACUUUUUGUAAAGGAAAUUAAAUUUGAUUAAUUUAAUUUUAAAAAGUAUUGUUGUACUUAAACUUAUUGAUCAUAAGUUUAUCAAAACCUAUCGCCCAUAUGUUAUGGUUUUUAGGACCCCACAUGAUUAUAUAUAUUUAAAAGAAAAUAUAUUAUUGUAUUACUUUCUCUUAGAUGACAAAUUCAAUGAGCUUCUUGUCAUGUAAACAAGGUUUGUGCUUUAUUUAUUUUUUUGGUUUACUAUUUUCGAUAGGUUUAUCCAAUAAAGUUAAGUUGGUGAUAAAAAUUAUGCGAAAUCAAGUCUCAAUCCAAUUCAAUUCAAUUCCAUUAAAAAAAAAAAUAAUGGCAACUAGAUCUGACUAAUAUUGUAACUCAUGACAUGACUUUAAAUGACAAUAAAUUUGGGAAAUAAAAGUAAUUAAUUGGUAAUUAUUUCCCUCGAUAUGUCACCAAUCCACAAUCUCUCUCACGCUCUGUACUUCCUCUCUCUUCACACCCAUCAUCACAACCUCCCUUCAAGCCCAGCUUCCAACCCCAAACCAAAAUCCCCAUUUUUCUUCCAUGUCUUCUUGUCAUCACAACCACCACAACAUGGAUAUUAAUGGAUGUGACGCUAAAAUAUCCGAUACCCACUUGCCCAAAAAGCCGAAACUUUCACCAACUUUGAUUUCAGACACUGAACUCGAAUCUGAAUUCUCUCACCAUGUGCAAAACAUAGCGAGAAUCAAUAAUGGAAGCUUUGGUUGCUGCCCAAAGAGUGUUAUGUCAGCACAGCAGAAGUGGCAACUCGAGUUCCUCAAACAACCUGACGACUUUUACUUCAAUCGGCUGAAAGAAGGGAUUUUGCAAUCAAGACUCGUGAUCAAAGACUUGGUCAAUGCUGACCAUGUUGAUGAAAUAUCAAUUGUUGAUAAUGCCACCACCGCUGCCGCCAUUGUGUUGCAGAGUGUUGCUUGGGAC